rnacentral:lncRNA from 1 species
CCUACGCCACCGCCUGGAUCCAGUUCCGGCCAAUCGAAUCCAUCUCCUCCUCCGCCGGCUAUGACUCCGCCUGAAUCUAGCUCAAAUCCACCUCCUUUUCAGCAAAUUCCGUCUCCGCCUCCACCUCUGGUUGCGGAAAUGAUCUCUCCGCCGUCUCCACCUAUGCAGGCGUCGCCAUCGCAGCCGCCGCCUAGCGGGCAAGCGAUAACGGGAGCUCCGCCGCCGUCGUCGUCAUCGUUCAAUCCGCCGAGUGGGGGGACGGCGUUAGCGACUCCAGGUCCUGUGCAUGCAUAAUUGAUCAGUGGAUUCACCAUCUAGGGUAUUCGAUUUGAUAAUUUUGUACAGUGGACUUGAGAUUGGAUUUCGAUACUGACUGCUGAGAUUUCCGUUGAUGCUGCUGUAGCUCUGGUUCAUAGGUUGCGAACUUUUCAAAUACUUAAUUUAUUUCUGUUUUCCCCGUUUGGUCCUCGAAGUUUGUGAGCUAUACACUUUGAUCCGUGAAAGUGAAAUGUUGACUUCCGUUGAUUGGAAGUUGAUCCCCGUGACAAACUAUGGUCCCGUUGGGUCAACUACCAAUGCCGAUUAGUUGAUGUUUGAAUGGUUUUAUUUUAAUAACGAUAGAAAUUCAACUCGGUUUGAGUAUAUUGGUUAGUAAGUUUCCGUUUGAACAGGACGGUCAACCAACUGAUAGUGAGAUAUCGAAAAUGUGACAUAUUAACUUGAUGGUGGAAAAUCAAGACUAUGGAGACGGUAGAUAGCCUCGAAGGCAUAUAGUCGUUCACUUUAGCAUGGACAAUAUAGGCGUUUACGUAUUUUCCAGUUAAGUUUGUUCGAACUCAACUUGAACUCAAUGUUAGGUGAUAAUUUGUAGUCCAUGCCAAUGUGACUACCCCAUAUUGCAUUACAAAAUAGAUGAAACGAAUAAUCGAUUCGAUUAUAAACCGACCAUCUGAAUCAAUCAUAUAUUGAUUGGGCUUUGUACCAAGAAAAUAACACAAACCAUGGGCUUUGAACUCAAUCAAAAUAACUUCCUAAGCCCAACAAAAAUUGAAGAUUUGAUUUUGGGUGUAUAGACCUACUCAAAUCAACUAGAUAGAGUUUGCGGACUUGAACAAUGUAUUGUCGAUAUUUCGAAAGUCAUAUUUAUUUCUAUUGUCAAGGAAGAUCAUGUUAUGUUGUUGUUGUUGUUGAUUUCAACGGUAUAUAUCGGCUUCGUACAUCAACAUCCACGUGGAUUAUAAGGCUGAUUUGUCGUGCACGAUUAAGCCUAUUUAUCGAGGAUUUGAACAGAAACCUAACCUAACGGAAGGGGUAGUUUAUUAGAAUAAUCAAAAUCCAGAGGGCUCCGUCGGUGAAAGUUUAGUACAGGUGAUAUAUAUUAACUCAAUUAUUAAAUAAUUAAUAAUUAAGACAAAAUCCAAAACUAAUAGGAUACGGAAUAGGAAUAAAGUAAUGAACCUUUAUAUAUCAAAACCCUAACUAACUCCGCCGUGCAACUUCUAAAGAUGGAGGCAUACAAUAGAACAAGCGACGGCGGCGGCGGCGAAGUAGACAGAAUCUCAGCUUUGCCGGACGACACCAUUCAUCAAAUCAUCGCUCUCUCAUAAGAAUCUCCAUUCAAACAAUGUGCUAAACUAUCCGUCCUAUCCAAGAGAUGGAAUCACAUCUGCCACUCCCAUCUGACCUUGAAAUUCAACAUAUCUUCCUUGAAAUUCUAGCAAGCCCAAGGCUUAGCUGCCGAUGAAGACUGUAAGAAGUUCUUCCAACGCCGCAGCAGGAACAGCAUCCCCACUGAAUCCAUCACAAUCCAAAAUACCGUCAAGUUGGACCCCUUAUCGGUCCGUUUCCUCAACAAAAUCUUGGACUACACUGCAAAGAUUUCACCUCGAGAGAUCGACUUAGACUUAUACUCUUUUCGCAUACACUACAUUAUCCCACGACGAUUCUUACCACUACGUCACGGCGAUGAUGAGUAUGAUGAUGAUAAUUACCCAUUCUUCCGCCACUUGUACAUCGUUAGUGUACUAUACUACCAACUUAACUAUCUUAAAAAAUUUUUGAUGCACCCCAUUUUCACCAAUAGACUCAUCGACCAAUAUAAAAUAAAGAAGUAAAUAUAUAUCACAUACGUAAAUUAUUGAAGGAUAUCAAAUUCGAAACCUCUAAUUUGUCAAUACACUACACUACCAACUCAACAACUAUCAUAAACGUGUCAUAUGUCCUUUUUCAUAUAAAUUGGUGCCAAAAAUUGGUUAAUUAUCACGUCGGUAAACAUAUCCAGCGGGGAAAGAAACCAACGGUUCUAAUUCAACAAGCCCCCAUCUCCAAUUUUUGAAAACAAGAAAAAUCGAAAUUGAAAUCAAAACCACUUAUUGCAUCAAGACAAACCAGUACCACCAUUGAAUCAUUGAUCAUCUUUCCACAUCUACGUACUGUCCAUAACCCAAAAAAACCCAUGAAUGAUUCAUCACCGCACAUGUUCUUCAAGCAAUACCCUUUUACCAAAAUCAGAACUUUUUCCCCCUUUUGAUUUUCGAGUUUUCUUUUGCAAUCUACCAUGUCCCCUGUUUUGCUGUCGGCCUGAAACAGAGCAUCACUCUGUUUUUUCUUAAUUUUUAAGUGGAAGAUGACGACGGUGAUGCAAUGUAAUAACAACCACCACCGUCAGAGCCAGUUUCCACCAGCAGCGGCGAAACGUGGGACUGGUUGGCUGAGUCAAGAGAAGGCUAGUGAUCGUGGGUUCAGGCAACGUCGUCGUCGGAUGAACGGUGUAAAUUAUUCGAGUGGUGGUGGAGCGGAUCAGGUUGUGUUAACGCGGGAGAUUACUUCCACUGCGGAAGUAGCAGAGGUGAGGUAAAUUUAUUACUGAUUUUUUUUUACUUAAGGGGUUAUUGGGGUUGAAUUGAUUAUCAACCUCUCGACAAACUCCAUUUAUUGAUCACCUUCGAUGGCGAUUGGCGACCAGUAUGUUACGACUUACAAUGUGUAAUGAAUGGUUGGAAGUAGUAGAUACGUGGGGGCCGAAAAUGGUUAAUUUGUGUAUCAUAUGCUUGUUAAUCAAGCUUAUAAGCUGCCAUACGGCCGAGUUGAGAUUCGGUUGAUAGGUGUUACGGAUUACGAGUUUAGUAGGUGUCGGGUUUAUAAACUUUCAAGUCACUAAUUCAUCGAGUGGUGGGUUUGUGGAUUUUGUUGAGAUUGUUUGUUGGACGGAUUAUGAUAUUUUUUUAAAUAAUUUUCUUUGAUUCGAAUUAUUAAUGGAAUUGAAUCGGAUUAAAACAGGCUAAGUCGGUUUGGCAACCGAUUUCUUCUCAUGUUAGAAAUGUCACCUUAAGUUAAUAAAUUUGACACUAUUUGUGUGAAAAUGUAGUAAUUGGAUGUACCAUUAACAAUGACCCCAUUGGGGCCACUAGCUAUAAUUUCUUGUACCAAGUUAUAUUUACUCUUCCAAAGGUAAAAGUUAAGUUGAAGGAAGUAAAAUCUAAUGAUUUUUUUUUUUUUUAUCUCGAUAAUCUAAUAUUAUAUAAUUCUCGGUACACAUUGGUAGAUUUAAGGGGCUCCCCUAAACUUCGACACAACUCAAUUUUAGAUUUUAAAAUAACGUCUAAAGUAAAAGUUACUUAUAGAAAUUCCGAUACAAUCUAUUUUUGAAUUUUAAAAUAACGUCUAAAACAAAAUUUAUUUACUCAUCAAUCUGAAAAGCCUUAUACUUCAAGGUUGCAAGUAAGAAAUUUUCACACAAACAAGCCAAAGAAAAAUCGAUCACCAAAAAUGUUCCAUUUUUCUCAUUUACUACUCAUCAAUAGAGUGCAAUACUUAGUUUCUAGGCUCUUCAUUGAUCUCCUAUAAAUAGACCCCAUCAAGCAAAGAGUUUGCAACAUCUUUGGGAGUAACUCUCUCUUCAAAAAACAUUCUUAGCAGUUCGAUCUCGAUUCGACUUCUAAUCGUUAUGCAGGCUCCGAGUUACGACGAACAGAUGCUAGCAAACUACGUCCCAACUUUCGUUAUGUUCCCUGUAAGUAACACAUAACAACUCACUAGCUAGCCGUCGAUUUCGCAACAAAUUGAUCCGAUAUGCCUAACAAAACCAUCUUGUUUUCUCCAGUUGGGAGUAGUGACGCCGGACAAUGUCUUCGAGAACAAGGACGUCGUGGAGAAGCAACUGAAGGAGCUGAAAUCGGCAGGGAUUGAUGGGAUCAUGAUCGACGUAUGGUGGGGGAUCAUCGAAGCCAAAGGGCCGAAACAGUACGACUGGAGUGGCUACAAGGAGCUUUUCGAGCUACUGAAAGCACUGGACUUAAAAAUCCAAGCUAUAAUGUCAUUUCACCAAUGUGGAGGCAAUGUUGGUGACAAUGUCUUCAUCCCUCUCCCUGAUUGGGUCCUCGAAGUCGGGGAGGUUGACCCCGAUGUCUUUUACACCAACAGGGCCGGUGUUCGGAACAAGGAGUAUCUGUCUCUUGGUGUUGACCGCCUCCCUCUUUUCGGCGGCCGCUCUCCUGUUCAGGUAUCUGUAACCAGUCUGUAAGUGUGUAACACUGUUCUCAUUUGUUAACCAAACAUUUCGUGUAGAUCUACGGAGACUACAUGAAGAGUUUCAGGGAGACCAUGGCGGAUUUCUUCGAUUCGGGACUGAUAAUUGACAUCGAAGUAGGGCUUGGACCGGCUGGGGAGCUUAGAUACCCAUCUUAUCCUGAGACUCAAGGAUGGGUUUUCCCUGGAAUUGGAGAGUUUCAGGUUUAUUACAAGCUUUAACCACUUCUCAUUUUCUCAUGAAUCCUUAUCACUUGCGGAUUCAUAAAUUUAAAGCCCUAAAAAAAUUGUUUCUUGUUGAACAAUCCAGUGCUAUGACAAGUACCUGGCAGCUGAGUUCAAAAAGGAAGCAAUAGAGGCAGGGCAUCCUGAGUGGGAAUUGCCUGAUGAUGCAGGAGAAUACAAUAAUACCCCUGAUCAAACAGGGUUCUUUAAAUCCAACGGCUCAUAUCUUUCUGAAAAGGGCAAGUUUUUCCUGAUGUGGUACUCCAACAAGUUGAUUAUCCAUGGAGAUGACAUCCUUGAUGAGGCCAACAAGGCCUUUUUGGGAUGCAAGGUCAAAUUGGCUGCCAAGGUAACUCAUUAGAAUCACUAACUAUUGAGAUCAAUUGUGUGACCUGCGAAAGGCUCUGAUACUAUGUUGUUGUGUCGGAAAAUGUGACAGGUCUCGGGAAUCCAUUGGUGGUACACGGAUCCGAGCCACGCAGCGGAGCUGACUGCAGGGUACUACAACUUGAAGGAACGAGACGGGUACCGACCGGUGGCGAGGAUGAUGUCGAGACACCAUGGGCUUGUGAACUUCACUUGCUUGGAAAUGAGGAACACUGAGCAGCCCGCCGCGGCCAAGAGUGCUCCCCAACAGCUUGUCCAACAGGUUAUAACCUCACAUAUGUAACAAAAUAAAAACUAUAUGUCAAAAAUUAAUCACAAUUGACAUCUUUGAUAGGUUUUGAGUGACGCGUGGACGGAAGGGAUCGAUGUGGCGGGAGAGAACGCGUUGGCAAGGUACGACGCCGAAGGAUACAACCAGAUUCUCCUGAACGCCAGACCUAACGGAGUCCGCCCACCAAAGGACGGGGAGAAGAAGUUACAGAUGUACGGAGUCACGAUCCUUCGACUGACGGAUGAUCUGUUGGAACAGAAGAACUUGGACGUGUUCAAGAAGUUCGUAAGGAGGAUGCAUGCCAACCAGGUAUGUACAUAGUAUUGAUUACACGUCCCAUUGACUCUAGUUGUUGGCCGAAGAUGAUGACAGCGACUUUAGUAAUGUGUAAUGUUUUUUCGUAUAGGACUAUUGUGGAGAUUCGAGCAAGUAUGGGCACGAAAUCGGAGUUUUGGAGAGAUCUAAGGGAAAAUUGGGGAUUGAAGAGCUUAUGGAGGCAACUAAGCCAAUAGAGCCGUUUCCAUGGGAUGAAGAAACUGAUAUGCCUGUUGAGCCUGUAGGUUUAUUUGGCAAACUCCUUCAGAAAUUAUUUUCUCUAUUUUUCAGAUGAUUAAUUGACUGAUUAAUCUGUUUAAUUAUAUAUUUACAGUGACCAUUAUUUGAUACAAGCAUAAUAAUUAACUAUAUAUGAAGAAAUUAAUUAGCAACAGCUAAUCAAGCCAAAAUUUGUUAUAUUUGUUCAAAUGUAUAUACAAAAUAAAUUUCUAAAAAAUUAUAGGAAAUUUUAGAGACUACGGAUGGAAUCAUAUAAUAGGUUCAUACUUUAUAUUAUCGAUUAUAAGCGAUUGAUAGUUUGGAUAAUAUGCUUCAUGUCGAAUAGUAAUAUCGUAAAACGUAAGCUUUCAUAUAUAUCUUUUCAAAAUUAAGCAUUCAUAUCUUUAAAUUAGUUAGAGCUCUACCGUACAUUUGCUAUGUUCGAGAUUAACCGUAAGCGACACAACAAGGCUAAUUACGUAUGACCUUGUAAUCUUAAAUAGCAAUUGACACCUUUAUGUUUUGUAAAGAUAUUUAUUUCAUAUUUUCUCUAAAUGUGUAAACAUAUAUGUACUUUCCUUUUUCUUACAGUGAUCUGUUUGAUCUAUCAAGCCGUUCUUCUUCAAAACGCAUGACAAGAUAUCGAGCAUGUUUGAUCGAAAUUCGUCGUUGUUAUAGAUCAUGUCUAAUAAAGUUGUGUACUGAGUUGUUGGAGCCUCUUUCUAUAAAUAAAAUAAAAUAACCAAAAGGCAUAUAGCCAUUUGGUGCCUCUCUUGUUAAUGAUCAGCUAGUUUAUGCCAACUUUUGUUAAACUACCAGUAAUCUCAAGAAGAACACAACCCAUCUCUGAGGUGGUGGAACCUCCUGAUAUCACGCAUCACAAUCUCCCGGCCCGUAACCUUCGAGAUAAGCUUCGUUCCCAGACCGGUUCUUCGUGAUCCUUACAAUGGUUCCCGGACCAGUUCACCAGAGCUGCACCCUGGCGGUUUCAUCAGCCCUUUACUUCUCACCACCGAUCUUACCCUUUCGACAUCUCCCCAUCGCUUCUCCGCUGCAUAGACGUUCGCAAGGGAGAUGUAGCUGCUCACAUUGUUAGGAUUCAGGGACACGAUCUCCCUCGCUGCGAUCUCAGCUAGCUCGAGAUUGUUGUGCAGGCGACAACCGUUGAGUAGAGCAGCCCAAACAUCAAUUGAGGGAUCGAUAGGCAUUGCUCGAAUCACCUCAUGAGCUUCGGUUAACCGACCGGAUCGGCUGAGGAGAUCUACAUAGCAUGAGUACUGAGCCAUUGUUUUGUAAUCUUUCUGCAUUCUGUUGAAAAUCUCUCUGCCUUCAUUUACCAAUCCACCAUGGCUACAAGCUGAUAACACCGAAGUGAGAACACCUUCAUCCGGUUCGAUACUAGUUUCAUCAUCCACCAUUCUAUUGAACAACUCAAUAGCCUCCCUUGCCUUCCCAUGAAUGCUGUAUCCAGAAAUCAUGGCACACCAAGAAACCAAAUUUCUCCGAUCAUGACGCAUUUCGUCAAAAAUGGAUCUCGAACAAGCUAGACUUCCGCAUUUUGCAUACAUGUCUAUGAGUGCAGUUCCCACCAUUGUACUUGCACCAGAAAACCCUAACUUGAUCACACGUGCAUGGAGAGACAUCCCAAAUUGUAAAGAUGUGAUCUUUUCACAUACUCCGAGCACAGUCACGUAAGUUACCUGAUCCGGCUCGAAGCCUUCCGAAACCAUUCUGUUAAAAGUCCUCAGGCUUUCGAAUGAGUCUUCUCUUCUUGCAUAGCCUGCAAUCAAAGAGUUCCAUGACACUGUAUCUUUAUUCCUAGCCAUUGUCUCAAACAAUUUUUUGGCAUAAUCCAUUGAACUACACUUGCAGUAGACUUCAAUUAGUGAAUUCUCCAGAAAGGUGUUGUAAAGUGAAUGACUUUUUCUUACAACAUAGCCAUGAACUUCUUUAACUUGCUUCAGCAUCAACAAUUCAGCACAGGAGGAGAGGCUACCGAGCAAAGUAGUGCCAUCCAAUGAAACUCCAACUUCAUUCAUCGUCCGGAACGUUCUCAAAGCUUCCCCUGCCAUGGAAUUCUUCACAUAACCUGAUAUCAUUGAGUUCCAAGAAGUCAAAUCUCUCACAUGCAUUUGAUCAAACACCUUCCGUGCAACUCCCAUACCCCCACACUUUGAGUACAUUGCUAUGAGAGAGUUUCCAACGUACACAUCCGAUUCAAACCCACAAACAACAACCUCCCCAUGAACUCUCCUUCCAAUCCUUACAUCCAACAAAUCGCCACAAGCUUUGACAACAAAUGGAAAAGUGAAAUUAUCGGCUUUCAACCCAAACCUCAACAUCUCUCUGUACAAAUCCAGAGCUUUCCUAGAAAUCCCGCUGCUGGCGUACCCUCUAAUCAUGAAGUUCCAAAGGAACGAGCUUUUGGAUUGGAUUCCGUCGAAGAUCACCUGGGCAGUAUCCAUGUCUCCGCCUCUUGCGUAGAAAGCGGAUAGUUUGGUGCUCAAGUAAGUGUUGUGAAUGAGACCGCCGUUGGUUGUUACGUGGGCGUGGAGCUUACGGCCUUCCAUGAGAGAUUUGGAGUUCGUGAGCGAUUGUAAGAUGGAUCCGCAUUGCAGCGACGGAAGAGGGAAUCGGAUAGAAGGAUGUGCGAUGGAACUGAAUCCAGAUUUCCAGAGGAAUAGUAUUGGUCGCUGGAAUUUGGCAUUGUUGAUCGUGAGCUUGCCAUUCAUGAAGAUGGCUGAUUCUCAAUGCUUUGGUAAGCUCCGCGUUGAAGUGAAAAAUGGGGACUGAGAAGAUAGGACGGCGGCGGGAACUGGCCGGAGAUUUAAGCAGCUCGAAAGAGAAAACUCGAAAGACACAGAGCACAGAAAAAUAGAAGAAAAAAUCAAAUAAAGUGGAGAUGCGGGGUAUCGAUCCCCGUACCUCUCGCAUGCUAAGCGAGCGCUCUACCAUCUGAGCUACAUCCCCAUUCGAUCAUAAUAAUUAUACUUUAUAAGUACUAAACAUGAUUCGGUUUCGAUUUGUUCUAUAUUGGCAAUAACACCCUAGAUAGCAUUUCAAUAGUAUAACAUGUAUAUCAUACACAUACUCGUUCCAUCUACUCUAUACUUAAGCAUAUUACAUUUUUGUUUAGUCUUAAAAUGUAAUUCGAUUCAAUUGCUAACCUACCUAAUGCGUACAAAUCCAGGUCAAAAUCGUCAACCCUUACAUAUUUUUUCUUCCUUACGAAUCCGAAUCAUGACAUUUUCAGUCACAUUUCCGAAACCGCCACCAUCGUAUCUCGCACAUAAAGUCGUUGACUAGUCGAGCCUAUUAAAACCCAAACGGAAAAUCCUGAUGCAAUUUAAUUAAGCCAGUCCAAAAGCACAGGCAAGCAAUUGUCAAAACAUACAGUUACUUACAUUCCAUGCACAGCAGUUGUUCACAAUUACAAACACCCCCCCCCCCCCCCAUACUCAGUUGUCUCAAUACACAGAAUCCAUACAUAUAUCAACCUUUCUCGAAAGAUCUGGCUGAGUCACGGACUAGGUCGAUAUUCUGUAUCGCCUAUGGCCCGUCGCAAGUUCUUCAUGAAGAAGAAGAAGAAGGUUAGCUCUUACUGUAAGCAGAGAGAUGGGAUGGUGAAGAAGGCCAAUGAGUUGUCUGAGCAAUGUGGGGUUGAUGUUGGCCUCAUCAUGUUCUCUCCCAAGGGAAAGCUGACGACUUUCGCCACCAAGGGGAGGAUCGAGGAUGUGUUCCUUCGUUACAUCGAACGAUCGGAUGAAAUCGAGAGUCAAGAAGAGAAUCUGUACCGUUCACUCAAGCAGCUGAGACAUGAAGGAGAAGUGCUGGAGAAGCUGGCUAGGAUUGAGGUAUAUGAUUAAUGUCCAUAAGAUUUUUACCGGUUUUAAUUGUUUUUUCUAGGUUCAAACAUGGCUUGAUUUGUCAUUUUUCUACUGUGUUUUUGUUUUUAAUUAGGCUCUUGAGGAGGAACUUCAGGAGCUGAACAAACAGCAGAGCCAAAAGGAAGAACAGCUCAAGUAAGUGGGGUUUAUUUCAGAUCAGGUCCCUGCUAGCUAGGGCUGGUUAAUAAUUGACCACAUUCGGUCGGUUAGUUAAGAUCGUAUACAAAAAAUCUCAAAGCUUUACCGUUCAACCAUAACUGAAUGUCCACCCCCUAGGUCCUGCCGGAGUAGUUCGAACCAGAAUCCGUAGCUAUAUCAAGUCCUUUUACGAGUAAUCAAGUGAAUUCGUUAACAUGACUCCAUCAAUUGAUCAAGUCAUAUUGAGAGUAGAUUUGAUCGUAAUACAUAUCGAACGAACGUGAUAUUCUCACCAAAAAGUACAUUUUACGACGAAUCUAGACUCGAAAAAGGAAUGAACACGCGACGAGAAACGACUGUAAUUCGGUUGUUUUGGUCAGGUGUUACAACUUGGAUGUGCAGAAGAUAGGUUCCAUCAGUGAGGCCUUACUACACCAGCAGUUCCUCACCAAUGCAAUCCAGAAUAUCCAACGGCUGAAAGUAAGUACUAAGAUGGGUUAGUUAACUUCACUUGGAUCAUAUCAUAUGAUCAAACCUGCUGUUGAUUACACAUCCUGCCACUUGUUUUUGUUCUUGAUUCAGCUGCAGCAGAACCUCAUCAACCAGAUAAAGCUUCGAAACCCGGCAAAUUUCGAGGUAACCGGAAAAUCGAGUUGAUCGAAAUGUUGCUUACAUUGUCCUUGUGACAUCUUUCUGUGUGUAUAUAUCCAGGUGGCUGGUUUGACGGCAAAGGAAUCCAUUGAGAAACAGAGGAAUCAAGCAGGGGAUUAUGGAGGAAGCAGUUCAGGAGGACCGCAUCUGAGCCUUGAGUUCUUGAAAAAGCAGCAGCACUGGAAUCUCAGAAUCAACCACUGAACUUGAAAACUUUGAAUGUUUGGUUUGUAAUUUUUGGUUUAAUAAUGAUUUCUCCGCUGCAUCUCGAUGGCGAUGGAGAACGGAGGACGAAACUCCGGGCAGGUUAAAAAUCGACCGAUGUUUUGGUAAAACGAAUGUGCGGUGUCGUUGCGGGCCUGGCCUGGCCUGAAAACGAUAAGCCGAAAUAGAGUCGGGUCGGCCUCAAAGCUGAACCGGCCACAAAAUCCGGUCCAAGCUGGCGGUUGCCAAAAGAACGUCUAAAAAUAACCAAAUGGACCCGUAUAAGCCCAAGUCCUAAUAGAAAUUCUCAGUUUAGUUUACACGUCAAAACUCCCUGCUUCUUCCCCUCCGAGAAAAGAUGAGCUCAACAAAAUCCAACGCCUCUGGCUAUAUUCAUCCUUUGCGUCUUUCCGUCGAAACUUUCGAACCCGGAUUUUCACUUUCCAUACAGAUUCAUGUACCCAUUGACGCUCCUUGCAAUUCAAAGCGCUCUCUCUCGCCUCUAUACAUUGCCAGUUCGCCACUCAAAACAAUCUGAAUGACAUCAGCUAUGUUGUAAUGCACAUAACCUGGAUGAAAUGCCGCAUUGAGGGAGGGAAACGUUGAUUGGAAAGUGGAGCAAUCUUUUUCCCCUUUGUGCGAACCAUUUCCGUUAUUGGGUCUGGCGUUAAAUUGGCGUUAAAGAAUUUUUACGUUAGAUUCGAUGAGAUGAGAAGGGUAGCUAGCGAAUGGAGGGGACCUUAUUGUGGCUUUAGAGGAAAAUGGGAUCAGGAAGAGCCUGUUACGUAACUGUCUGUUUGAUUCUGCUUUUUUUGGUGGCCGCCACUGGUGAUGAUUCUGGCAAUCAACGUCCUCAGGUGAAGGAAGAAAUGGUUAUGUGUUGUCCUUUUCACGCCUUAUCUUUGUUCUUUCACUUGGUUGCAGCUUUCAUUAACAUGGGAAACUGAAUGGGAAAUGAUAUCCCAGGCAGAACAAGCAUGGAUUUACUGCAGGAAAGGGGUUGGCAAAGAUACAUCGAAAGAUUGUGACUUGUUCUAUCUACUGGAAUCCGCCAGUGAAUUUGAUUCAUCCUUGUUAGCGAGCAGAAGAAUGCAGAAUGCUGUCAGAGUUCUACCCCUUGGAGUGAAGAAGGAAAUUCUGCAUUGCCUAAGAAAGAAACGUCUUUCUGGUGAUUUUUACAAUAAAGGCAGCUCGCGAAACUACUGGCUUAUUGACUGUUUACAGCUGGUUUUGGAUUGGCCUAUGACUGAUGCACAAUAUCUGACUGGUUACUAUGAUGUCCAAACUUCGCUGAAGCUUCAUCAGCGACGAGAGCUUGCCUCUGCGGAUGUUGAUGGCUCGUCGGAUUCUGAUUCGGACACUAGGGAGCAUAAGAAGCGUAAAAAGAACGAUGUUGAGAAGAAAACAAUUGUAGCCAUUGUUGUAACAACAGUAGCAACCUUGGUGAUCGUAGCAGUGCUGUUCUGCUGCUGGCUUCGGUUGAGGAAUAGCGAAUCGGAAAUGAAUUAUAUCGAAGGGAAAAGAGACGAGAGGCCUCUUGUCCACUUAAGUGAUUCUUGUGCGAGUAAGUAAGCCAUCUCUGUUUGUGUUCUGUAUUAUGCAUUGGCUAUGAAAUCUUACCUUCCUGUUUUGUUUGUAUUUAGACACCUCACUUGCUACUGCAAGUAUGGCAAGCUCGAGUACUAAGGAUCCGAAGUCUAGUGGUACUAUGACUGAAGCUCCUGUAAGCAACCAGCAGCCUAUUAUCAUGGAGGAAGGACAAUCGUCUGAAACGAAACAAGAUGCAGGAGAUGAGGAUGGUGAUGAUGAGAUUUCACCUCUAAAGCCUCCUCCGGGAAGGCCAGAGCCUCCACCACCGGCCACCCCUCCACCACCACCGCCACCUCGUGCUGCUGCUGCUCCGACACCACCCCAAAACCACUGGGACCAAAGCGAGGUGAUAACGAUGAUUCAAAUGAUGCAGAUGGUGAUGAAGAAUCUGAAGCUCCCAAGCCGAAGUUGAAACCUUUCUUUUGGGAUAAGGUUCCGGCCAGUCCUAAUCACUCCAUGGUCUGGCAUGAGAUUAACGAUGGAUCAUUCCAGUAAGUGUAUACGAAUCUUCAAAUUCAUCCUGGUUCUGUAUAAAAAUCUCAACUUUGGAUCAUUCUCAACUUUUCCAGGUUUGACGAGGAGAUGAUAGAGUCAUUAUUUGGGUACACAACGGCUAAUAAGAAUAAGAAUGAGCGUAGGAGAGAUUUGGCUGACGUUCAGUAUGUUCGCAUUAUCGAUCCUAGGAAGGCUCAAAAUUUGUCUAUACUUCUGAGAGCUCUGAAUGUGACUACUGAAGAAGUUCUCGAUGCUCUGCGAGAAGGUACCUUGCUGCAUCAUUUUGAUGAAUUGUCACUGAAUACAUCUUAAGAGUCCAUUGAAUGUGUAAAGUACCUUGCCGCUUGCUUACCUGUCCGUAAAAACGCUGUUACAGCUAACGAGCUUCCAGUGGAGCUUCUCCAAACUCUGCUGAAGAUGGCACCAACAACAGACGAGGAAUUGAAGCUGAGGUUGUUUGCUGGUGAAAUCACUCAGCUCGGGCCUGCAGAACGUUUCCUGAAAGCGUUAGUGGAAGUUCCAUUCGCCUUCAAGAGAAUCGAAUCGCUUCUGUUCAUGAGCUCCCUUCAGGAAGAAGUCACCACACUCAAAGAAGCCUUUACAACUCUUGAGGUGAGCGGGAUGAAUGAAAUAGUUCCAUUCUGUUAACUGAAUAUAAUUAGUUAUUUUUUUAGUGAUCGUUUUUCAACUCAUAUUAUACUCUCUGUUCAAAAUGCAAGAUCGCUAGCAACAAACUCAGAAACAGCAGGCUAUUCCUGAAACUAUUGGAAGCAGUUCUCAAAACCGGCAACCGGAUGAACGAUGGCACGUACCGCGGUGGCGCGUUAGCAUUCAAGCUCGACACGCUUUUAAAGCUCUCCGAUGUGAAGGGGACAGACGGUAAGACAACCCUACUGCACUUUGUUGUCUUAGAAAUCAUCCGUUCGGAAGGCAUACGCACUGUCCGAUCAGCAAAGGAAGACGCAACAGCACGAGCCAAGCGCUGCCUCCAGCGUAAUCUCAGACGAUUUCAGUGAAGACCCCGAUGAUCAUACAGCAGACGAGCACUACUGCAACCUCGGCCUCCAAGUGGUUUCGAGCUUAAGCAGCGAAUUCGAAGAAGUGAAAAACGCAGCACUGCUAGACGGUGACAUGCUGUCAUCCACACUGUCCAAACUCAGGCAGUCCUUCACAAAGGCCAAAGGCUUUGUAGAGUCCGACAUGAAGAGCGACAAAGAGAGCGAGUUCUACAACUCCCUCGUGGCGUUCAUGGACCGAGCAGACUCCGACAUCUCCUGGCUUUCAGAGGAAGAGAAGAGGAUAACAGCUCUGGUGAAGAGCACGGCGGAUUACUUCCAUGGCAAAUCAGGUAAAGAAGAAGGGCUUCGGCUCUUCAUCAUCGUGCGCAGCUUCUUGACGAUGCUGGACAAGGCCUGCAAAGAAGUUCAAGAUGCCAGAGCGAAGAAACAGAUUGCUCUGGUGAAAGUACCUGCAAAGAAAGAACACUACUCUCCAAGUGAAGCUUCGAGUAUGGCAGUAAAACAGCAGUUUCAGCAGCAGCCGGAGAAUCAUCAUUCUCUUAAGCGGUUGUUUCCAGCCAUUGCUGAAAGACAGGAUGAUUCCUUUAGCUCAGAUGAUGAAGAUUUAGUUGUCCCUCUCUGAUCAGCCUCUUCUUUGUUUAGCUUUUAACCAGAUAGAUGCAUAACUAUAUACUCAUUUGGUUGUAUAUUUAGCAAGUUAGAGGAGGAAAGAUCACAAUUUUGUUAGAUCCCAUUAUAGUUUUUAGACAAAAGAUUACAGCUUUGAAGUUUUCCCAACAAGAAAAUGUAUACUUGAUGAUGGAAUAAUAAUCCAACAUUAUGUUUUUUUCAGUAGGGUGGAUGUUUUGUGAACUGGUUCGUUCGGUUCGGAUCAGUUGAAUCGAUUCAAAUACUAACCCCAUUGAGAUUACUAAUUAGACCAGUUUUGUCUACUUGUCAUCAUCAUCACUAGCAGCAGCAGUGGCGGUGAUGUAAUAAGCAACAGAAAAGAGGGCAUGAACGAAGCACAAGAUCCCUCCAAUGGAGAAGAAAUGGUGUUUUGUGAAUCCACAGGAAGCUCUAGACUUGUUGUUUGACAGUGUCCCAAUCACCACCAUCGCCAGGGCCAUCGCCAAUACGAUCCUGACACGUCAUCAUUGAUCCAAAAUCGAUACAAUCAAUAACCCAAAUCUUGAAAAACCGAAUUCACGACAAUUAGAUGAUUACUAUCUCGAAUCGUUAGGGUAUAAAGUAUAAAAUAGUUGAACAUUUCAAUUGUGAACCGGAUAAUAAUAAUUUGUGAUUAGUAGUUAACCAGAUACCACAUUCUCGGUUAACAGUGUAAAGUGUAAUUGUCAUCAACGAAAUGUAAUAACCGGUUACCAACAAGCAGUGUAAUUAACAUCUAAACCAUUGUAAGCCAUAGGAGUAGAUAUUCGGUUAUAAUUGAUAGUUAAACCGAUCAACCAAUUGAUUUUGGUUGGUUAAACAAUAAAAUGUAAAAUAAUUAGGUCAGUCAAUAGAUUAACACUUUGAGAUAUUUUUUUAACCAACUCUUUUAAUGUUUAUAUCUAUUUUAAACCGAAAUCGACCUUAACCGAUUUAUUUUGAUCAAUUAAUUGAUGGUUAAUUAACGAUCAUCAUCAUGUCAAACGAUUAAUCGGUUAACAUUCCUAGUUAACCAACUUACUAAGCUAUUACUAGUUUAACCACAACUGCACCGAUUUCCAGGCGAACGAAACUCGAAAGAGAUUCAAGAAUGUGUACCAAGUAAGGAAGAAGCAAGCUACAGAUAGCUGCCUGUGAGGGGAAGCCCUGUGGAGUUCCUCUUGGGAGCAGAUGCAGAGGCAGCCACUUAGCAAGUUGGCUAUGGCAUGUGCAAGAACAAGGAGUCCGGCUGCCGCUAGCCCGAGCUCGAAUGCUGCGUUGCUCGGUUCCCGGCACUCGAAUAUCCACAUCCUCAAGUGCUUAACCUGGACACCACACCACAAAACAAGUAGUAUGCUCUCAUCACCACAAGUUAUAAUGUUCAUAUGUACAUAGGAAUGUGUUCAGUUGGCAUGAGUGGUUCCUUACCUUGUUCUGUGAUUCUUCAGCUUGGAAGGCUAGGAGUCCGGCCCCGAUGUCCAUUGCUACGAUCAAGAUGCAGAUGAAGAUGCCUAGUGUUUUCCCCAUUUUUUGUCAAUGGAAAAAGAGUGUUGCUUUUUUUACUAGAGGAAGGUGGAAGAAGACGGGGUAAUUUCACAAGUGGUGGGAGUAAAGUGAAAAAGAAAUGAGAGAAGAGAGAAAUAACUAUGGUGGUGGCCUGGUGAGGGUGAGGAGCUGAUAAUAGCUAGAAAAGUAUGUAGUAAAGAAACUUUAUGAUUUCUCUAUUUACAACAGUACAACUAAAAGUUAAGUUUAUGGUAAAUUUUAGGAAUAAUUUGAGUUUUGACAAUUUUGUAUAAAAGUUUGUCAAUUUAGAGUCAAAAGAUUCUGAAGAGUGAGUCGAAUUUGUCAUUAUCUGUUUGUAUCAUCUUUUCUACCCGUAAUAUUGCCACUCCACUUUCUAAUUUGUGUUUGUGGAUUAACUACCUUUUUAGUGUUUGGUUUUGUUCCCAUGGUUAAAAACUGUGCCGGACUCGAAUCAUGGAUUCUAGAGGUAUACGGUACAAUGCUUAAAACUGUUACAACACUGAUAGUUUCUUAAAUUUAUCGUGAUUGUACGAGACCAUGUUCAUGACUGGUUCACUAUGGAACCAAACCGGUUUCAAUCACUGAUCUCUGCAGCUAGCAGCAAGUCUGGUAAAGAGCUAGGGAAUCUGGGGAUGACCCCACAGUUGUGCCAAAUUUGUCAAAAGUUGGUCGGCAUCGUUCAGGAUCAUAAUAACCAAUGAUGACAGAGCCAAAAACCUGACAAUCUGUCCCUUACGAAGAAAAAUUGGUGGUAUGUUCCCACCGUGCACAUUGCAACAUUUCGGAGCUCGUGCAGCUUUUAGGCGUCAAUAGCAAUACCUUAAUCACUCAUCGAGAACGAGAAUGGUCUUUGUGUCCAGGAAACAUGGCCAGUUUGUCGCCUAAAAGUAAUGUAGAGUCCCAGUGUACGAGAAAAGUUUGAAUUUUUUUUGUCAGUGAAACAAUUUCCAUUAAUUUCGAAACCAUUGAAGUACAAAAACGGAAAAAUCAUAUCACAUCCUAAUUGAUGGUAACAUAGAAAUCCAAUUCUCAGACAGAGACCUUGCAGACGCAUUACGAGCAACCCAAUCCGCUUUGAAAUUCUCCUUACGAGGGAUGAACCCAAUCGAGAUGUGGGGAGAAGAGCGCAGAAUCCGCAAGUUCGAGUAUGUGUAAGCUGCAGCAUCUCAAUGAAAGUAUGCCGCCUCACCCUUGAGCAUCCGAACAAGCGAGAGGCAAUCAGACAUAAUAGAGACGGGGGAGCCCAUGGAGGAGGCAAAUUCCACUGCGACCAAAACUGCUUUUGCUUUGAUGGCAAAGGGAGAAGAACAGAUAAACAUGGCUGCCUUCUCAUCCACAACUUUCGAUAUCGUUGAAAAUGAUCACGUUGUAGGCUGCCAACUGGAAAUCACAGGGUGACUAUUCGGCAGGGGAGUCGUUAUGGCAUGGGGUGGGUGAGGCACUCCACCGGUCAUCGGCUUGGGGAGGAGACAACAAGCUUCCCACUCCAAACAUUCCUUGUUGCAGAGGCUAGGCUUAAAAAAGUUUGAAAAUUACUGCAUCUUUUUAUGAACGAUGAUGGCACACUAUAGUACAAUGAACUACUUUUUUAAUUCCAUUUCUGAAGCCUUCUACAAAAGUGCUGUAACAGAUUAAUUACUCUGAAUGAAUUACAAAGAACCGAACCUCAGAUAACCGAUUAUAACAAUUAGAAACCAGAGAGAUUUACAAACAGAGAAAAGCUAUACACAAGAAUCGAGAUUUUUGGAGAUUGAAGAAACCCAGAAAGCUGCUGCUGCUUCCUGCUGAUGCUGAUCAAGGGAAGGGACAGAACUUAUGUGCUUUCAUCUGGAAUGGAUCUGACUAAGUCCCUAAACUACAAAGGUUGGGUGGUGGGUAAGUAAGCUGACCGAACGAACCAUUCCAGAUAAAAAAUCGAAACAUGAACAAACUAACGUGAGACUCUAAGGGUUGGGCUUGCAGCUUUCUUUCUUUCCUUCUUUUUUCUCCAUGAUUGCCUAAGAAAAAGAUUAAUCACCUAUCCCACAUUGCCUGGAACACCGUCGGUCUGUGCUUCAGCCAAUGCAGCAUCUCCCUGUCUAGAUGCGUGUUGUUUACAAUGGCAUCGAACAUCGGGCUCCCCAAUGCUUUUGGGCUGCUCUCGAACGACCAUAUCUGGUCCCUCGGCCAUGGCUUCUGCGCGUACUUGUCCUGUAAAACAGAUGACGAUCAAAGAUGCAUCAGAUCAUUAAAUUUUGGAUGGCGUUAGGGAUGAAGGUAACAGAAUGUGUAAAGACUCACCAUCCGUUCGAGCAUUAAUUUGAGAUUCUUGGGGCCGUAGACGCGUUGCUGUUUUAGCUUCUGGGGCUUGGUGUAGAAGGAAGCUACGUCGGGUAAAGACAAGCAGCCCUUGGUUGCUUUAGCAAGGGUAGCAUCGGGGUCCGUAUUCGUCUGCACAUGCCAAAAAAUCAGCUGUCCUAUACAGUAGUUCUCGCCAUAGAUCUUACGAUACUCGUGGAUGCCAUCGCCCAACUUUGCAGCGCACUCGGGACCCAAAUCGAGCGGACUAAUGUGCACUGGAGGAGACGUAAAUGCAGCGUAUUCCUGAGGAGAGACGAAGGAAAUAGAUUAAAAACAAUAAUGAUACCAGAAAAUAGCUGAUUAUUAACUUUCAGAAUAGAAGAAGCUUACCCGAAUUCUGAAAAAGCACUUCGUAUAAGCAUAAAUGUGAAUCAAGUCGGCCGCAGCAUCAUGCCGACACCUAUAUGUACAUGGAAGAUUCCGAACCUCGUCUCUCAACCUAGACAAGGAAGAGCAAAGGUAAGUAUUAUCAGUUCCAAAAAUAUCAACAAAAAACCAGAGAUGAGGUAAGACAAGAAGUACAGAGAAAGGUAAAUUAUGCCCACCAUAACAAUGCUUUAUGAAGCUCUUUCCGCACAUUAGUGGAAUCUGAUGGAUCAUGCGCUCGAAUCUUGAUCUUGAGAUCAUUUAGCUUGUCGGAAUCCAUAUGGGGAGCCAUGCACUGAAGUAGUUCCUCGACAAGAGAUCCCUCUCCUUUCCAUAAGACAGAAACAGUUUCUUCUGGAGAAAGCCUCUCCAGUGGUGGUGGAGCUUUCUUUGGGUCACCAAAUAUGCAUCUCAUCACAUACCUCACCUUGUCGAGAGUGACCGCCAAAUUCUGAAGCCUCUGGUUGUAAACACCUUCGGCCUAAAUUCAGAAGAUAAAACAAGUGGAUGAGCAUUCAAUAAUUAAUAUAUAUAAGCAUAAGCACAAGGUCUUUAGCAAACAGUUCACGGAAUUACCUGAACUUCAGCAUCACUUCUCUCAACAUCCAGGCAGAUUUCUGAAGAGUAUUUCUUUUUCUCUUCCAGGUUAUGCUUUAGGAUUUCUUCAGGCAGCUUUGUCCUCUCAAGGUUUAUGAAUCUCACCUUUACAAAAGAACAAGAAGUGUCAAGAAAAAAGAACAACAUUUUACCACCAGCAAAGAAUAAAAAGUUAUCAAGGUCAGGAGACACACCAGACGAGCUGAAUAUGCAACCACCCAGUCCGGCAAUCCACCAAGCAGACAGCUACCCAAACCAGCCCUCCCCAAGUCGAGAUAAUCUUCCUCGGAUACAAAAUUCGCUUCACAAGCUUCCAGCAUCAAUUGAUGUCUAUCCAAUACUCCAUGCCACUGUUUCAGCACCUGCAGAAAUAAUACAGAGUCCGUUUAAAGGGGGAGAAAACGACAUAAGGGGUGCAGAAGGUACAGAGCUUUGCGGCAAUUGGAAAGAACACCAAUAAGAAAUGCCCUGCAAAUUCAUACCUUCUGGAAAGCCCCUUCGCCUGUCAGAUUUAAGUAGCUCCCACGGCAAACUUGACUUCCGCACAGACAAACUGAUGCUUCAUACUCUUCUUUACUCUGCCGUGCAAGAGAAUCAGUAAUGUUAUAACAUAUAUUAACUGCAUGUUAAGAGUAACAGAACUGUAAAACACAAUGCACGCACCUCUGUCACGGAAUUGUAAUCAAAUGUGAUUUCCUCGCCAUUUUGGAUUUCACGAACCGUGUAAAUACCAAUCUGAUACUUGCCAUCUACAGCUGUGACUCUGCAUUCAGGAAAUUACACAGGUAAAUACUAAAUACCACAGUCAUGGAACAAUGACAAGAAGGCAUAAAACAACCAGUCACAAGUACUAUUUCGUUUGCAAGCUCAAGUUUCGUGAAAGCUACAGCAGAAAUACAAGCGCAAUAACAAUGUACUCACUUUGCUUCACAGUUGGGUCUGCAAGAAUGACAUAUCCUGCUAGCAUAGUUCGCUUUAUGCAUGGCAUCGACAACCACCAGAUCAUACCCAUCUGCAUCACCCUGUAAAGUAACGAAAGAACAGUCCCAAUGUUCAAUAAUACAACAAGAAUAUCAUCCGACAAUGCAAUAGAAAAUAAGAAGUUUCACCAAGCUACCUUUGGCCUCUCAAGAUAGAUGUUGUAAAAUUCUGGAGCCGGAUCUUUACUGUCUUUCUGCAAAUUCCGAAUGCCAUCUUGCUUUUCGAACCAUUUCCAAGCAGGAUAAACCUGUUUCAUUGCAUAUGUUAAUACUUUGAAAAUUCAAAGAUGACUGAAUUCAACACUACUUAAAACAAAGGCAACACAGCUGCACGUGUUGUUUUUUCACAGAAUAUGAAAUUAACAAUCAUGGUAAAAUUCUACAAUAGGAAUACCUCUCCCAAGAAUUCAACAACAAAGUCCUCUUCUCCGAAGCCACCAUCUUUGUUGCAAACGACACCCAGCCCCUGGAAAACAUAAUUAUUAAUGGGGAUGGUUAUAGAGAAAAAGAUCAAGCAAGGCGCUUGUAUUUUCAAAAUCAUAAAAUAUACCAUACCUUUCUGUAAGCAACAUAUUUGUCGUCAGGACGACUAUCUAUGGCUUUCAUGAUGCACCGACACAUUCUCAUUGUUCGCAUGUUGCAGUCUUCGUCAGCAGACUUCAUAAUCUCUUCAAUAACAGGCUUCAAAGGGUAAAUCAUGGGAGUGUUCCCCGCACCAGUGAAGUGCCUGACUUGCUUAUUAAGGGUUUGGAGGAGCACAUCUUCAAUAAACACAUGCUUAUCCUGCAAAGACCGGUCCAUUUCCUCCGGCAUGGAAUCAAGAAUAAGAUUAUGAGUAUAGGGAUCUAUCCCAUAAACUUCUUGUUCGAUAACUUCAUCUCCAAGCUGUUUUCUAGGCUUAAAGUCCUUCACUUCAGGAAGCUCCAUGUCCAACUCCUCCUUACCACUUUUCUGAGCUUCAAGCUUCUCGGCAUAGUCAUCCGGCAAGGAGACACACAUCUUUCGUUGUACAUCAUCCUCAUCUGCGACGGUUACAUACCUAUCUAUGACUUCAUAUUUCCUGGUCACGGGAGGAACCAAACUAACUUUUGUCAUGCGAGCACCCCACUCGCGCUCAUCAACAACAGCAUAGGAACUCUCCUCUUCCAUGAAAAAUCCAGCUCUGAAAUUCCCAUCUCGGCCUCCUGACUGAAACUCCAGGUCACUUUCAGCAUCUGACGAAGUACUCUCACUGUAAUACUUGCCGUCACCAGAUGACUUAUCAAAUUCGUCAGAAGUUUCACUUCCAGAAUCCAUAGAUUUUCUGUUCAAUUUGGACAGCCGUCUCUUGAUUUCUCUAUCAGAUACAUAUUCCCCAUGGUUGAGACUGCCAUUUGCUGAAGGAGUCCCAUUACUCCUGCCAGCAUACUUUCUUUCAGUGAGCAACUGCUUCUUUUUGUUGUAUCCCGAGCUCAAACCAGCAGACAAGUCAUGUUUCCAUGAUUUCAUGAGCUCUUCUCGCUCAUAAGAGAACUUAGAAUUAUCCUCUAAACGUGAGGCAAGUUGAAGAAACAGAGUUAUGAUGCGAUUCAUAUUCCCAGCACCACGAUUCUUUGCCCUGCAUACACAAACAAAUUAAUUUAUUAUUAGUUUAAAUCUCACCGCAGAGUAUACAUGUCAAACGAGAAGCACAUGCAAGAGAGCAAUCUCACUGUCAUGUUAAUUACAGUGAGUGGGCAAUAUAAUUAAAGCAAUGUCAAAUGAAAGUCCAGGUGAGUAAAACACAGUUAAGGCCCUUUAGCAAUAGCAAAAGCAAGAGGGCCUUUGUUGUGAAUGAUUAGAGACCACAGUGCCAAAAGCCACAGUACUCAUAUGAACUUAUAUCAAAGCACCCAUUAAGGAUUAAUACUUACUUUAUAGCAUCCCUGCACAUUCGACUAAUAUCCUCCUUAACAGACUUCAAUCCACGUCCAAUGUAGUAACCAUUAUCCAUGCGAUCUUCAAUUUCUGCUACCUAAAUUUCAAAUGAGAGGGAGAAAAGCACAUAAGUAACAUGCAGAAAUAACUAGAGACGGAUAUCUCACCCAGGGAACUAUGGAGGUACCUUGGGAAUAAAGAAGUCAAAGGUAUUCUCCUUCAUGAUGUCCUUCAAGCCCACAGCAAUAAAGCCUUCCAUUCUCCUAUAGGAACUUUCAGAUUUCUUGAUGCCCCAUCUCCUCAUACGUGCAUCCCUAGAUGCUAUGGAUGAUGACCUUCUAGCAUCGAACACUUUGGAGCGUUUAUACAAACUACGAUGGAACAAUUGUGUGGCAGAAUCUCUCUUAGUCACACUGGCAAAAUAUUCCUUCAGUUCUCCAAAAUCAUCACCAUCACCACCCAAGCCCCUAGUUUUAUAUGAUGAUGAAGGUUUCUCACUGAUCGGUUUAUAACUCUUCACUUUAGAGUACAGCUCCUCAGAGGUUUUCAAGCCAGAUGGAUUUGGACUCUUGAUCCAGUUCACAUGUGGAAUCUGAAGAGCCAAGUCAGUGAGUUGACUACAGCCUCUAAUAUCUAUGUACAAUAAACAUGGAAAGCCUCGAAUAAUUUCCUCAAGAGCGCCACAAGUAAUAUUUGUGCAGCCAGCCAGCACCAACGAAUUCACCUUUUCCUUCUGGUAACCACUCUGAAACACACAAGAAAACACAUCUUCAGUAAGAACUGAAGGUAAGCAUCAAUGUCAACCAAAAAAACAGAGCUUACCACAAUAUUGCAGAUCACCGUAUCAGUGCAGUUGGGACCAAGAGACGACAGAUCGAUCUGUUUUGAUAUAUCCUUGUAGAAACUGACAGCAGAUCUCCAAUGCUUACAAGUUAAGGAAGCAAUGGCAAGAGACUUUAUGUCAGAUCUUAACAAGUGAAACAUUCGAGCCAAAAUAUGCCCAUCCAGUAAACCCCAGCCUCCUAUAUUUGUCUCGGAAGAAGCACUUCUUCCAGCAUCCAAAUUGAAAGUUGCAUCACCACACAUCUCCUCAAAAGUGCUUUGAUCCUUUGGAAUGGGCGUGUCUUCCUGACCAUAAUUAUCCUCAUCACUUCCAUCUAUCUGCAUCCUUGCUCUUUUCCCAGCACGUAUAUCUAUAUCUGCAGUAUUAAACAAAGUUAGACUUCACCAUUUCAAUAUUAUGAAAUAAUUCUUGUAACAGGAAAAGGUGAAUUCAUCAUCCAAUUCCCUGCAUCAAUUAUAACUUCAUCAUUGUAUAACUAACUUAAACUAAAGUAAUUAUAAACAUUUAUCAAGUGAAAGCAAAAUAUCACAGAAAAUACACAAGCAAAAUCCAUACCAGUGUUCCAGUUGAUAUGUUUGUCAAUCUCUUUCUUAGGCUGCUUUGCACUGAUCCAUGGAUCUAAAACCUCAUUUAUAGCAGCAGCAAACUCCCUACUCUUGAAUGAUUUCAUAACUAACUCGUGCAACUUCCCACGGGUAUAGCCAAUGAACUGCGGGUGUAAGCCAUGAAACAGACUGUGAUGUUUGCUGCUUUCAGAAUUUCCAUCACUAGGGAUAACAUCCAUUGUACUAUCAGCUUGUCCACUAUGCUUCACCUUUCCUCUGGCAUUAGCUUCAGAAAUCCUGCCAGCAGAGCUAACUGGAACCCACACCCUAUCAUACUUUCUGUACACACUGCUGUGCCUCGGUAUGAUCCCUUGAUCAGCCAAGGACUGAAGCUUUGAAAUUGAGAAUGGUCCUCGCUCAUGGCCAGCACCAUCAAGAUAGUACCAGUCCCCGAAUUUCAAUUGUAGAUCAUCCACUGUGCAAAUCUUGUCUUUUGGUCUGCAAAUGGAUGCAGUGGAUUUCCAAGAGCAGCGGGUAUCUUGUUCACUAACAGCUUUGGAUUGAGAAUCUGUGUCAGAAGUUGAAAUCCUUGACUCACUAGUUGUAGUUUGCAUCCUAGAAGACCUUGAAGGAUAUCUGUCUUUAGCUCUAGGUUUUUUGUGUUCAGAAACAAUUGAACCGUGAUCAUUAACUACACAUGCAUUAAUCCUGACCACAGGUAGGGCAGUUCCCGGCACUCCCCUUACAACAUGAGGCUUAGCAGGAUUUGGCCUGUUGGCACCAGCACUUUCAUUCUUCUCGUCUUGACUGGAAAACGCCCAAGGAGGAAGUUCAAGCUUUCUGCUAUGAGAUGGAUAAUACAGAUCAUCUUUUCUUUGCCAUCUAGGGUCCUCUAAAUCAGACCUUGGCAUCAGGCACAGUGGAAAGCCAUCAUUAAGAACCAUUUUUCUUCUAGAAAAUCUAUCAACACCCUCAUCAUUCCUAAUCCAGUCACCCCCCUUGCAAGACCAGCGUCCAGAAAACCAGUCAGCUGGGUCAGCAGAAGAUUCAAAACCGUUAUCUUUCUCGUGUAUAAAACUUGAUCUCAUUUCAACAGCUUCGAUCAGCUUCGUUUCUAAAGCUUGUGAUGUGUCAUCUCUUUGAUUAUGAGGAGAAGUUUCAUGCUGACUAUAACCUGCAAUAAAGCCAGAAGAAUGAAUGAUUUAAAAAAGAGACAAAAUCCAUGUAAUAUAUAAAAGAAAUCGAUUUAAUCAAGAAAGACAGGCAACGCCUAAAGAUUAUAGCAGAACAAACGCAUACCUUUUUCCCAUUCAUCCCACUGUACUUGCGCGAAUGUUGUAUGCAAAAUCUCUGAAGUUCAGAAAGAGAACAAAAGUGAAUGGAUAUAUUGAGUAAGAUAUUCUCUGAAAUGUGUAGAAGAAAUGCAAAGAAGAAAGAUAGACAAAAUACCUCCAAUAGUCUCAAGUUCCCUGCCUGGAAUAAGGGAAACACCGUCCACCAAGUUCUUCACCCUCUCAUCAAUAUGGAGAUCAGAUGAAUAGACAUCGGGGCAUUUCUGCGGCUCUGCUAAAUUUAUGGGCACUUCUUCACCAUCACGAGAAACAGAAAGUCCAUCCCCACCAUCCGUCAAAACAUUACCAGGUGCUUCAGGAGGACUAACAAGCUGAGUAAUUGACUCAGACACAAUGGAAGUGGAAUUGGCUGUUUACAUAUAUCCAUAUCCUCCUCCAUAGACUGCAGUUCUUCUAAGAGUGGUGCUUCAGCCAAAGGAGAGUCUUUGCUAUCUAUUUUAGGACACUCGAGCUUCUCUGCUUUUCGGGUCUCACAAUCUGCAUUUUUCAGACCUAGUCCAUCAGAUAUUAGUGUACUGCUUCUUUCUUCAUCCUCUUUGGCUGUGAACUGUGUAUCUCUUACAUUUGCAUCCUUUUGGCAGAGUCUAUCCUCCUGCCCUUUGUCCCCAGAAUUUCGUUUGUCACUUCCUCCGCUUUUCCGACUCGUUUCCUUGGGGGUAUUAAGCUUACCUCGACUGAGCGGAGACUUCUCCAGGCGGUUUGGUGUUCGAUCCCUGCGCUCAUGGUUGCGAGAUCUAUCUUGAGGGGACCGCUCUGUAUAACUAGGGGUCCUGCUUCGGCGUUCAUGAUGGCGGCUGCGCUCAUGUGGGGAUUUCUCGCAUAAAUUCUGAGAUCUCUCACGUACAAAAGGGGACUUCUCACGAGCAUGAGGAGAUCUUUCUCGUCCAUAAGAAGAUCUAUCACGUCCAUGGGAAACCCUUUCUCUGCCAUGCGGAGAUUGGUCACGGUGCGCUGGACUCCGUUCUCUGUUGUGCUCAUAACGGCUUCUAUCUCGUGGGGACCUCUCAGGCUGCUGUCUUUCAAAUACUACUUUGGAUGACAGAGUAGGCUCAUGAUACCUUGCGGAAUACUUGUUUGCUGAUGAAGGAGUUCUAACAUAUCUCUCCGCAGAGUGACGAGAAUGGUGAUCAGAAUUAGAAGAACGAGAACUGUCGUCAGAAAGCCUCCUGCUUUUUGAACCAGCGUAAUCCCCAUAAUCUGCAUGAUGCUUCCUGACAUUAUUAUCAGAAUCUGUGCCAUGCCUCUUCAACCUGUUAGCAGAAGUGGGGUGCUCUCUCACGUGACUAUUCUUACCAUUAAUAUACUCGCCACUUUUAUAAGAGCCUUCGUCAUCCACAAUCUUUGAGCUGAUCCUUAUACCUCCCUUCUCUUGACCAUUCUCCCACCUCAAAGAACCUUUGGCAUGCUGCUGAGAAUUCCCGCCUCGACAUCCAUCUUUCCGAACGUAACUUUCUUCAGCUGGAUACCUUACAGAAGGCGGCGUCCGAUCUUUAGAAGAAGAAUCAUAUUUCCCGCGGGACUUGCUAUAACUGUAUUCUUCCUUACCCUGAUGCCACCUGUNNNNNNNNNNNNNNNNNNNNNNNNNNNNNNNNNNNNNNNNNNNNNNNNNNNNNNNNNNNNNNNNNNNNNNNNNNNNNNNNNNNNNNNNNNNNNNNNNNNNNNNNNNNNNNNNNNNNNNNNNNNNNNNNNNNNNNNNNNNNNNNNNNNNNNNNNNNNNNNNNNNNNNNNNNNNNNNNNNNNNNNNNNNNNNNNNNNNNNNNNNNNNNNNNNNNNNNNNNNNNNNNNNNNNNNNNNNNNNNNNNNNNNNNNNNNNNNNNNNNNNNNNNNNNNNNNNNNNNNNNNNNNNNNNNNNNNNNNNNNNNNNNNNNNNNNNNNNNNNNNNNNNNNNNNNNNNNNNNNNNNNNNNNNNNNNNNNNNNNNNNNNNNNNNNNNNNNNNNNNNNNNNNCUACGGUGUGUUACGUGUUGUUUUCCUAUUACUGACAGUUGUCAACGUUGUGGCGGUAGCACUAGCAGCGACCACGUCCUUCUUCUCAUCAAUGGUACCCGUUGGCGUCAUUGUACCAUUGCUGACUAGUUUGCUCUCGUUGGUGACUAAAGUAGCAGUAGAAUCAGAAAUAGAGGUAGAAGUAGAAGUAGAACUCGUUGUAGUAGUAGUAGUAUUGUUAACUCCAGUGCAAUGCGUGUUCUCCUGAACUGGAAACCUCUCCAUGAUGAUGCUGUUACUAUGCUGCUGAAAUGGCAUGCAUGCGACACCUCCAUCGCCCAUGGAAAUCCCACCUGAAGAACAAUUCGCUCCAAACCCUAAUUCCCCCUUCUCCCGGGGCUGUCGAUGCUCAUGCUGCACAAAUUCCCUUCCCAAAUCCCGUUCCGUCCCUUCCUUCCUUCUCCACCAGAAAUUCAACGCUCCUUCCCCUCUCGACAAAUCUGCAAACACACACGAAGAAGAAGAAGAAUAAGCCAAACAAAUCAAUACAAAACACAAUGUUAAACUGUCUCGGAAGAGCGGAAACUGGAUAACAACAACCCAAUUAAAAACCAAGCUGUAAUCAGUCCAGCUCUCUACCGCAAACCUCUAGGGUUUCCGAAUGAGAGAAAAAGAAAGUACACAACAGAGAGGGAUGGAGAAAUUAAAUUACCAGGAGGAAUCCUCGAGAGCUUGGAAAAGCACGGCAGAUCGGAAACCCUCGUUGAGAGUUCUUAUUGAAUUCGCAGAGAGAAAGAGAGAGACUUGUGUUUGAAACACAGAUCGAACUCUGAGAAAACUGAAAGCCCAAAUUUUUUUCCCUCUUCUUCCCUUUGUUAAAUAGUUUGUUUGUUGAGCUUAUUAAUACCUCUUGUUCUUCUUCUUCAUCUUCGUUGUGGCUCUCUGAAACGAAAACCUUCGCUUUGUAAUUUUCUUUUUUACUUUUCUUUUUUGAGUUUAAUCCUAUCCUUUUUUCCGUGGGGGAUUUUCACUUUUCCUUUUAAUUAAAUUUUGAUGGGUCCAGGGAAGAGGUGGAAUGACUAGAUUACCCCCCCCCUGCCUUUUGGUUUCGGCUGGGUUCUCCCGCCCGCGCCCUAAACUUGAGCGGGAGGAACGGAGGAUUCCUAGUUUGGCGCAUUAUUACAAACAUCAUUCGAUCUAUCGAUUUAUAUUUUCGUUUUAUGACAUAUUCAUUAAUAUAACGUCUCCUAAUAUUUAUAGUCAUUUAAAUAUAUAUUUAUAUGUGUUAUAGAUCAUCUCGUUAAAGACAAAUUUAUUAUCAUAGUUAAUCUUAUUGUGAUUUACUGAUCGCAUAAAUUAAGUAGUCUGCUUGUUAAGUAUGUGCAAGGAUGUCUAGUGUGAGUCUUGUUAUGAUUGUGCAUUCGAUCAAGUUUAUAAACAUUUCAUCUCAAAAUAUGAUCACUCGUAUUGAUUGAUCGAUCUAUAUUAUCGUCUUAUGAUAUACUCAUUAAUGAUACGUUUGUCAGUAUUUAUAAUGACUUAAAAACAUAUUUACACGUGUGUUAUGUACAAAUUGUUUGCCCUAUCUCAUUAAUAAUAAAUUAUUAUCAUAAAACAUCUCAUUGAGAUCUACCGACAACAUAAAAAUAAUCGGCUUGUUAUAUAUAUGUAAGGAUGUCAAGUGUAACAGUUGCUAUGAUUAUACAUUUGAUAUGAAAACUGGCAAAGUUAGAUAAAACACAAGUUUAUGAUACAUCUUAUCUCAAAAUAUGAUCACUCAUAUUGAUUCAUCGAUUUAUACUGUCGUCUUGUAAUAUGCUUGUUAAUAUCAUGUCUGCCAAUAUUUAUAGUGACUUAAAUGCAUAUUCACACGCAUGACAUAUACAAAUUGUUUAUACUAUCUUAUUAAAGAUAAAAUUUAGACCAUCUUAAUGAGAAAGAGUAGGCAGCUUGUAAAGUAUGUGUAAUGAUGUCAAGUGUAACUGUUGUUAUGAUAUCUAUUUGAUAUGAUCACUUGCCAAAUUGAGCAAGACAAAAGUUAUAAACAACCCAUCUCAAAAUACGAUCACUCAUAUUGAUUUAUUGAGUUAUGUUGUCAUCUUGCAAUAUAUUCAUUAAAACCACGUCAAUGAAUAUUUACAUCGACUUAAAUGCAUAUUCACACAUAUAUGUAUGUCAUGUCAUAUACAGUCGUUUACCUAAUCAUUAAAGAUGAAUUUAUUAUCAUAGAUCCUCUCACGAUAAUUUACUGACAGCAUAUAUAGAGUAAUUGGCUUGCUAAGCAUGUGUAAUGAUGGCAAGUGUUACGGUCGUUCUGAUCUAAAAACUGGUCAAAUAGGGUAAAAGACAAAUUUAGUGGAUAUUUUGAAGAUACGAGUAAAUAUGUAAACCGUGAAAUUAUACGAUGGGUCAAAUGAAUGAGAAACAAAUAUCAACCAUUCGAGUUUGAAUGUGGGUCGGGCUAAUUUGGAAAAAACAAGCCCAAGUCUCAACGUACCAUUACGUGAUGGGCCCAACUUUGGAUCACCGGCCAACUCCAAUGACAAUCCAAACCGAACGUUAGAAGAAUUCACCACGAUUUCCGAUACGCCGUCGUUUUAUAUCAACAAAAAACUUCUCAAAAUUACUCUCUCUCUCUUGCCGUUCUCCCUCUUUAACCAAAGCAUAACGCAAUCAGCUUCGGUCGAGAGAGAAGAGGAGAGGGAGAAGAAGCAAUUCGUGUCUGCCGAGUAGGAGAAUCACAGAACCGAUUGCAGCAUCGGGCUACCGGAUUCCGGUCACCGGAAGGAGGCUUCACAAUGUCGAAGAAGAAAGUUUCCUCGACUAUGUCCUUGAAGGACUUCCACGGCGGCUCGAUUCCUUCUGAUCUUCCUUUGCCCUCUGCUCCCGGAGUGUAAGUUCUCCCCCACCAACUCUCCUCUCUCUCUUUUCUGUCUACAUCGUAUUUUCAAAUUUCAGCUCUGAAUGCUUUCCACGAUUCGAUAGCUUGGAUCAGAUUAAGGGAAAAUAGUGUUAGGUUUCAGCUGUUCGAGGCGUUCGUGUUGCAUCGGACUAGCAAUCGCGUUGUAUUGAUAAUUGGUGUGAAAUUCAUUACUGUAUUUGCAAUACUUUUGGUCAUAGAAAUCUGUAACUAGAUCUUUAGGGCAAACGGGAUACGGUGUACUUUGACUCUUUAUGCCUUGGUAGAUUUGAAUUUUCAAAUUAUAUUUGAUCUUUCUGCUUUGUGCUUAUCUGUGUUGUCGUGGUGGUCGAUAGCUUUAGAGUUUAAUCUCUUCAUUUUCUCAGUGUUUGUGGAAUUAGUGUAUUAAAAAUGUGGCAAGCUGUAAUUGCCUUGCUGAUUGGAUUGACUAUGUGCAGCGUGGCAAGACCUGGUUCAGAACGUAAUCCGACGACCAACUGGGGAAACAAUUUGAUGAGGACGGAUCUCCGACCGAGGCCAAAGUCGUCUGGUGCAUCUCGUGGAUUCGACGAGAAAGCGUUGCUUCUCUCUCACCCUUCUCCUAUAGGCAGAAACUUUGACGAGGAUGAGCGUAAGCCAUUAGACGGAUCAUCUGGUCCACGGCGAACCAUUAGUGACGAGAGUAUUCAGAGGUCUGCCGUAGUUCAGCUGGAAGUGAAGCUGGACUAUGCUUCUUCCGUGAGGCUACAGGAUCGACCCUUGUCAAGUCCAGGGAUCCAGUCUUCUAGUUUGCGAACUGGUCCGACUGCAUUAAGAACCGGGGCUGGAUCUUCUGGUAAUGGUCAGGGUGUCAAUAAUUUAAAGGCUUCAAGUGUUUACAGUAGCCAGGAAGUGAACAACAAUCCGCCGAAUGCCUGGGGUCUGAAAAAAGAUGUCAAUGUCAAUGCCAAUGCCAAUGAGUUCGGUGCUCCAUCACCGUUGGGGUCAAGUCCUGUCUCCAAAAUAGCUCAAGCAAGUGCCAUUGACAAGGUAUCUUCUGGAAUGUGGCAGUCAAAGAAUCCUGCCAACCUCUUACCUCCUCUGCUGUAUUCAAAGGAUAACGUCGUAACACAUAAUGGGGGUCUGAGUGGUCAGAUAGAGAGGGGCGGUUAUGAUGCUUCCCAUGCAUUUGUAACUGAAACUGUUCCGCUGAACGAAGAAAGAAGCCGAGGAUUGGGAAGGGAAUUUCCCACCUAUGGAAUAGAUCAUCAGUCUCAAAGGCCUAGAGAAGAUGUGCUUCAGCUGCCACAAACUAUACUUCCUGGUGUCUCGGAACAGCUUAAACCAAAGCUAUACCAAAGAUCGUUAUCUUUGGAAACAUCAAACAUGGAAUACAGACAGGUGGGACUUAAAAGUAAUUGCUGAUGAGUUUUGGAAGCUCUCUAGUACUUCCUUUUUUAACUGUUGAUUCUGGUUUGAUUAGGGAUACCAGCAUGUUACACAGACGGGUCAGGUUGAAUCUGUUUAUGGAUUGCAUGGAGAAGCAAUUUCCCCAAAACAAGGGCCAGCUGGUGGUAUGGCUAACAACAAACCAGCUGAUAAGCCAGUUGAGCGUCCGAAACUGAACCUGAAGCCCCGAUCCCAACCUCUUGAGAAAUCUGACGGAAAUGCAGUGAAAGAAAGGUAUAUGUUCAUUGCUCCAGUUGCUCAUCUAAUUCUAGUCCAUAUCUGGAAAUGAUGACUUUGCUGUAACCUCCUUCUUUCUAAUGAGGAAUAUACACUAUCCAUAAAUUGCUUUUAGUACCACCAUUGUUCCUUUCUGCUUGCUGAACUUCAUCAGUUAAUGGGUAGCUUGUGUUCUUAUGUUAAUCCUUGUUCCGAUACAGGUCAUUGUUUGGUGGUGCUCGGCCGCGGGAGCUGGUAUAUAUUCAUCCAACUCAUUCGCCAUUAAGUUUGUACUUCAGAAUUUUUUCGGGUUACAUCGUCUGGAACACGUUACUGUUCAUCAUGCAUUUCAAAUUCUUAUUCCUUGUCAAGUUAUCAGUUUUCUAAUUUGUUUGUCAGUCUUUUGCCAUUAUUGAACUGAACUUCACUCCAGCAUCAUACUUUUGUAUCAUAUCCUGCUCAGGUUCUCAAGGAAAGAGGCAUAGAUGAAAUCGAAAUCAACAAGCUCGAACUCAGCCCUUCCCCUAAGAGGUACUUGAAAUCCCUAGCAUCCACUCAUUUCUAUCUACCCCUUUCUAUCGGUUAUUCGUACUUUCAUUCCAUCUCCAACGAUCUCAAACUUUUGUUGAUUGAAAGGCCCAACUCCUCAAAGAACGAAGCAAGGCCAGCAGAUCAGGCUCCAGCCAAGACCGAUAGUCGCACUCCAACCAACAGGAGGACCGGAGGAAGGGAUUUUGAAAGGAAGGAUCAGAAGCCGUCCUCUGAAACAGAGAAACCGGAUCAAGAGAGGAAGAGGUGGCGUAACGACAAGUGGAAGAGCAACAAAGAGAUCGUCAAAGAACAGCGUCCCGAGCCUGAAACCUGGCGCAAACCUGUCGAAGAAGAGCCAAAGCCCGCACCAGGAGGCGGCAAACUGGUCUCUGCCCUCGAGCUCGCUCAAGCAUUCUCGAAGUCGGUCUCGGUUCCGAAAGCCAACGAUCUGCGGUCGCCCCACCAAGGACCGGUCAGGCACAGCGACAACAACGGUAGUCAGGUACCGUUUUCUCGAUUGACGGAGACUCGCGAUCUCCACCACCCGGCACCAGCGACUGCAAGGCACCGGCUGAAUGGUUACUAACUUUUUAGAUGCUUAGUCCUCUGGAGAUCGACUCAUGGUUGAUGAAUCGUUCAGAAGCGACGAAAGGUAAAAAGAUGAUCGGGGAAUCGAAAUGCAGGUGGUGGUGAAGGUCCGGGGGGAAAUAGUGUUGGGUUCUUUCAACUCUAUUUGAUUGUUGAGGGACGAUUUGAAGCACCAAAACAAUAUUAGUUAUCAGCGUAUUUGAACUGUGGGCUAUCAGCUAUUGUAGUUCUUUCAGUCUGUUUACUCAUCUCCUAAUUAAACGCCCUGAUCAGUUUUUUUGGUGUAAUUAGGGUUGUUUAUCGAUAGUAACAAUCGAUCUCUUCUCCACGAGUACUCGCACAAAGCUGUAAACAGUUAGCCACAAAGUGUACUACAUUCCCAUCAACAAAGAUCGAACUCGGAUGGGUUAUCGUCUGAUCAGUUGACUAUUAGUAUUAGUCCAUUUCAUCUUUACUCGGAUCCGAUUCCGUACAUUCUUAACCCAACCCGAUACAUGAGCCACUAAUGAAAGGCCCAAUGGUUAAGUUCUUUAUCAGUGGACCAGAAGGCCUGACGCAGUGGAGUCUUCAUGGUCAAGAGAUAGAAGUCCACAGCCCGUGGCCACAUUUGGACCGGUUCAGAUGAAACGGUUCGAAGUCAGGUAAUCGAUUAGCCUGCGCAACGUAAACAGUCGAAUUAACGCAUAACACACGCACUAAAAGGAUAAACCCUUAUACUUCUCUAUCUCUUCCUUUCGAUUUUUCUCAAUUUGCCCUUCCUUCCUUGAUCCACUCCUUUCCAUUUGAUUUAUGAGGCGAUUACGAAUAUUUUUGAAACCACAAAUUCCCGAUACCGAUCAAAUAAAGAGGUCCAAAUCAGACUAAAACGGACCCUAGUAGCUUUAAGGACUAGUUUGUUAAGGACCGUUUGAUGAAACGGUCCUGUAAUUAUAGUCUUUAAAACUCUAUUCUUCCAAAGAGUCAAGCUCGACUCGUGAGUGUACAUUGAGCUAUGUGAUCACGAGCCAAUUUGUUUAAUUUGUAGCUCGUGGGCAGGUUUGAUUAAAACAGACUCUAAUAGCUUUAGGGAGAAGCUGAUUAUUAGGGGCCGUUUUAAUGAAACAUUCCCGUAAUUACAGUCCCUAAAUUAAACUCUAUUCUCUCAAAGAGUCAAGCUGGACUCGUAAGUGCACAUUGAGCUAUGCGAUCACGAAUCAGUUUGUUUAAUUUAUAGCCAGUGAGCAGGUUUGAUUAAGACAGCUCGCGCGCCAACUCGCGAUAAGGUACUCAACUUACUAGUAGCUCAUGAGCUCGCUCGAUUUUGAAUUUUACUGAUUUCGAAAGUUUAUCCACUAUCUAGGUGCUUUUCGAAAAGGUUUAUAGAGAUGACUUCUCCGUAACAAAAAAAAAUAUAAUUACCGUAGCAUAAAAAACAGUUCACCUUUUUACCUUUGGCCAAUUUUGUUUGUCUUUUACAAUGAAGUUAAAAUAAAAUUGACGGAGACAUGACAUGGAUCGUACAAGUGAAGCUCAUGAUCCAGUACUACAUUUUUUUUAUAAGUUUGUGUUUGUAUCUUUUUCUAGAGCAUAUAAAUGAUUGUUGUACACUAAAGGUUAUGGGCAUGCAUGUGAUCGUCGGGUUGAAGUAUGAUUGUUUCGUCUAAUUUUGUAUAAAUUUUUCACUUGGAGUAGUGAGCUCAAGAAUGGCGUAUGUUAGAGAAUUGGGAGAGAGAAAACAAAAUGAAAAAAAUUAUAUAUAUUAAGAAAAAUUUAUUUUUAUCAACAAAAUGAACCUUUUUAUUAAUCACAAACCUAACAAAACUAUACAAGAUGAAUACCCAACCUAGGUAGUCCCCAAAUACAAAUAAAAGCGGUUAAAGAAAUGGCCCCCCCACUUCAUACCUAACUAAGUGGAAAUGUUCCUUUUGAAUUUAUGAUAAUCUGUCAUCAAUCGAAUGGAUGAAGCAUUAUUUAAUUUAUAAUAUGAAAUUCAAGCAAUAUAUGUGAGUUUUUUCGGUCUGAGGAAGUUCGCUAAAGUUCUCGCGAACUUAUGCCAUGAUAAAUGGGACUUGAUGGGCUAGCUUUUGGGCUGCGUCGCCUAGUUGUUUCCAUCAUACAUGUAAGAUGUAGUCAAGUCAAAAAUUUGACGUUAUAGUAAAACUUAAAAAAAAUAUUUUUAACUUUAUUUGGCUAUUGUUUGAAGGGUUUAAUAUGAAAUUUUAAUUUUUAGUCAUUCCCAAUAUGUAUAAAAAAUAUUANNNNNNNNNNNNNNNNNNNNNNNNNNNNNNNNNNNNNNNNNNNNNNNNNNNNNNNNNNNNNNNNNNNNNNNNNNNNNNNNNNNNNNNNNNNNNNNNNNNNNNNNNNNNNNNNNNNNNNNNNNNNNNNNNNNNNNNNNNNNNNNNNNNNNNNNNNNNNNNNNNNNNNNNNNNNNNNNNNNNNNNNNNNNNNNNNNNNNNNNNNNNNNNNNNNNNUUUUAUUAUGUGUUAGGUUAAUGGUGAAAAUUUUAAAUUAAAGUAAUAAUGGGUGAUUUGAGGUAUUACAAGUUAUAACCAGUGAUGUGCCUAUUUGACUUUAGAAUAAAAAAAAAUUCAAUUAUACUACUUAUAGAUUACGUUCGAUAUUGUCCCAUUUAAUCAUUGACAUAUUUUGUUCAAUUGUAAUCAUACAAAUGUUGGUAGAAAAUAUUGAGGAAUUUUAUAAGAGAAUUAAGUUGGGUUAUUUUAAAAGUAGUUAAUUAUAUGUUGGGUCCUGUUUGGAAGAGGACUGUCUUGUCUUUAGUGUUGGCUUCAUAUGAUGAAAAAUAAUCGAUUAAUUUAAGAAGAGAAAACCAUGGAAUUUGAAUUGACCACAAGGUAAUGUUUGGAUGGUUGUUUCUUACAAGGAUUCAGGCUAAUUGUUUAGGAAAUUGCUCGUUUUGUUUUGAAAAAAGUAAUCGAAAUUCGCCCAUUUCGGUAUCCUUUCCGGUCUAAGGUUCUCUCGCAAACGGUAUAUGCUACAAUGGUAAGCACUCAUUUAUUAUUAUAGAGUCGGAGACGGAUCCAAGUUUGUAAUUAGUGUCGUCGAGAUCAAACUAAUUGAAUUUGUCACCCACCGAAAAGGGAGAACAACAUGUACCCGUUGUUCUUUUUUAAUUGAAUGCUUAGCAUGUAAUUGAGGGAAUGAUUACCAUUUUGUUGGAAUUAAUGUCUGAGAUCAAAUUAAUUGAAUUUGUCAUUCUGUUCACCGAAAAGUGAGAACAACAUAUUCCAAUUAUUCUUUUUCCCUUUCAAAAAUAGGUUCCAACAUGUAACAAAUUGCAUAUCAAGUAGUUUCAAGGACACUAAUUCCAACAACAAUUCAACUAGUUACUUGAAACCUUUUUUCCAUCAUGAAAAACCGAUAAAUUAACGAUUCCAUCGAAAUUAACUCUUUAUCCAAACAUGACCCAAUAAGAGCUUUGUGUCCUUAUUUGACAUUCAAAAAGUUCUGGCAACAGUAGUAACAGAAACGACAAAAUAGCGGCCGGCUAAGACAUCUUCCUUAACCUAUGCUUCAACUCUCACUAAUUACGUACACAAUUAUCGUUAACCCGAGAGAGAUAAUGAAAGGGGGGAGGACUAAAUUAGGGUUUCGACAAUUUAGCUUAUGAAAUCAAAUUCCAAUCAUCCAAACUUUAUUUGUCCAUGCAUGCAACAAUGGAAUCCGAUGUGGGGUUCGAAACAUGGAACCUCUCUCAUCCUACCUCAUAUCACAUUUGAUUUUCGAAUAGAUAAAACGAGAAUCUUCGUUCAAUCCCAUGUGUCACGUUUUUUUAUACUUCACUUAUUGAUAAGCGAAGAUUUCGCCAAUCCCAAUAACAGUUUGUUCAUACUACAUUACUCGUUCAGUUAUAUGUAUCAAUUAUUCCGGUGACGAAUUGAAAAUGUUCGAAUUUUAUACACUCGUAGGUAUAGUACUACUACUUGGAGGCUGGAGCCGCUAGUGAGUGGUAGCAAGCAUAUGUUCAAUCAAUCUCAUGUACCAAAAUUACCAUAAGUCUUCACUUAUUGACAAACGGACAUCAGGCCAAUCCCAAUUUAUUCAGACUAAAUAACUCGAUCGAUUAUAUGUAAUAGAUAUGUAUCAAUUUUUUCAGUGACGAUCGCACACGGAAUGUUUCGAAUUUUAUAAGCUAGUUGGUAUGGUACUACUGCUUGGAGCCACUAGCUAGUACCAAGCAUAUGUUCAACUAGAAAUAGAAAAUAUAAGAAAAAUGCAUCAUCUUUCUUACACUAAACUCCAAAUCUGCAUCGUUCUGUACUUCUUCUUCUGCAUUAUUGAACCAACACAUUCUUCAGUUCUUCUGUAUAUAUAAUACACAAACAUGGCUCUCCAUCAGAUUCCCUUUCUCUGCAAACCUAAAACCCUAACAUCAUUCACAAACCCUUCGAAAAAGCUUCGAUCUUUCGCCAUGAAAACAGAGUUUAGAGCAAACCCUUCAUCCAUCUCCCUCCAAACCCCUAACAAGAACCUCUUCACUAGCCCUACUCCUCCCCAAUCGGCCGCACUGCCCUCGGCCGGAAUCUCGGGGGCUCUCAACGGGUGCAGCUUGGGCAGCCUCGACGGCGCGUGCAUAGAGAAGCUCCUCCUCCACUGUGCGAGUGCCUUGGAGAGCAAGGAAUGGACCCUUGCUCAGCAAGUCAUGUGGGUCCUCAACAAUGUUGCUUCACUGAGUGAUGACCCUAACCAACGGCUCACUUCAUGGUUUCUACGUGCCCUCAUUUCGCGGGCUGCGAAGGUGUGUCCCACUGCCAUGCAUCACUUUGACGGUGGUGGUGGCGGUGGAGGAGGAAGCUCAUCUGCCUCCUUUGGAAGCAGGAGGAGGCAGAUGACUGUCACUGAGCUGACCGGGUACGUUGACUUGAUCCCUUGGCAUACUUUCGGGUUUUGUGCUUCGAAUGGUGCUGUGUUGAAGGCUAUCCAAGGUUGUUCUAAAGUCCAUGUGCUAGACUUUAGCGUCACCCACUGCGUGCAGUGGCCGACGCUCAUUGAUGCGCUGGCUAAGCGUCCUGAAGGACCGCCGUCGUUGAGGCUCACUGUUCCAUCGGUCAGGCCCCCAGUCCCUCCCUUACUGAAUGUGUCGUGUGAAGAGGUGGGGUUGAGGUUGAGUAAUUUUGCAAAAUUUCGAGAUGUUGAGUUCGAGUUUAAUAUCAUAGAUGGGAGUUUUGACCCUUUGGCAUCUUGUAUCAAGUCUAGUUCAGAUUACUUUCAUCGGUACUGCGAGUCGUUGUUGACCACUUUGACUGAUCCUGGUCAACUGUCCUCCCUGAUUAGGGAGGACGAGGUCAUAGUAGUGAACUGCCAAAACUGGCUUCGUUAUUUGUCCGACGAUGAAUCAUCUGCAAUUGGUUCCUUGAGGGGCGAAUUUCUACGCACGAUCUUCGGACUAAAUCCGGCCAUCGUAGUUGUGGUUGACGAGGAUGCAGACCUAAACAUGUCGAGUCUAACCAUGAGGAUCACAAACUGUUUCAACUAUCUAUGGAUCCCUUUCGACGCGCUCGAGACCUUCCUCCCCAAGGAAAGCUCACAGAGAAACGAGUAUGAAUCCGACAUAGGGCACAAGAUCGAGAACGUGAUCAGCCACGAAGGCGUUCAGAGGAUAGAGAGGCUAGAGUCAGGGGCGAAGCUCUGCCAAAGGAUGAAGAACGCCGGUUUCUCGAGCAUCACGUUCUGCGAGGACACAAUCAAGGAAGUCAAGUCGUUGCUCGAUGAGCACGCCAGUGGCUGGGGGAUGAAGAAAGAGGAGGACAUGCUAGUGCUCACUUGGAAAGGUCAUAACUCCGUCUUCGCCACCACUUGGGUACCGGGCAAUGGAUUAGAUCAGGAAUGAUACGCUGUUUUUCGAUUCGAAUCGACUCGAUUGAGAUAUGAUAUGACUUAUCAUGACAUGUUGACAAGGGCGGAUAGAUAGGCAUAUGUUGUUGUUUGUGGUCUUCUUUAGGGUUUUUGGGGUUUAGUCAUAAGGCUGCAAAAAGGUGGGUAAUGGAGACAAUUGGGUGUAGGCACCUUUGGUCACAUGUAGUUUGGAUUGAUGAAGAAAAUAAUGAAACCCUAGAUAGGGUAUUUGCUAGGCUACAAUGUUGUUGUUGUUGUACAUAUGAUUUUGUCUUUUGUUGGCUGUUGUUUUAUCUUUAUUCUAUUGAGUUUGUGUCACGAAAUGUUUGAAAGUAACGGUUCAUUGAUGUCUAGCUAGAUAUAGAGCUAGCUAGUCCUUUUUUUUAUGGAUUCAUCGUUUUGCUGAGGUUAUGCAUACAUUUUAUGAAUCAUUUAUUUUACAAUUUUCGUUGAACAUGUCACGUUGAAAUAUGUCAUGUCAUCAAAUGAACGACACUCAAUAUCGUAUUUAACGUCAAUCUUUUAUCUAUCUAAUAUAUGUGAAUGUAACCCAUCAAUAUUUAGUUGUUUCACAACCUUCACCAGUCCGAUCAUUGCUAGGCAUAUGUACUUCCAAAAAUUCUUGACCGGUGAACGUUACAUAUAUAGAAACACUCAACCUCAAUCGAACUCCCAACGAAAUGGAUCCGGCCGAGGAAGAGAGAGCCACGCAAAGUUAGACGUUACAAGCUUUUUUAUUUAUGGUCCAACAAGCUAAAAAGACUAUACGAUAAACAUUAUGAACCAAAGUUUUAUUUAUGGACCACAAAUGGUGUAAUUCUUCCUUUAGAAUUGUAUAUCAUGUACGGUACGAAGUGUCACGUUCAUCUGUUGCCACAUAAUUGAAAGGGACAAUCUUUCUGACAAACUGGUAAUUAAUAACUAGUUACAACGUACAUUUCGAGUUUUUGAGUGAUUCGGUUGGGAAGAUCGAGUUCAAAGCACCCCGUAAGGAAGGGUUAUUUCGAAACAAUCUUGUUUGACCCAGAUGAUAUUUAUGUUAGAAGUGUAAGGGUUUUUGUGUAAUUAUCCUUGCUGAUGUCGUUUCAUGCCUUGUAAUUGUGUAAAAGGGGCUGGCCGAUGGGUCAAAAGGGGGAAGAUCCUUUCUGUUUUGUCGAGCCCUGCUUUGGUCUCUGGUUUGUUUUUAUAGGUCCUUGGCAGGCUGACAGGCGAUCCAAUCUCCGACUAUGUGUAAUUCUUCAUUCGUCAGCGUAGGAAGGCUCCUUUAGAGAUCCCACAGCUCGUCUUAUAAACCAAAUCAAUUGAUUCGAUCAUUUUUUUCUAGCGCACUGCUACCUGAGCAUAGUUCUUACCGAACCUAAUUGAUUAGAAAGAGCAGGAGGAGUUGAUGGGCGGAAAAGGCCGGCUCGGCUAGUCAAUAUAGCCAUAAUCAGUAGCUUCAGACCAAAGGAAUACAACAGGGGUGGGAAAAGCUUAAUCUUAUUUAUUUAAUAGAGUGGGGUCCAGCCAAGAAUCAUGGCCCGAAAUUGGGGGUAGGGAAGUCAGACUCUUUAACGGAUUCUAAUAGAAAAUAACUCUAUCGUUACGUUGGGAUAUCAUAUAAAUCUCGUUAUUGUGAAUUUUUUCUCUCGAUUCAGUGGCGUUGACAAUUUUAUAUAUGAUGGGCAAUUGGACAUGAAUCUUUGCCUACUCCAGCAAAUUUCUCGGUAUUAAAAUACUUGUCUCGGGCUUCGCUUGUCGUGACAUAAACAUGGAUAUUAAAGUAUUCGGCCGAAUUAUCAUUAUCAAUUUUUCAUCGGAAACUAUUGUAACUUAAUUUAAGAUAUAUGGACAAUGGCAAAAUUCACCGUGUUAAUAAGAUGGAUUUAAUUUUGGGAGAUGGGCUUCCAAGUGAAAGGGUUCUCUCAUUGAGUGAGCUUGGUUCCUGACUGGGCCUCGCUGGGCAUCACUGGGCCUUAAAUGUAAGUGCAUACGAACAGAAAUAAUGUACUUCAAUUGGGCCUGAGGCUUUUGGUUUGGUGCAUCCGGAAUGGGCCGGCCCUACCUCAAUAGUCACCAUUUUUUUUACAAACAAUAGUCACUAUUUUAAUUUCCUUUCUCAAAUAAUAACAGCUAUUUUAUUUUCAAAUUUUGGUAUAAUGUAAAAUUAAAAUUAUUAUAGUUACAAACAUUUUAUUUAAUAUAAGUGUUUCCAUUAAUGCAUGGACAUUUGAAGAUGAAGCUGAGUUUUUCAACAAAAACAAAGGAAUCAAAUCAUCAAUCAACCCGAGUCACUCGGAAAGAAAGAAGCUCAAACAUAUGACCUCCACUCCUCACAAAAUAUCCAAACUGCCAUUACUCGCCAAUUCAGUAGAGACGUGGAUCCCAAUAUAGUUACACGUGGACAUGGUAAAUAAAGCCACAAAACAAGGGUAGAAAAGGGCAUGUGGACAAAUUAAGGCUUGGAAAAGUACAAUGAACCUGAAGGAGUUGAAAUGAAACGGUGCCGUUGCGUACAAAACAAGUCUCAUCGGUUCACUUCUUCGUGCAAAAAGAUCCAAAUCCAUUGAUAUCUUGUUAAAUAAGUCUCCUAAAUGUUCGAGUUUUCGAUCGAAUGACGAUCGGGAGGCGAUGAAUGAACAUAAUCGACGUAUCUUUAGAGUAGAAUUGUAGUUUGUUUUGAGUGGAAAUGUUUGGAGGACAUAGUCUAUUAACACUCUAUUGUUAUGAAUCUACUAGAUUCAUGUAUCGGUUGUGACUUGAUGUAAAUUAAUUAUUAUUUAAUUCACAUAAUAUCGGUGAUUUGAAGGGUUAAAACCUUAAUUUUUAGUUAUUUCUAAUAUGAAUGUUAAAUAUUAGCCAAUUUGAAAAUUUUCAAUUUUUAUGUGAAAAUAGUCUAUUUCCAAAGGGGUUAACCUAUGAAAAUCCACCAUUUUCACGAAAAAAAUUUCAAAUUUUCAAAUCGGCUAAUAUUUGACAUACAUGUUGGAAAUAGAUAAAAAUCAAGUUUCACUAUGAUAACCCCAGUAAAUAAUGGUCAAAUGAAGUUAAAAGUCAAUUUUACUUGGUGUUAUGUUAGUGUUGAAAAUUUCCAAAUUGACUUACUUUCUGCUUGUUGAGUCGUCGUUACAAGAAUUGCGUUUUAUUCUUCGAUCAUACACAAUGAUGUGAGAACCAAAAUGUUUUACCAUACAUUUCAACACGUACAGACAAUAAUAAAACAUACGUGUCGGUACGUUCAAUCAACUCUGCAACGAAACGCGAACAAGCAACCUAAUACAUCUUAAUUCUAAACCAUUUUAUGUUAACCGCUAACCGUACAACCCUCAUCAAAUUAGUUUAGCACAUAAAACCAUCCUCCAUCCACCUUAGUUACCGCCUCGAGUUCCUGAGAAAAGAAGCAAUAUACAAGCAAACAGAUUAGAGCACAGUAGAUUCUUAACUUACAAAACAAACAAUAAUUUUGAAGAUGGGUUUCCCACCAUUGACUCCUCAUUAGUCCAUUCCAUCAACUAGACUAAAACCACCACUACCUCGUGCCAUCUUUUUCAUCUUCAUCUUUGCACAAACAUCACCUAGCUAUCUAGCUACUACUAGUGGUCCAAGUCCAACCCAAUUGUUUAAUAUUGUCACCAAAAUUUACAGAUAAAGUGGUUCAUCAUUUGUCAGAAAUUUAUUAGUAUAUGAUGUUCAUGCUUCCCCCCCCCCAAACCCCAAUUGUUUAAUAGGAAUGUCAAUACAGUUGGGAUGUUUUUUGGUUCCUUUUUCAUUUUGUGUGUACUAAAUAUAAAAUCCUCUGUACUCUUUGUCUUCACACAACUUGUUUGCGUCUUCUACCUCUCUAUUUCUCUCUCUCACUAUCUUUGUGUCUCUGAUCGAUCUCAGUGGAGAGCCAGAGACGCCUUCUGCUUUGCUUCCCUGCCAAGUUCUUCCCUUUGAUUCCGUUUCUGGGGGGUUUCGAGCAAAAAGAGUAGUGAAAAAGAUCGAAGCUUUGAGGUGGGUUCUUCAUAAGUUUGCAGCUGAGUUCAGGAAGAAGGGGGUUUCUAGCAAAAAGAUCAAAGCUUUCCAGGUGGGUUUCUCUGCAAAUUUGGUGUCUAGGUCAUGGAAGUUCGUUGUGACCUUGAAGUGGAUGUCAAUGGAGAAGAAACUUUCAUGGUGGACAAGGUAGAAACCCUACUUUAGAAUAGUACUCCUAAUUAUGAGCUCUUUGCACUUUAAUGAUUUGGUUAAUCCUUUUUCUUACCACUUUUUCCCCCCUUUGCGACUAAUUUUGAUGGAUAGUACCAUAGGCCAUAGCCAUUAAAUUCCCACACCAAACACUGUACAUUAACAGCUCUUUUUUUCUCUGUUCUGUGCGUGUCGCAAUUCAUUCCCUUUCUUCCCUUUUUCCCCACUCUCAUUUAUUGCUGUGGUCUCAUGGAACUUAAAUGUUAUCAUAUACAAUACACUCCCUUUCGUUUUCUUGUAAUCACUACUUUUGAGAAAGCACUGGAAGAAGAAGAAGAAGAAGAAGAAGGAAGAAAGAUGGAUGCUUUUAUUUUUUCCCAAUUGUGCAUUGAAUUUCUAUUCAUUGCCCUCUUUUGCUGGGGUUGUUUAGUAUCUUUCAGCUGCACACAUCUCUUUACUGUUUUGGCAUCCACCAAUUGAUUGCUCUCUAAUAACGACAUCUCACCUUUCUCGCACCCCCCUAAUCUAAGCCAUUUUGAUCAUGAAAGGCUCUCUCUUUAAGGUGCUGUAAUUUCAUAUGACAGUGAUUCGAAAUGGAAUUGGAAUUUCCUUGGUUUUCUCACAUUCAUUCUCCAGGUUUUUGUUUGUGUUUACUGUCAUUGCAUCUCAAUAACUAGUUAUUCAAUACGAAGUUUGUAAAACUUCGGUAAGUCAUGUGCGGGAGUUAUUAGGAUUAGAAAAGGAGGCCUCUUUCAGUCUUUAAAAGCUCCAAUACUAUGUUCAUGAACUAUUUCAUCCUGCUAACUCGAGUUGUUGAGAGAAGUUUCUGACUUAGUUUAUUUUUGCAGAAGAUGAUUUCUUCAUAUUCAGGCAGACUAAGCAAGCUGUUUGGGAAGUCAACUUAUGGUGCUCAGAAUCUUAAGGUGUUGUUCAAUGAUUUCCCAGGAGGAUCUGAAGGAUUCGAGCUCAUGUUAAGAUUCUGCUACAACAAUGGGCAGAUACACAUAACUCCUUCCAACCUUUCCUUGCUGCAUUCUGCUGCAAAGUUCAUGGAGUUGACCGUUGACUCAUCACCAUCUGGCCUUAACUUGCUGGAACUGACCGAGAAAUCGCUUCGAGAGCAGAUUGGUUACUGGACUUGGUCUGAUCUCUUGGUCACCUUAAAGCAUUGCCAAGACUUGGACUCAAAUAAUAAUUACUCUUCUUCCAUUAUCGAGAAGUGUAUAGAUUCACUCAUUGCAAGGAUGGCUUUGUGUAAUGAUCAUUCCAGUCCAUGCCCUUCAACUUCUUCUUCGCUUGAUAGCUCCGGUACCGUUCGAGUUUCGUGUGAUAGUAGGAGCACUGAGAGUACCCUCAAGACCAGCUUAUCUACUAGAGGAGGAGCCACUUGGUGGUUUGAGGAUCUAUCUGGUUUGACUUUGACUUUUGUUGAGAUUCUCAUCAAGUCAAUGGUACUAUCCAAGAAGUUUGACCAUGGAACUAUCAGCAGAUUCCUCUUUUACUACCAGAAAUCGAAGUCUGAUGAGAAGGAGAAGCUGAAAACGGUCGAAUCGGUCAUUGACUUGCUCCACAUACUCGACUCGAGUUCGGUUCCUUGCAAGAGCUUAUUCGGUUUGCUUCGAGUUGCUUCGAAUGCAAGCAAAUGCAGUAGAAGCAAGGUGGAAGGCAUGAUAGGCUCUCAGUUGGACCAAUCAACUCUGGAUAAUCUUCUCAUUCCAUCCCGAACUGGGUGUUCGAAAAAUUGUCUGUAUGAUGUAAAUGUUGUUCUGAGGUUGGUAAAGAUGUUUCUCCACGAGGGAAGAACGUUUCGAGCGUAUCCUAAUCGAUUGAAGAAGGUUUCGAGUUUGAUGGAUAUGUACAUUGCUGAAGUGGCCCCUGACCCUUGUCUGAAACCUUCAAAGUUUUUAGCUUUAGCCAUGGUGUUGCCUGAUUCUGCUCGAGACUCGUACGAUGACAUGUACCGUGCUAUGGAAAUGUAUCUCGAGGUAAUUUGAACUUUUUUCAAGGACUUGAAAUAAGUUCAAUCUGGAUUGAAUCUGAUAUGAUCAUGUUUUUUUCUAAUAGGUGCACAGUGGAAUCUCUGAUGAAGAAAAGAUGAAGAUAUGUUGUGCACUAAACUACGAGAAGGUUUCAAGCGAAGUAUGUAUGCAGAUUUCUCGGAACAAGAAGUUCCCAUCAAGAACAGAAAUCCAAGCUUUGAUGUCUCAACAAGUGAAGCUCAAUAACCUGUUACAAGCUCAAGAACCUGUUACAAGCUUAGUCGAAAAAAGGGAUCCUAAGGAGAAGAAGACCGAGGAGCAAAUCGUUCUGUACGCUGCCAAGCUCGAAUUCUCGAGCGAUAACGAGAGGCUUAGAGCGCAUUUGGAAGGGAUGCAGUGGAGGGUGAUGGAACUCGAGAAAGUGUGCAGGAAGAUGCAGACAGAGAUGACAAGGAUCAUGCGAUCGAAGAGUACUCCGAAUCGUGGUAAUAACUUGCGAUCUUUGCCAAAGAUGUGUUCUUGAUCAGGAAUCAUCAUGUCAAAUGGCUUUCAUUGAGCUGUAUAGCAGGGGGGGGGAAAGAGUUCUUUUUUACUAUUUGGGGUUUUGUAACCAGUUAUUUUUUCCACUUAUGUCUGAUAAAGUGAAAAAGGGGUAGUUAUCUGUAAAGCAAGAUGCUUGAGAUGUUGGUUUGUAUAGUAAAAUUAAACCACAGCAUGAAGAAAAGAGAUGAACUUUAUGACAAUGCAAUUGAAUUUCUUUCUUGGGUUUUGAAGUUGGUCCCCAGAAGGACAAGUCAGUUUCAUUGUUUAUGCAAUUUCCAGACACGACUACUGUGUAUCUGGCUGUAGUGAUAAGAACUCAUGCAUCUGUCCACAAACCAAAACCAAACUUCAUAGUUACAAGUGUAUGUAACUAGUUACAGACAUACAGAGGAUGAACCCUCUCUGCUUCAGAAAAUUCUCAUUGUCUUUGAUUCUAAAUCUCUUCCAUUCUUCCCGCCCACAUGCCAAAGAUUGUACCUUUGGAAUCCCAUGGCCAUGCUUGCAUACUGGUGUAUUGACUUUUGCAGAGCCAUUUUUGUCAGUGUUAUACGAGUAAUAGUGCCAAAAAGGAAAGAAACAAACCCCACUUAUUGGAAGGUGGAAAAGAUAAAGAGAGGGGUCUCCUCAGUGAGUGAGUCACGUGGCUAGUGCCAAAAAGGAAAGGAACAAAGCCAGUUAUUGGAAGGUGGAAAAGAUAAGAGAGGGGUCAAGUGGCUAGUUGAAUCAGAGAAAAUCCAUUAAAAAACGGGUUAGAUUCUAAGUUUUGAUAGUGGUUGGGGCAAUCCAGCUCUUUCCUUUGCUUUAAUAUACAUAAAUAGUAGAUAAUCUCGGAAGAGCAAUGAAUCUUGAAUGGUUUAACGUAAUCAAAGUUGAAAUGUGCUGGAUUUCGUACGAAUUUUAAGUUUUAUGUUGUUAAUUUUUGAUCCGUUUAAAGGUUAACUUUGUGAUUUAACUAUUUUAUGGUUCGAACUCGAAACUCUUACUAUUAACCAAUUUUCUCACUCCGUCGCCAGGUUAUAACUUAUGAGGAAGUUGUUGAAGCUGUUGAAGCUGUAGGUGACCUGUUUUCCCUUUGAGAAGCCAAUAAUUUACCUCAAUUUAUCAAUGGAGAUUCUCUUUGUGUGGAGGAGGCUAGAGGUAGAUCAUCAUCACCUGCUAAUUUGUCCAUUUUGAUCAUAUAAAAUCAAUGCCAUUGGGGAAAAAAUUUGAUGAACAACCUGUCAAAGAGUUUGCUGGUGGUGUAGGGCCAAAGUUCUAUCCUCCUACUACCAUACUAAUUUCAUACCAUCAAAUUGCUAUCUCGCAAACUCGACUCAUCCGGUCACUUUGACACAAGUGAAUCAAAGUCCCAAACUUUCAAAUUAACUUACAAUAACUGUAUACUUAGUACUGUAGAAUUUGUGAAAACACAAUUCCCAAAUGUAAAUUAUAAAGUUCGUUUUUUCGGAGACAGUGACCUAGAUUAGUCCAUCUCGAAUUCCCGACCUGACAGACCUAAAAGUGAUUUUUUUUGUUGGUGAGGAAGGUGGCGAUAAUGCUCAAAUUUUGGUGGAACUGAAGGGUAUAAUUGCCCUGGUUGUUUGCUGACUUUGAGCCAGCCCAAAUAAUUCAGCUAGCUCUAUGGAUUGAUGAAUUCUGUUAGGUGGGUUUGCAUUAAGUUUGUGAAAUUGACUAGUGAUGGUGGGGAAUAUGGGGGUGUUAAUCUUCAUUUAAGUAAAUAGUUCUAUCAUUGUAGGGUUUUUUUUCAUAUGAAAAUGAGAGCUUUGUGAAAUUGUUAUGGAGAUCAAAUCAUGAUACUAAUACUUUAUAUUUGAUUAAAUUUCGUCCAAAAAUCAAACUUAAAUCACCAACAUUCAAAAUCGUGAUAUGAUGAUAUAUGAUAGAGAAUGAAACACAAUUAUAAACGGAAAAUAAGAACCCGAAAUACAUAAAUUUGUUAACUCAAUUCCCCUUUGCGAGAAUAAUAAUAAGUCUAGAGGUUGCUGUCAAGUCAUGAAUCAAUAUCGACUAUUAAUUUCGUUAUGCAUAUUACAAUGAAAUAAGAGCAAGUUAUAAAUGAGUUAUUCUCUAUUAAAAUGGACAAAUUAAUAAGGCUCGACCCAUUGACCAAAACCAUCAAAAUAAUCCCCCAAAAAACUUCACGUUACAAUAUUAUUCGGUUAUUCAUAAGUGUUAAUUCGGUUCAUCAAACCCCUAACACUAAUAACAAUUAUGUUGUGUCUCUUUGACGUCAUCUCUUGGGGCAAGUUUUCCCUAGGAGUCCGAGGGAUUCAAUAAUAGCAUAUGAAUCCCCCUCAUCCCAUCGAAGAUUCAAUAUUUCUGUUGGCAAGUUUUCCAAGACUGCCACUGUGGGUAAUUUGCAAAGGAGAGGCUUUCAUUUGGCGUAAUUUACAAAGGAAAGUCUUUCAUUUGACGAAUAGAUGUUUUUUUUGUGAUCGUACGGUCGAAUCAAUUGAUCAUAUCUACAUUCAGUGCGAAUUUUCAUAUAAAAUUUGGAUGGUUUUUUUAAGUUACUCCUCUAAUGGUUUUUCGUAUUUUGAUUUGGAUGAUUUGGCUGGUAUUGUGCCACCAACAAACAUAUUUUCCUGUUGAUUUUUUAUUUUCCUUUACAUUUUCAUAUAAAUAGUGUACCGCUGUGAAUUAUUUUUUUUUUUAUUUUCAGAUUUUCCAUACUUUUGAUAAUCCAAAUACAAAACUCAAAAUUUAAAAUUUAAAUAUGAAAAUCUAAUAUUCUAAACCCUAAACCUAAAACCCAAACACAAAAUUUAAAAUCCAAAAUUGAAAACUCAAUACGCUAGACUCUAAAUCUAAAACUCCAAAACCUAAAAUACAAAUCCAAAAUCUAAAAUCCAAAAUUUAAAAUCAAAACCAAAAUCCUAAUACUAAACACAAAACUCAAACACUAAACUCAACUCAAACCGAAACAAAUAAUAAAUUAAAUAAUUUUUAUUAAAAAGACUUCCGUGUCCUUUUUAUACAAACCAUUAGAUCUAAAACUCAUGAAAUCUAACGAUUCAAAAUUAUCAUAAAAUCCUGAAACCAUUUUUUGCAUGAAUUCCGAACACACUCCUCGUCUCUCUGCUCUUGUUGGUGUGAUAAUAACAUUAUUAUUAAUAUUCCUUCUUCACUACUUUACUUUCGCUUAUACGCUACCCUUUCUCUUCAUGCGUGCUUGUUCCCGAGGAACCAAUUCACCAACAAGUAAGUUUCCAUUAGGAGUUGUUAAACUCUAGUCGUUCGGAGGGAACAAUAACGUAUCGGUUCGAAUGUCUCUGAACAAUAACGUAUCGGUUCGAAUGUCGUUUGGGUCGAGUCAUAGUUGCUUAGGCCGGUAUUUUGGUGUUGCUUCAUCGCAAUCACAAAUGACAAUAGUAGUGAUUAGUUUUAGCGAGACCGUAUGAACCUGAACGGGAAAUGAGAGAGAACGAGGAUAAAGAACACAUGUCGAGCAAAUUGUUCCUUCGGUUCUUUAUUCCCCAGAGGUAUUUAAAUAGAUAAGCCCAUAUAGUUGUGUGUAAUGGGCUACAUUGGGUCCGGACCGGCCCAUAAAAACGUAGAAAAGUGAGCAACUCCAGCCCAUCCAAAAGCUGCUUCUCCAUUCUCCAAAGAACACCACAAUUAACCCAUGGAUGAGUGACUAAUUACUACCGUACCAAAGUCAAUUGGUUUGGUGGUUAAGCUGUCUUGCGGUUCAAUAGUCUCCGGCUCUGGGAUGGUUAUUCAUCGUCGACUUUUUGGUGCUUGAGUCCAUCUCAAUAAGAUUGUCUAAUAAAAAUUAGAUAAUAGAAAAAAAUUAAUUAUUUAAUAUACUUAUUAGAUAUUGCUAAAGUAUAAUAAUCUAAUAAGAAGAGGUGAUUUAAAAUUGUAAAAAUGAAAUAAUUAUUAAAUUCGUGUAUGUGGCCAUAAAGUUUAUAUUAACGAUUAUUAAAUGGAUUUUGAAAUGGAGAGGCAAACUAAUUAAAAAUAAUACAAACUCCUAAAAACCUUUUUAACGGGCGCAUCACAUUCAAUAAUGUUAAAAUUGUAUAAUUGACUCUAAGACCGUCGACUUUUAAUCUGAACACUUAGUUAAACAUAUCAAACAGUCGCUAAAAAAAUAGUAAAUAUUUCAAUUCGUUUUUUCGUCAGUCUCCUUUUUCGUAGGUCGCCUUCUUUAUAAAUGCAGGUAGAGUAUGAGACAGACAUCACACUUUCAAAUUGAUGUCUACGACAGUCUAUUUUGAUUAGCCCACUCCGACUGGCCUAUUUUGUUUUCAGAUCGCCCCUUUCGCGGGUCGUUCCUUCCGCAGGUCGUCCCCUCUGCAAACGCGAAUCGGAUGUGGGACAUGCUUUGAUACCAACUGUUACAACCCUCUGGGUAGAAUUCAUCUCCAAAAGUUAGCUUACAAGAGUAGGGUGUCCAUAAUGUUAUAACCCACCCGCUAAUCCCAUAUUUAGCGAUGUGAUAUUCAAUUGGGCACCGGAUCAGAUAACAGUUAUCUGUAACUGGUCAAACCGGAUAACCGUAUCCAUUUAAGAGUAAAAUGACUAACCUUAUCCGUUUUGAAUACUAAGAACGGCUAACCGACACUAUUUUUCAAUCGAUUACGAUAUAACCGGUUAUCCAAAUAAUUACCCAAACAAAUUUUAAAUAGCGAUUACGUGAGCUAAUUAAUAUAAUCCAAUUCUUAUCUAGCGAAUACGUGAGCUAAUUGCAAUCAUCUACGCUUCCACUACCUCAUUUAAUUAUAAUCAUUCACUAUCUAACUAAUUUGAAAAGCAAACUGUUUGGAUCAUUAUCCUACAACUUGGCCACUAUCUUCUUUUUUAUUUAUUCUUAACAAUGUCAACUAUAUGCAAUUGUACCACUAAUGUUCCUCUCAUUGCCAUGACAAGUUGACACUUUACAUGUCACUACUCACUAGAUUAAUGUCAUAUUGCUAUAUUAUGUUGUUUUAUUUAUUCAUAAGAUAUGUUUUCCUUAGACAUCAUUUAAAUAUUGAGAUUUGAAUCUGAAAGGAGAUUUGACCUCAAAUAACUUAUUACAACAAGUAUUUUAUAAGUGACACGAAUAGAGCUUUUUACGAGAAUAGAGAAAGAUUUGAAAUAAAUUCGUGGCAUUUUAACAUUUUUUUAUCAUUUUUUUUUAAUAUUUGUACUUAAAAAUCACUCAUAUAUCACCAACCUAAAUAAUCUAUUUCAGAAACAUCAAAGUUUAUCUAAAUUUCUAACCUUUUUAAAUAACUUGAUUAAUUAUUUUAUUGCAACUUGUAAAUUUCCCAACUAUAUAUAACGGCUCACCUCGAACUAUUAUAGCAGUAGUACUUUUCCCCAAUUUGGUCCAUAAAGAUUACCAAAAGUACAAAACAGUCACCAUAUAAUGGUUUCGAUCAAUCUCCAUAGCAUGUCUUUAAACCCAAGUGUUGUCCUCUUUCGUCCAUAUCUUCCUACUCCAAACAACACCUUACCAAGAAUGGCAUCUUUAACCGCCGGCGGCCGGCUCAAAGUAGUAGCGGCAUCAUCGGCGGCGGAUGUUGAUCACCGGCGGCGCUCUGCCAAUUACAAACCAACAACGUGGAAUCACGAGUUUCUCCAGUCCUUCAAGGUCAACAAUGACGCCAACAAUGAAGUGAGUACCCUGUGGAAAUUUGCAUCCAUGCAACUUCUGAAUUUUUUGGUAUCGCAAAUCGCAAAUGUCAUGGGCGUCGCAUUUCAAAUAAUUUUAUACCAAUUUCUUACACACCAAUAUCAAACGAAAGCCAAUUCGCAAGAUUGAAGUUUGCACAGACUCACUAUGCCUUAUGCUUAAGUCAACGGUUAAUAUUAGGAGUCGUGCAAAUUCAAACUCACGCGCAAUCAUUUAGUCUAAAAACUUUGAUACCAUAUAAUAAACGGUUGCUUCUAAAUAAUUCGAUCAAGUUGCUCAGAGAGGGUUAAUCAUGUGAUUGACCAUUAUUGCAUCACAAUAACUCGUAAAUUUUUUCAGGAUCAACUAUAUAAGGACAAGGUGGUGGUCAUGCUGGAGAAGGAGCUUCAAGCCGGCGAGAUAAUGAAGGAGGAAGAUGUUUUGAAUAUGCUUGAACUCGUCGAUGAUAUUCAGAGGUUGGGGUUGUCACAACGAUUCGAAAAGGCUAUCCGCGGAGCUCUCGAUCGAUUCAUCUUCACCGGAGGGUGUAAUGCCAUAACAAAUAAGUCCAUCUACUAUGUAGCUCUCGGGUUCAGACUCCUUAGACAGAACGGUUAUCACGUUUCUCAAGGUAUAAACUUAACUGGAUGGACGGAAUCAGGAUUGAAAAGAUGUAAUGGGUUGGAUUUUUAAUCAAAUUUUUCGAUCAAGUAUUGAGGAAUUUGUAUGGCAGAUGUGUUGAAAGAGUUGAUGAACGACGAAGGUGUGUUCGAGGGAGAUGCAAAAGACAUGUUGAGUUUGUACGAAGCUUCGUACGUUGCUUAUGAAGGUGAAGACAUGUUGGAUAAGGCCAUGGAGCAAACGACCAACUACCUCAACAACUUUCUGUUACGGACGACGAACUCUAGUAGUACUAGUACCAGUAGUAUGCAAGAACUAGUUCGUCACUCUCUGGAGAUUCCCCUGCAUCGAAGAGCCGAGAUUCUAGAAGCUAGAUGGUACGUCGAAGCAUAUAAGAAGAGAAAAGGUGUAAAUCCUGAACUGCUUCAGCUAGCCACUCUAGAGUUCAACUCCGCUCAGUCGGUCCUCCAGAGCGACCUCAAAGACUCAUCAAGGUAACUUAUAACUUAUAAAACCAUAAGAUUUUAUGAUCGAAUUAAAGCUUCACCAAACACUUAAACGUACGUAGAAUAACUGAUUGUUAAAUACUUAACAAUAAAUUGCUAUGUCCUGGGUGACGUGGACCGAGUCUAGACAAAUAAAUGGUUCAUCUUCAAUUUUUUAUGAACAAAAGUAAUAAUAUUAAAAAGGUUCCGAAAAAAAAAACCCAAAUGUCUCACAAGUUAAAAUUAGUUAUUGAUUAUAUAACUUCCGAUCUUAAAAAAGAUUAAUAAAUUUUAUUAUAAAGUCUGAAAAUAUAUAAACUGUCAAAACAACAAACGCAAAACAUGUACAUUUCGAAAAUAAAUGAAAACCGCCCACUACAUGAUUUUUGUGAAGGUGGUGGAAUAGCUUGGGACUUGCGAAAAAGCUGAGUUUCAGCAGGGACAGAUUAGUGGAGUGUUUUCUGUGGGCGGCUGGAACGAUGUUGUUCCAGCCGCAAUCCAGCUCGUGUCGCAAGAGUUUAACAAAGGUCACCUCGUUCGUUACCACAAUCGACGACAUCUACGAUGUCUACGGCACUUUAGAGGAGUUGCAACUAUUCACCGAUGCAGUCGAGAGGUAAAUCUUCUUCCUCUGUUUUCGGAGUUACAUAUAGAAAUUGCGGGGUCCAGGUGAUUUGGACAAAAUCGCUUGUUUCGACUCGAAAAAAAUGAAAUUAAUUCAGGUGGGACAUCAAUGCUGUGGACAACUUACCAGACUACAUGAAGCUGUGUUUCUUAGCCUUCUACAACACCGUCAAUGACAUGGCUUACGAAGCUCUCCUUAUACAUGGACAUAACGUCUUACCCUGCCUUUCCAAAUCGGUAUGUAUGUUACCUCGAAACUCGAUCGAACCGGUGAGACUAAUUAAUGAGUUAACGUUUGGUUUUACAGUGGGCGGAUUUGCUCAAGGCGUUCUUGAAAGAAGCAGAGUGGACGUACCCCGACAACCCACCGACGUUCUCGGAGUACGUAGAGAAUGCAUGGAGAUCUGUCUCGGGAACGGUGAUCCUUGUCCAUGCAUAUUGUCUGAUGAAUGACGAUGUUCACGUAAGUAGCUUCUCUAAGGAGACGCUUGAUGACUUGAUGAACUACGACAGAAUCCUCCGCUGGCCGUCGGUCAUUUUCCGGCUCUGCAAUGAUCUUGCUACUUCGCCGGUAAGUUCAUAGAUUAUAACACACGCACGUCAAAUCCCAAAAAAAAAAAAAUUUAAUUUUAUUCAGCUAAAUACUUAUAUCGAUUUACAAGGGAAAGCAAGUGGAUUUACAUCUCAAACCAUGUAGGGAAUUAGUUUAGACGUGUAUUAAAACAUAUUCUCUAACUCGUAGAUGGACACUCGAUUGAUAAUAGCCUGAUGAUCUCUGCAGGAAGAGAUGGCGAGAGGAGAGACGGUGAACGCGAUGUCGUGCUACAUGAGCGAGAACGGAGUUAGUGAAGAGAAGGCAAGGAAGCACUUGAACUCCAUGAUUGACCAAGCUUGGAAGAACAUGAACCGGGAGCUAUUAGAAGAUCAUGACGAGAAAUCGGGGGCUGAGUUUGCGAAUUUGUAUCGAAGAUCGGCGAUGAAUCUGGCGAGGAUCACUUAUUAUAGUUACAGGCGUGGAGACAGCCACGGGAAUCCAGAUGCCGAGUCCAACCAGACUGUCUUCUCCCUCUUCUUCCAGCCCAUCGUUACUAAGGCUUAAUUUUUUAAUGUUACUUUAAAAUCAAUAAGACGAUGGGAAUCGAACUUCUGUUCUGUUUUUCCAAAUAAUGAUCAUCACUGCUCAGCCCAAUAGAUAAGGCCCAUUCAAUACUGGGCCUAGUGAUGGGAAUGAGAAUCUUAAUUAUUAAAAAAUAUAAUUUCAAAUUCAAAUUAAAAUCACUCGAUUUUAUUGAUUUUUUAACCGUGAAUAUAAGAUGAGAUUUGUCGCCGAAUACGGUCAUCUUUUAUCGUAAGCAUCGGUAUCGGUUUGCUUACAUGAAACAUUGUCGUGAUCAGUAGUACAACUAGUAAAUACACUUCAUAUAAAUCAUACACACAUGACGUGAUUUUAUUAUAAAUCAUAUAUACAUGACGUGAUCUCUAGAUUCUUGAAGCGUUGACGUUAAUGGCCUGAAAGAUGAGGGAGAAGACUGUCUUUUUGGACCCAACGUCUGGAUCGCCGUGGCUGUCUCCACGGUGGUAAGUAUGAUGAGCGAUCCUCGCUAGGUUGACCGCCGACUUUAGAAACGAGUUCGCAAAAGCAGGCGACGAGUUUGGUGAUGACAAUAACAAUAGCUCUUGAUUCAUGUUCUUCCAAGCUUGGUCGAUCAUGGAGUUCAAGUGCUUCCUUGCCUCCUCUUCGCUGACUCCGUUCUCGUUCAUGUAGCACGACACUGCGUUCACCGUCUCCCCUCUCGCUAUCUCGCUCUGCAUAAUCGUCGUUGAAUCGAAAACAAACUCAAUAGCGUAACAAUUAUUUAUAACCUAGAGGUAUAGAGAUUUGUGAUCAAGUGGGUAUAGAUGAAAAAUUGAAACUUUGCUACUAAUCAAACAACAAAUGACCCUGCUAUCUGACCGUUCUUAUGUGUCCGAGGAAUCAAUAUUCACGUACCGAUGAAGUUGCCAGAUCAUUGCAAAGCCGGAAGACGACGGAUGGCCAGCGAAGGAUUUUGUCGUAGCUCAUCAAGUGGCUCUCCAAACCCACCUUUGACACACAAUUAUCAUCUAAGUUGCCGUCGACAUCGUCGUUCAGGAGACAAUACGUGUGGACAAGAAUCACUGUCCCGGAGACAGAUCUCCAUGCAUUUUCCAUGUACUCUGAGAACAUCGGUGGUCCACUACUCUGCUUCUUGUUGUAGCAGCUCCACCCUGCCUCUUUCAAGAAUGCCUUGAGCAUAUCUGUCCACUGAAAAGAAACGCGAAACUCGCCGACAUAAGAUUUAUAUAUCGUAGUUGUUAAUCUCGUCGGUUCGAUCUCCGGUUUGAUGAUUAAAGCGUACCGCUUUUGUGAGGUGGGGUAAGAUGUUAUGCCCAUUUGUAUGGUAAGAUAGUUCGGUAACGGUGUUGUGGAAAGCUAGGAAACAUGGCUUCAUGUAGUCUGGCAAGGUGCCCACUGCAUUUAUAUCCCAUCUGAAAAUACAAAUGUGGCUUUAUGCUUUAGUUUGUUGGGUUGGUACAAAACCGAACCGGACAUACCGGUCGGAUUGUAAACAAAUUGUAUUUUCUUGCAGUAUAGAAUACUUGGUAAAAGAUUUAUAAGCUAACCUUUCAACUGCAUCAGUGAACAGCUCCAACUCCUCCAGAGUGCCAUAAACAUCAUAGAUAUCGUCGAUCGUCGUAAUAAACGACGUCACUUUCGUCAACUUCUUUCGACACGAGCUGAACCGUGGCUGGAACAUCAUUCCAACUGUCCAGAAAAAACACUCCACCAAUCUGUCCCUGCUGAAACUCAGCUCCUUUGCUAGCCCCAAGCUGCUCCACCACCUUAAAUAUCGGGGUUAAUUAAUCCGGGUUUUCGAUUGCUGAAAGACUUUGUAGUCUGUAUAUAGUUACCUUGACACGUCCUUUAGGUCACGUUGGAGGACCGACUGAGCCAGGUUGAACUCCAACGCGGCCAGCUCGAAUAAUGCAGGGUGCUUCGCCGCGUUGAUCUUGUUGUAUGAUUCGAUGUACCAACUCGCUUCUAGCAUCUCCAUCCUCCGAUGAAGUGGAAAUUCGAGCGAAUGGCGGACUAGUUCUUUAACGGGCGUAUAUUCAUCAUUCCAGUUGGUUUGUAGCAAAAAGUUGUGUAGAUACUUCGUCGUCCAUUCUCUAGCCUCGUCCAGGAUUUCUUCGCCUUCGUGGGCGAGGUACGAAGCUUCGUACAGACUCAACAUGUCUUUCACAUCCCAUUCGUCGUGGUUGUUUCCUUUGAGAAACUCUUUGAACACGUCUGUGAACCGAUCAUCAAACAGGUUAAUAAAUUUCUUAAUAAGGUUAUUAAUUGAGCAGACCAGCUCGAAAUUUUGAUACCUUGAGAGGUACGGUAACCACUUUGUCUGAGGAGUCUGAACCCUAGAGCUACAUCAUGGACGACAGAGGGGUGCUUGUUCGCCAACGCAUGACACCCUCCAUUGUCGAGAAGUCUGUCGAGAGCUUCUCGUAUUUCGUUUUCGAACCGGUGUGCCAAUCCUAACCUUUGUAUAUCGUCGAUCAAUUCUAACCCGUCGAUGACAUCACCAUCCUCCAUUUUCGCCGUGGCUAAUUUCAGCUUCAAGUUCCUCUCCAGCGUUGUUACCCUGCCUUGGUAGAAUUCAUCCUGAAAAUUACCCAUUCAUUAGCACAAAUAUGUACAUACAUACUCAAUUCUUGACAGAAAUAACAUCGUUUGUUACUUACAUUGUUGAUGUCAUUGACCUCGAAGGACUGGAGGAACUCGUACUCCCACGAUGUCGGUUUGUAAUUGGCGGAGCGCCUGAUUUGGGAAUCCGCCGAUGCUUGAGGAGGAGGAUCAACUUGAGCUGCUACUAUUCGAGGCCGAGUGGUGCUACGUGUGGCCGAUGCAGAAGGAAGACGACGAUGAAGGGGUACGAUGUUGCGGUUCAACGACAUGCUGUGGAUCAGACAGAGAUAACUCAUUGCAAGUCUGUGUAACGAGAGAAAUCCAACUGCCUUCGACAACUCGUCAAUGUAAGUUGUUUGAUAUGUUUUUUACAAGUUGUUUAAUAUAAGUACUUCCAAAUGAUCAGCUUUAUAUAGAGGCACGUCUUCAACCUUACAUUCUUAUCUAAGGAAGUUGGAACAUCCAUGCGUUGAUCAAUGUUGUCCACGUUCUUUGUGUGCAAAUUGGUGGACAUCUUGUCAAAGGGUCCCGACCCAACGUAUCAAUCUGACCCGGUUCAAUUUCGAUCCUGUGUGCAGGGACAUGCCCCAUACAAGAAGAUUGAACACUUCUCCAGCUCCAACUUAAUAACUUUGUUUAGAUUUGAUCCAUCACGUAAUGAGUCUGGCGACCCCCAACAAACAUAAUACACACGGGUCUAAGUCAACUCUUUACUUGGGAGAGCAAGAAGCUUACUUUAGCCUUUGUCUCAAGCUUUUUAGUUGGUUUUGCUGAAUUCAGAUCAAGGAAGGUAAGCCUACUAAGCAACUAAUGUUGGCCUUGUUUAUAUGGGUGGUGUAUGUUGCUUCGGCCACCUCCGUUAAUGUCACAUCAGCAUUUCGUCCAAAAAAUGAACGAAGUGCUAUAGAAAAAUAUGAAAAGUAUAAUUUGAUAGAAUUUGGAGAAUAUAAAUUUGUUGAAUAGUUAGUAUGACGAUACUUUGACCCCAAUCGGUUUCUGGACUUUUGAUUUAGGGGACGACUCAGGUUGAGCAACGAUUCACCUGAUCCGGUUGCAUUUUCCACAAGACAUUCGUGGGCCGGGCUUUCAAAAUUGAUCCGAUAGGCUUAUUUUUUUAAGUUGGGCUUUAAUUACGUUAAUCUAAUCAAACCUGUCUCGUCGUUAGUCUCCUCUGCCGUAGAAUUUCCCCGACUCAUUUUUCAGCUCCCGCAGAUCUCCACCGCCGGCGAACUCGAAUCGCGACCACACCCACCGGCAAUCUUCUGGUGAAGAAACCUAGCUCAUCCUGACGUAGUAAGAAUCUCGAUCAACACUCUUCCUUACUCUAGAUUAUUGAAUUCGGGGAAAUGAAAAGGAAACAUUUCUUCGUUUCUGGUGCAGAUGGGGGAGUUAGCAUUAGCAGCUGAUAAGCAUGUGAAAUACAUCCUGCAAGUAGAGAAGGUUUGUCUUUUAUUUACAUUUACGAUUUCCCACCUGAUUGAUUGGACGUUUCUGUGCUCUGAUUGGUUGGUUUUUCUGUUUUGUGCAUCUUUUAGAAGAAGGAUAGUUUUGAAUCUGCUGUAAUGGAGCACCUACGAAUGAACGGGGCGUAUUGGGGGUUGACGACAUUGGAUCUGCUAGGCAAGCUUGAUCUGGUGGAUUCGAAUGAGAUUCUUGAAUGGAUCAUGAAGUGCCAACAUGAGUCUGGUAAGUCUGAUGAACAAAAACACCCAUUUCUGCUGAUUGCUAACUUAUUGGAUGAUGAUGAUGCAACAUUGUUAUGCAGGUGGAUUUUCUGGUAAUAUUGGGCAUGACCCUCAUAUACUGUAUACCCUCAGUGCCAUACAGGUUCUGGCUCUUUUCGACAAGCUCGACGUUCUUGAUAUCGACAAAGUUUCAAAUUGUAUCCUUUUAACAAGCUUUGUGACAUUUCAAAUUGUUCAUCUUGCCUCCCUCCAUGUUUGUAUUAGAUAGAAUCACGAGUUUACCUAUUUGACCGUGUGUAUAGCAAUUGAAGGAGUAAGCUGUAAGCUAGGCAUUCCUAGAAUCCAUUGUUGUUCUGUUUAAUGUUUCAAAUUAGAUAUUGCUGGACUGCAAAAUGAGGAUGGAUCCUUUUCCGGCGAUAUUUGGGGAGAAGUCGAUACACGGUAAGGAUCCAAUCCGAUAUUUCCUUUUAGUUUUCAAGUUGUUAAAUUGCAUUCCUGACUAGCUUUACUUUCCAGGUUCUCUUACAUUGCAAUAUGUAGUCUUUCGAUAAUAAAACGCCUGGACAGGAUAAACGUGGAGAAGGCUGUGAGCUACAUCAUAAGUUGCCAAAACGUUGACGGUGGAUUCGGAUGCACUCCUGGCGGCGAGUCUCAUUCCGGACAGAGUAUGUUCUUAAUAGAUCACUAUAGAUUGGACUAUGUUUUUGUCGAAAACUUUGUGAUUCACUUAAACUCUCUUGUUUUAAGUAUUCUGCUGUGUGGCUGCACUUGCCAUUACUGGAGCUCUACACUGUGUCGACAAGGACCUCCUAGGAUGGUGGCUCUGUGAGCGACAGGUGAAAUCCGGUGGUCUUAAUGGCCGACCUGAGAAGCUUCCAGAUGUAAGAUUCCCUCUCAGGUGUGUUAAUCAAUAUCUUGCCUUUUUGCCCUUCAUGAUGGGUAACUUGUUAUAAUUUGACGUAUGUAGGUUUGCUACUCGUGGUGGGUUCUCUCUAGCUUGACGAUGAUCGAUAGAGUUGACUGGAUUAACAAAAAUAAACUGGCUAAGUUCAUUUUGAACUGUCAGGUUAGUGAUUGAAUCUAGUAAAAAUAACACUUCCAGGUUCAUGAAAGUAACGUAAUCGAGAACCUUUGAUUACAGGACACGGAAAAAGGAGGAAUUUCGGACAGGCCAGAUGACGCGGUCGACAUCUUCCAUACAUAUUUUGGAGUUGCUGGUAGAUCGAUGUUCUAUUUGCCGUAUACAUUAUUGUUUAGAUCACUUCAACGCUGUGAUCCGUGUCUAUAUCGUUCUUCUUCUAGGAUUGUCUCUGCUCGAGUAUCCAGGAGUGAAGGCAAUCGAUCCGGCUUACGCCUUGCCGGUCGACAUCGUGGAUCGACUCUUCUUUGGCAAAAAAUGAUUCAGCAUCUUCAGUAAGUUUUUAACCAUAGAAACAGUACCCAGCAUACUUGCCCACAACAAAGGAUUCUUGUACUACUCUCUAUGUUCUUGGAAUUUGCCUUUGUUAUUUCAUAUUUGUACAGAUGCUGUCUUUCAACUUGGUACUCUAAUAAAUCAAACAUUUUUGUACUCUGUUGACAUUUGGGCAAUAAUUCUUAGUGGUCUGUGAAUAAAUGUUGAAAAGUGUGCCAUUGGGAACCCACAAUGUUGCAUCUCAUCAGAAGCUUGGUUGGAAACUGUAAACCAAACACAGCCAAGUUGCCGAGUUUCGCCCGUUUCGAUAUGAUCAUCCUGACCGACAAGAUCAGGGUAAUCAAAUCACAGCCCACUAUGAAUUUGUUGGUAGGAGUGAAACGAGACAGAUCCAACUUGAAGUAUCAAAGUAGUAAACCCAGGUACUCUAUUUACAAGUUGUUUUGAGACUUUGACGAUACGAAGGUUCACCUCGAGAUAGACUCUCUCGCCGCGAUCCAAGUGAUCGGACUCUAGCCACUGUUCAAAUGGUGUAAAGUAAGUGGAGGAUGCCAUUAAAGGGAGGGGGGAUAACAUGGAUGGAUCUAACAAUGGAGAAUCAAAAUUUUGAAAAUUGAUAGAAAGAAGAAAGCAAACAGAAAAGUCCCAAAUAUUCCCAGUUCUUGCUACUACUAGUGGGUUUUUGGUUGUUUCCAGGUUGUCAAUAUGAAAGCAGAAAAAAGAAAGGGAAAGCAUCACCAUUCACCAAAACCUAGAUUCAGCAAAACUAUGUCGCCAACACGUGUGGGUUGGUGUUGUGUUACCAAUACUGUAUUCCUCAACCCCGGGGUAGAUCGGCAGCCCUCGUUGGAAUGUAUGUUCGAUACAUCGGACUCCGUAACUAGACACAAAUGUUUGAAAAAACGGGUUACUAUGGCUUGGAGCAAUAACUAGGCCACAACCACUCAUCCUCUUUGUCUAGUUUUCUAUAAUGAGUUAAAUUUUUCAUAUAGUUUUGACAUCUUUUCAAUUUGGCCCAGUAAUAUUUUAAAAAUGUGUCCAUCAUGAAACCGUUUUUAUAUAAUUCGGUAAUAUUCGAUCCCUUCGAAUUGGAUGAUCGCAAUAACCCCUCUCGGGGGCCCAAGGUGUGGAUAAUCUACUCUCUACAAAGACCAGCCGACAUCACUUGCAAAUUUUGAAAAACCCCACAACCACCAACUUCACUUAUUACAGUGAAUUUAUCACAUCAAUCACCACCAGCAAUAUAACCUAGUUCCUCGGGAAUCCAUCCCAUUAAAACGACAGCGUGUAGGGUUCUUAAAUUCUAUGUCUAUCAAGUCCCCAAUUUAUAAUUAAUUGUCGAAAAGGUCUAGUAUUUUUAGCUUUUCAUAACUCAUUCCCCUUAAACUCCUUGAUUAUGAUUACAAGUAUUUAUUAUACUAUUUUAGUGAUAUAAUUUGGAAAAGUGGUAGGUUGCAACUUGCAAGAGAAAUGUUAAGAGUUAUAAGUUUAAAUUUGAACAACGAGGAGUUUCAAUUUAGUUAAAAUCAAUUGUAAAUCUUAAUGUAAAAUUACGAUUUGAUUUAGGGAGAUAGAGAGAAAUGCAAAUAGACGCCAUCUCCGGCCACUCUCUCAGAAACCAUCCCUCGGCAUCUCUUUGGUGUUCCUCUAAUGUGCCUGCCUAGUGUUGUAAGGCUCGCAUCGUCGAGGAUCCACCAAUUUUAGGAUCAUUCUUUUUAUGAAGUAGCUCAUUCUUUUUAUACCAUUUUCAGCAAUUAUUUAUGGAUUGGCUCAUUCUUUUUAUUUAUACAAGCUAGUACUAGGUAAGGGCUAAUAUUUACAUGUUGUGAUAUAUUUUUAUUUUUUGAAAAAUGUAAAUAUUUUAUUUUACAUUUCAGUAGGAAAAAUGUGUACUUGUCAAGUACAUACCAAGAUAUUUUUAUAAUCUUGGCUUGGAUAAGGAAAUAUCUCAUGCCACGUGGAAUUAUAUAUUAGAGUUGUGCUCCAAUUAUUUUGUUUUGGGGUGGGUAAAUUGUUACAGAAAAUAAAAUGAUUCACUGUUACUGGAUUGGCGUGACUCUUUCACCUUUCUCUGCCACAGCAUGGUUAAAUACUUGCAGUUGCAGAGAGUGAAAGUGGAAAAAAGAAAAAUGAUACCCCAAUUUUACCUUAUUUAAACAAAUAGACAUCAAGCUUUUUCUUUUUAAUUUGUCGAUACCUAACAUACAAGAUAAGGAAAUGAUACGUGUGGUAAACAGUUGUUGAAGUUUGAUUAUCGAAAUUUCUCUUAAUCAAAGCGGACGGGUCAGUCAAGUUCGUUUGUUCGGAUCGAUUGUUUGGACAAACUGGUCAUAGGACAGCUAGUACGAACCAGUUCUACUUUAUACCACCAGUUUAACAUAUUACAAAUACAUAUUGUUUAUUCAUGUGUGAUAUUUGAUUAGUUAUAAACUCUUGUAAGUUUGUAAUCAUUUUGUGAGAUAUCCAUUAUAUUCUGCAACAUCUAUUAUGAGGUUUAUCUGCGAAAAUAUAUGUAAAAAAUGUUUAAUAACAAAAACAUCGUACCAUUUUUCUUAUGAACGAAUCGAUUGAGUACCAAAUAAGAUAUUAACCAUUUAAAAAAGGAAAGUGAGCAGUACAAUAAUUACUCUCUGUGGAUCCGUCCAAAACUUUUCCCCUUUUCCUGUUUCAGUACCUAAUCUAUAAUUAUUGAUUUUAGUCUUUCAAUGAAGAAAAGGGAAAUUUAUUUUAAUUUUUAACACACAAAUUUACAAUUUCUAAAAAAUAAAGUGUCUUUAAUUUUUAAUCGUGUACAUUAAAUCGUUAAGAAAUAUGAUACAUUGAUAAUCUAAUUAUGAGAUGUUUAAAGGAAAAUAGAAUAUGCAACCAAUGAAUGGACUACAGUAAAGCUACCAUAUUGUGUCACCCUAAAUACAAUAAUAUUUUUUCAGCAAAAACAUUCCAACCAACCAUAGUCUAUAGUAAAAGAAUUAUCAGUUUGUCACACAUAAUAUCAAUUAAAUUAUAGAUUAUCAUUUAAUUAAUCCUCAAAUUAACUAUAAUUGUUAUUAAUUAAUUGCCACUGUCCUACUAUCCCCAACUUGCAUUGCAUGUCAGGUCUUUGGAUUCUCCAACUGGCCACUUAUAUCCAUUGAAUUGGGGGCUUCAUGGGUUCCCAAUCCACUCCACACUUCUUUAAAUGUCACAAAUUUCAUAUAUCGGUGAUUUUGGUAAGUGUUUAUUUUCGAAAGAUGCAUGGUCUUGAAUAUGAGCUAAUAGACUAUUAUCUAGCACCUUAUGGGAUGAAUGGUUAAGUAACUAGUAAGAAGUUAGUUUUGGUAUUCAUGGUCCGACAUCUACCAGAGACAAACUCCAAAAAUGUAUAGUGUGUUUUGAGAGCUGAUGGUUCGAAAAGAGAACACUAGAAUGUAGUAAAAAUGGGUCGUUUAAUGGUGACUGAACUUUCAUCUUGGUUUAACCAAGAGUACUAUACAUUAGUAAUAGGUUAUUGUCGGUCAUGAUCAUGAAUACAACCCUCUUUCACAUUAAACAUAAUCAAAAUUAUAACAUAUAAAUAGUGAGAAAACUUGAAAAACGAUAUAUUAUUGUAAGCCUUCUUAAAACAAAUCAUUCAAAAGUGCGAAAUUCUAUCUACCCAUUUGAGCUACUAAUGUGACAAUGCUUAGUGUGUAUUGGACUCAUACAAUAAAAGUUAAUCACACCAUAUUAAAUCAAAUCAAGUGUCGCACCAAAACAAUAGGCACACAUAUCCAAGUAAAAAAAACAAAGGAUUGAUUAACACAUAAUAAGUGGGAUAUGUUUCUGAAAUUAACAUGAAUUAAUGUCCAGCUGGCAGCUGCCAUCAUCCUCCAGUAGCCAAUUAAAACAUUCAAAAGCCAGUGAUAGCUGUAACACAGGCAAAGGUUAAAAGCGGUACAGCUGUAUUAUUCCAUCGUGGCGACACCUCAUUGGCUCAGAUCUGGAAUCGCUCUGACAUGUCGUACCACCACAUCCAUCUUUCAUGACAGCUCAUUGGCGAAGAUUGAAGAAAAGGCUUCAGUGGGCACAGCCACACUGUAACGGCUACAUUUUUCUAAUAUCUCCAUCCCUCCCUAUAAUUAAAUUAUCCGACGUGGAAUAUGAGCUGGUAAAAUUAUAUGACGUGGCAUCCCUUACUCAGGAAGCCACCAGGAUUCCCUUUCAUUUCCCCUCCCCGCCUAUAAAAAGAAGCUCAAGAUGAAAUUCUUUUCACUCACUCUCACUCUCACUACUUCAUCAUUCUUCCCCUUUGCUCCAACAAUGGCGGUCUCAAUCUCCAGAGCUUCUCUUCUGAUAGCACUUUUCAUGGGAUUCGCUGCUCUAGCUAUAGUCAGCUCAGCUCCCGCCAAGUUUGAUGACCUCUUCCAGCCGAGCUGGGCUUUUGAUCACUUCGUCUAUGAAGGAGAGCAGCUUAAGCUCAAACUUGAUAACUAUUCCGGUACUUCACAUUCUAGAUUCCCCCUGUUUUUGGGUAUUAAAAAACAGAGCCUAAUGAUUCCAAUUCUUACCGUGUUGGUUUUUUUCUUACAGGUUCUGGGUUUCAAUCGAAGAGCAAGUACCUAUUCGGAAAGGUGACGGUUCAGAUUAAGCUUGUGGAAGGCGACUCCGCCGGAACUGUUACAGCCUUCUACGUAAGUAAAUAAAAAAACGGAGGUCCCGUUUAUUUUGUAAUUGGAUGGAAAACCCGUGUCCAAUAAUUGAUUUCGGUCCGUGCGAUGAUGUAUGAUUUCAAUUCCUGGGUCCCUUGACGUUUCUUGGACGCUUCUGUAUUUUUGGUUCAAAGUUUUGAUUUUUUGGUUGUUGAUUGCAGAUGUCGUCGGAGGGACUGACUCACAACGAGUUCGAUUUCGAGUUCCUGGGUAACAAAACAGGGGAGCCGUACGUUGUCCAGACGAAUGUGUUCGUCAAUGGCGUCGGCAACAGAGAGCAAAGGUUGAACCUUUGGUUCGAUCCCACCAAGGAUUUCCACCGCUACUCCAUCUUCUGGAACCCCAGCCAAGUCAUGUAAGCAAGCAAAUCAUCCCUAGUUGUUUGUUCUUCCCUCUGAUUCCUUGUUAUUUGUGCGAAAACUAAUGGUUAUUUUCUGGUUUGUUGGCAGAUUUCUGGUGGACGACACUCCGAUAAGGCAGCACACGAACUUGGAGCACAAGGGGAUCCCAUUCCCGAAAGACCAACCAAUGGGGGUCUACAGCUCGAUCUGGAACGCGGACGACUGGGCGACCCAGGGCGGUUUGGUCAAGACCGACUGGAGCCACGCGCCGUUUGUCGCUUCGUACAAAGGGUUUGAAAUCGAUGCUUGUGAAAGUCCGGCGACGGCGAUGUCGGCGGCUGAUCUGACCAAGAAGUGCACCAGCAGUGGCGAGAAGAAGUUUUGGUGGGAUGAGCCGACGUUGAGUGGGAUGAAUGUUCAUCAGAGUCAUCAGUUGCUUUGGGUUAAGGCCAAUCAUAUGAUUUAUGAUUACUGUAGUGAUAACUCGAGGUUCCCUGUUACGCCUGAGGAGUGUCGGCAUCACCGCCAUUGAUGAUCGAUUUGGGAAGUGUGGAAAAGCAAUGAUAUUUGGAAGGGAAUGGAUGAACUCUGUAAAAAAGGGAAGAACAUGUAGCUCCAUGUUUUGCUUUGUUGCUUGCUUCAUUUUGAUGGGUUUGAUUUAGGUGUUUGUAAUAUAAUUUGUGUUUGUUGAAAUGAAGUGAAGCAAAGUUGCAGACUGUUCUGUUCUUGAUUUGGAAGAGGAUGGAUAGAAUGCGAAAUCGAAAACAAAAACGCAUAAUAUGGUUUCAUUAAACAAGUUCACUCUCGCCAAAAAAAGUACGUUUGGAGGUGAUAUAAAGUCGGUGAUAUCUUUGAUGAAGAAGAAGAGUUAGCCUAGCUACUCGAUUAAUCCUUUUUUACUUAGAUUGGCAAAAUUAAUGAGAUCGGUUCACUAACCAAAUCGAUCAAUUAGCCUAAAAACAGUUACGGUCACUAAUCUGAAAUGCUGCGUUAUAAUAAGGCUCUCGGAGGAUUCUGAGGUACACACGGCUUCGAUAAAUCUUGCGUAACAAAUUAGUUGUUACCAAGAUUCGAAACUGAGAUUUCGGUGAUAAGUCUUGUGUAAGGGAUAAGGUUGAUCCUUGUUAUCUCACAUUCUUCUGCUAUGGAGCAGAAUAUGGGAGAUGGCUAAUAAUGUUCACGAUGAUGAUGAUGAUGAUGAAAUACUUUCAAAUGAAAAAAAAAACAAAGGUGGACCAUGGUUAGGCUUUGAGGAAUUCAUUGUAGUAUGGCCAGUUCAUUUCAGUGGCCUGUAGUGUACUACCACAGAGCUCUCAAUUGUCUUUUGUAAAAGGGGAUGGGAGGAAAACUAUGGAUGGAUUUUGUAAGAGAAUGAGUGGCUCUCUCUUUGUGGUGUGUGGGUGGAGAACAUGAUGAUGGAGUGUGUGUUUCGGUUAGGUUAUCUGGACCGAAACGGUUGGAUAUGGGGAGGAAGUUGACCGGUCUAUAUGCUGACAUUCUACUUAAAGUCAAUAGAACUUGAAAGUUUUGUCGUUGCUUCAUUGGUCGGCUCGACGGUUGGAGCAGAAUUAGGGUUAUAAGUGAUCUUUCUUUAUAGUACUAGUGGAAUCACUAACAUUUAACAGUUGCCAUAUAUUACGUAUUGAUUGUGUCAAUUCAUUUUGUACAAAUAUGGUUUCCGAAACCUCGUAAUGUACAUACUUGUUAUUACACACAACUUCUUUCUCUCCCGACAAUUCUUCCACACUUCUUUCUCUGCGCUUUGUCUCUCUACUAUCGAGUUGAAUUCGGGUUUACCCAUAUGGAGGCCUUGAACCUCCAUUGGCUGAGAGAGCAUGUACCUACAAUUACAAAUCACUUAGGCUCAACUACCACAAUUAUUGGACUAGACUACUUGUGUCCAAAACCUCUUACCAUUCUUCUGAAUUUCAACACACGACACAGCCAAUUCAUGAAGAAGUUAAACGUGUAAACAUCACACAACCAAAGCAAAAGAAACAAGGCAAUCUUUUCUACCUGUGGGGCGAGAUUCUGACUCGGAUAUCAUACACACUCAAAACAAAGUAGAGCAUUAAGAAUCAGAGCUCGUGAAAGGUGGGUGGAGCCAAGCCAAAAGCUGUAGGGUUAUGGAACUUGAUGGACCGAACAGGGCCGAUAGCGGACAACACUGCUAUUGACCCGAGAGUCCUUUCUGUCGGAUCAAUCCCACAGAUUAUGACCGUUGGACCAGAACACUUUUGGACCAAUUUUCAUCCAACAGCUAAAAGUGAUGGAGUAAUUUCGAAAAAAAUGCAUCAAUGGACCAUAACAGUCUUCUUUUUUCUUCAUUAUCUAUCUACAUUGUUUAACAACCAACAAUUGUUAUUUGUCUUGUUUUAUCCUUGUAAUCAAUGUCAAUAAUUUCAUUGGCGGUGGUGGCCACAGAUCGCCAUUUUGUGUUUAGUGGAGGUGAUGGAUAUCUACUUCACUUCACUUCUCAUUGAUGCAGGAAAAACAGAGGAAUUCAAUUCAAUGAUGGCCAAGAACAGAGCAAGAGAUAGAGACAAUUUGAAACCCCAUAUCAGAAUUUUCAAUGACUGGGUCCACGUUUGUAUAUUAAUGAUCGAGUCAUAAUUGUGGGAUCAAUCAGGUUACGAUUAUAUGCUACGAGUUAUGGAUCAAUCGGGUUACAAUUAUAUAUCACGAGUUAUGGAUCAAUCAGGUUAUAAGGUUAGUUAAUAUACAGAUUACGGAAUACUUGGAUCGCGGAUUUGACGAACCAUGUAAUUUUGAGUUCUGACUAAAAAAUAAUAAUCUCUCUAAAAAAGAAAACGGCUCAUUGAGUUCUGACUUACAAAGUAAAAAUAUGUGAAUAAGAAGAGCUACAGGUUGGGCUGGGCCUCAUUAGUUAAAUAGUUUAGGCCUUAAAAUUUAUGGAAUGGGCUUUUAUUUGGGUCCACAGUUACUAUUCAACACCCAGACCAUUAAAACUAGAGAGUUGGCCUGCAGUUUGUAGACCCGUCACCUUGAUCGGAUUGGUCUGCUAGCAACGUCACGCCGUCCGCUCACAACGCGGAAAGGUUACGAGUUCUAUGAUCGUCCAUCAUCAACGAUCCAGAUCUAGCACGGCCUUACUCGGCACUCAUGUGGAAAGCUGAGUUUGAUCACUAAAGCUCUAUGUAAAAACUCCUAACCAAAACAUCAAAGAAGGGAGACGGUAUAUCAAUAAACUUAAUUAAUACACUGAGGUUGUCCGCUCAUAGGAGCUAUACACUCAAUCAUACAAUGAGCCUCAAGUCGAUUUUACUCACAAAAUUGGGAACACGCCCGCGAUAUUUGUUUGUCUUAUUCUCUCACACUCUCCAUACGCUUACACCACCGAUGCACACUCUCACUAUCCUCCGUGACCCACCUUGCAAGAUAGCAGAAAACAAUCUACUCAACUCGACCCUCUAGACGAAUCACAACCUCCUGUCUCGAACAACAUCAUGCCGAGAAUUUCUGCUCAUUCUGGUUCGACACUAAACCCGACUCGACGUAGUCCGACUAUGUUGUCUGUAGGGGUUCGCCGUGAAAUCUCGGGUGUCAUGGCGGAAGCAGAAUCCAAGUGGCAUGGUUUCCUAGAUUUAUUGUGAAAAUUGAUUGGGUGAAUAUGUUUGACAAACUUUCUAAAGAGUGUUACGAGGUUGGAUUUGUGAUGGCUAAAUGUUUAUAGGAAAAUUAGAAAAAAGAUAAUUACAUAUAAAUAGGAGGAAUGUCACUAAAACGAUAUUUUUAUGAGUGGUUGGUUGUGCUUAGUGAUCUCUUGAACAGAGAAUCGGGCUUCUUUACAGGUGCAUCGAGUUUAACCUCAUUGUUUUAAAGUUUCCGAAAUUGUUUUUUUGGCGGUUGGUUGAGAGUUUCGAUUGAUAGUGGACUCUCGCUAUAUGUAUUUGGGCACCUAUUUGAUCUCAUUUAGGGCUCAUAAUUUAUUUUCGUACGAGGCAUGUUUCAACGGAUGGAUUUAGGGGAGUAUCUUUCAAACCACAACUGGACCCAUUUACGUAUCUAAGGCUUCAAUGUAUAUUACAUAAUUUUCCUUAUAUUUUAAGAAGAAUUUCAUAUACGGCCGUGUGUAUUUCAAAUUGUAUACAUUUCGGCUUAGUACACUAAACCUUUUGGAUUCGCCACUCAUUUUCCUGAACUACCGGUUGGCAUUGGGUCGAACCGGUUGGCGAGAUACUGCAAAUCAUGUGGACUGGGGGAGCUCAACGAUCGCAGUCAAUCUGCUAUGCAACCACUGGAAACGAUACCAGAACUAGCAGAGCAGGCAUUAAUUGUAUCACUCGGACGAUACAAUAUAAUUGUCGUCAACUGUUGCUCCAAAUAGACCGAGUCCCAAUAGUUUGGAUGAUUUUAUAAUAUAGUUUGCGGUACGUAUUAGAGUUUGUACGUUAUUUUAAUAUAGUAGUAUGUUUAUAAAAUUAUUAUUGGGUUGAAAUAUUAAAAAUUAUAAUUUAAAAAAGAUAGUAUGAGUUAAAAGUUAUUAGAAUGUCAAUAUCUAAAAAUACAUAUAAUUUGUGUUUUUAUACAUGUUUUUAUAACAUAGUAUUCAUAAUCCAAAAGGAAAUGCACGAAGCUAGAAAGCCAAGCUCAAUAUAUACUCUUCUUUUGGUGUUAUGAGUCGGGUGAUAUUUAUUUUUCGACGACUCACUUACUCGUGUGACGUGUUACAUCGAAUAUUAUACGUGGUGGAAAUCGAUUAUGAAAUGAAAUUACGCGUUACAUCGAAUAUUGUACUGUGGUCUAUAUUAUACCGGACUAUCACUUCAAAACUGUUCUUGGAAUAAAAGAUUGAAGGGUGUUGCCAGCUUUCGGUGAGGAGAUGGGCAAGCCUAGACAUCAAAGGAGGAGCCAAAUACGCAUUUAAUUACACAGCAGAUUUUUGUCCUCUGCCUGAGUCCUCCCGCAGCAUCGUUUUCCACACACGGUUGCCCAUUACUACGCAAAUACUGAUAAUAAAAGGAAACCAGACCAUCCAUUCUCUCCACUGUGGUCAUCAAACUAUACGAUUUGUAACAGUAUGGUCAUCAACCUUUUAGGAAAGCAAGCUACAUAUGUAACAAACACGGUCGAUUUGUAAUAAAAUUGACUUACUUUCUGUAGGCAUGUGAUGAGAAAUCGUUAGAAAUUUAAGUUAAAUUUUUAUAGGCCAACACACAUAACAUCAACAAUUAAAACCCUUCAAAAAUAUUUUUUUUUUCAUUGGCUAUUAUUUGAAUGGUUUAAAAUGGUGUAAGUUCAAUUUUUAAGCAUUCCCAACAUGCAUGUCAAAUAUUAAUCACUUUGAAAAUUUCCAGUCAAAUUUGGUCAAUUUCCAAAGGGGUCAAUCUAUGGAAAUGAACCAUUUUGACAAGAAAAUUUAAAAAUGUUUAAAACGACUAAUAUUUGACAUGCGUGUUGAAAAUGAUUAAAAAAGUGACAUUGUUGUAACCCUUGUAAUAAUGGUCAAAGGAAGUUAAAAAUGUUAUUAACUUCACUUGACUAUUAUUUGAAGGAUUUAAUAUGGUAAAACCUCAUUUAGUAGUCAUUCCCAACAUGCAUGUCAAAUAUUAGUCGGUUUAAUAUUUUUAAAUUUUCAUGUCAAAUUUGAUCAAUUUCCAAAGGGGUUAACCUAUGAAAAUGGACCAUUUUGACAAAAAAAUUUAAAAUUUUCAAAUCGACUAAUAUUUGACAUAAAUGUUUGAAAUGGCUAAAAAUCAAGUGUCAUUAUGGUAACCCAUAUAAACAAUGGCUAAACGAAGUUAAAAAUCAUUUUUAAUCGGUGUUAUUUUAACAUGUUGAAACAUAUUUUUUAACUUCAUUUGGUUAUUACUUGAAGGGUUUAAUAUGAUGAAACCUCAUUUUUGUAUCAUUCCCAACAUGCAUGUCAAAUAUUAGCUAAUUUGAGAAUUUUCAAUUUUCAUGUCAAAUUUGAUCAAUUUCCAAAGGGGUUAACCUAUGAAAAUGGACCAUUUUGACAAGAAAAUUUCAAAAUUUCAAAUCGGCUUAUAUUUUGCAUGGAUGUCAAAGAUGGCUAAAAAAUCGAGUGUCUAUAUGGUAACCCCUGUCAACAAUGGCCGAACGAAGUUAAAAAUCAUUUUUACUCGUUGUUAUUUUAGCAUGUUGGAAAAUAUGUUAAACUACAUUUGGUUAUUACUUGAAGGGUUUAAUAUGGUAAAACCUCAUUUUUAACAUGGUGAAACCUCAAUUUGUAGCUAUUACCUACACGUGAAAUAUUUGGCCAUUUAAAAAGUUCUAAUUUCCACCUCAAAAUUUGUCAAUUUCCAGAGGGAACACCUAUGGAAAUGAACCAUUUUGACAAGAAAAUUUCAAAAUUUCAAAUCGGCUUAUAUUUGGCAUGGAUGUCGUAGAUGGCUGAAAAAUUGAGUGCCAUUAUGGUAACCCCCGUAAACAAUGGCCAAACGAAGUUAAAAAUCAUUUUUACUCGGUGUUAGUUUAGCAUGUUGGAAAAUGUUUUUAACUCCAUUUGGUUAUUACUUGAAGGAUUUAAUAUGAUGGAACCUCAUUUUUGUAUCAUUCCCAACAUGCAUGUCAAAUAUUAGCUAAUUUGAGAAUUUUCACAUUUAAAAAGUUCUAAUUUCCACCUCAAAAUUUGUCAAUUUCCAGAGGGAACACCUAUGGAAAUGAACCAUUUUGACAUGAAAAUUUCAAAAUUUCAAAUCGGCUUAUAUUUUGCAUGGAUGUCAAAGAUGGCUAAAAAAUCGAGUGUCUAUAUGGUAACCCCUGUCAACAAUGGCCGAACGAAGUUAAAAAUCAUUUUUACUCGUUGUUAUUUUAGCAUGUUGGAAAAUAUGUUAAACUACAUUUGGUUAUUACUUGAAGGGUUUAAUAUGGUAAAACCUCAUUUUUAUAUCAUUCCCAACAUGCAUGUCAAAUAUUAGCCAAUUUGAGAAUUUUCAAGUCUAAUUUGAUCAAUUUCGAAAGGGGGUUAACCGAUGAAAAUGGACCAUUUUAACAAGAGAAUUUCAAAAUUUGAAAUUGGCUUAUAUUUGGCAUGCAUGUCGUAGAUGGCUAAAAAUCGAGUGCCAUUAUGGUAACCCGUGUAAACAAUGGCCAAACGAAGUUAAAAAUCAUUUUUACUUGGUGUUAUUUUAGCAUGUUGAAAAAUAUUUUAAAAAAAUUUGGUUAUUAGUUGAAGGAUUUAAUAUGAUGAAAACUCAUUUUUGUAUCAUUUCCAACAUGCAUGUCAAAUAUUAGCCAAUUUGAGAACUCUCAGUUUUCAUGUCAAAUUUGAUCAAUUUUCAAAGGGGGUUAACCGAUGAAAAUGGACCAUUUUAACAAGAGAAUUUCAAAAUUUGAAAUUGGCUUAUAUUUGGCAUGCAUGUCGUAGAUGGCUAAAAAAGUGAGUGUCAUUAUGGUAACCCUUGUAAACAAUGGCCAAACAAAGUUAAAAAUCAUAUUUGCUUGGUGUUAUUUUAGCAUGUUGGAAAACAUUUUUAACUUCAUUUGGUUAUUACUUGAAGGGUUUAAUAUGAUGAAACCUCAUUUUUUAGUCAUCCCCAACAUGCAUGUUAAAUAUGAACUUAUAAAAAUUGACCAUUUUUACAAGUAAAUUUCAAAAUUUUCAAAUCGAUUAAUAUUGGACAUGCAUGUUGGAAGUAGCUAAAACCUCAAAUUUCAUCACGAUAACCCCUGUAAAUAAUGAUCAAAUGUUCAAAAUUUCAAAUUGGUUUAUUUUCUGCAUGUUGAGGUGUGUUGCACGAAUUGCAUUAUGUUAACCUUGACCAUAUACAAUUUUGCGGAAACCAAAAUGUUUUACCAUACAUUUCAACAUGUACAUACAAUAAUAAAGCAGACGAGUCAAUAUGUUCAAUCAGCUCCUGAAGAGAGUCCGAAGAAACAACCUAGUAUAAAUAUAAGCUAAUUCGGACAUAACACCAACCAAUUGUACGGUUGUAACAACACGAUCAUUUCAUUCACCAUCUCUUCGUCCAAAAACACUUCUGAGUUGACAUAGCAUCCAUUAUGGCCUAUACACUACAAGAAAACGGUUGGGUCACGAAAAUUAGAACUGGACCCAGCUAUUCAGAAUUUCGUAAAUAGAUAUCUUAUAUUUAUCUUAAAUCCAACUCAUUCAACCAAUUAAGCAUGCAAUUUGCUUGACUCGAGCCAUAUUAAACUGAANNNNNNNNNNNNNNNNNNNNNNNNNNAAAAAAACAUGAAAUUCAUAAUAUGUAAAUGAGUUUGGUCUAUGAUAGAAUAGGUGACAUGAUUGAGGGUGAAGUGAUUAUAAAUAAUGAGUUCACAUAGUGAUUUGUCUAUUUAACAAAGUUUAAUUUCGGAAUGAGAGUUUACAGUAUGACCACACCUUUAUGAUUGAAACCGGUUGGUAGAUGUUAGUUACUUUUUAAAGGUUGAUGAUGCAAUUAUACAAAACCCAAUAGUUCGAUGACCACAAUGGAUAUUAAGUCACCAUUCACUCCAUGUAUAAAUACAAGCUAAUCCCAGUUCCCUGUGUUUCAACAUCUUCUUACUCCACACUUUGAAUGAAGAAGAAGGUCAGAGCAACACUCAAAACACUUAACCAAAUCUUCCCAUUUCACCAUUCACUAAUCUUUACAGAUCAUUGCUUCCUAAUUUAAUCUCAUCUUCCCACCAACAAUGGCCUUUAAAGCCAUCCUUCUUCUCCUCCUUCCCCUGAUCUUCCCGUUAACCCAAACCACCGCCGAUUCCGUACCCACCAAGAAAAUCAUCCACCAUUCAGAUCCGCCGUAUCCAACACCGGGGAGAGCCCCUACUUCUCAGAAACCAUCGGAAGCAGCUGCAGUAGCGGCAGCCGAGGCGCCCAAAGAAGCGGCGGCGGAGGCAGAGGAGGCGAAGGAGCAGAGGAAGCGGCACAUUGACAAAUCAGUGGCCGGCGGCGGAGUCAUACUCGGCGGACUUAUCACCGCCGUCUGUAUGGCGGUCUUCUGCUACAUCCGGGUCACUAGAAAGAGAGACGACGAGCUACUACCCAUUGUCAUCCCGAAUCGGCAGUCGACCGAUGCGCUGGUUGUGACCAAGCUGCAGCAGCAAUCCGUUGUCGUUUCAUCGUCAUCUGCGCCGCCGCCGGCUUCUGUUUCUCACUAAUUAGUUAAAUUAAUUACUUGUGUCGUCAUAGGUUAUGAUUUAGUAGCUUCAGUUAGGUGGGUUAACAGUCAUGAUCAUUCUUUGAUUAGUGUGUAAUUCGUGUGAAUGCAUAAACAGCUCAAUACCAUUCUACUCUGUUCUCAAAUCCUCAAUUUUGUGUUCUUAAUUGGAAGAAGAUGAUCUACUUGCACUUUGAUAAUUCGUCGUUUUAUGAAAUACCAAUGAACUGAGAAGUUUGAUGGGAUUGGAUCUCUGGACUCUGGUAAAGCUGUUGUUACCCAAUUUGUUGCCAAUUUGAGAGUAAUAUUCAUAUACAAUGCACCUAGGUUUGUAGAAGAGAUCAAUCACAAAUUUGAGACAAAGCCUAAAAUGCCAACCAAGCAGUAGUGCGGCUUAAGCCCAGUAACUUUAGCCCGAAUAUUAGGCCCAGUGGCCCAACUCAGCCGCACAAAUGAUCCAGUUACUCUCUAUCAUUUUCUUUCCCUCUUGAAAUCCCAGAUCAGUUUCAACAAUUCGUCAUCUUCCUCAACGAUCUUUCUCAAGAACUAAAGAACCAACUCAAAGCUCACUCCUCGCCGUAACAAUGGAUUCCUUCUACCAGAGAUGGAAAGCAACGAUCUACUUCGCAAUCUCUACAGUCCUAGCCUUCACCGCCUUCUCCAUAGCUCUACACUCCACCGUCACCCCACUCCACCCGUCACCUCCUUCCUCUGCUCCUUCCCUCCCACCGCCGGCGACGAAUCUUCGCCGCCUCUCCACCAACGCCACGCUCUACCUCCGAUAUUCUGGAUUCUCCUUCUCUGCAUCCUCCCUACUGGCAUACCCUGAGACAUUCUUCUCCUCCGCAAACUCCACCGUCUUCGUUGUCAAAGACUCCGUCUUGCCCCCCGCCGUCGCCGCAUCUCCGUCCUCUGGCGCCUCCGGCGAAGCUCCUCGGUUGAUUCUGAAGCAGCUCCUUCUCUACCAUACGUCUCCUCUCAGCCUCCCCAUGUCGGAGAUUCUCAAACUCCCUCCUGGAACGUGCCUCCCGACUCUCGUCGACGGAAAGACACUAGUCGUCACCAAGAUCGACGUGGAGAACCGAGCCGCGGAGAUCAAUGGCGUCAAGAUUUCCAAUCCCGACGUCGUCAUCGAAGGUUCGGUUGUCAUCCACGGCGUCAGCGAGCAAUUCUCGUCCAUGGACACCGGCGAUGGCAGCGGUCUUAUCUCUCCAACCACCUGCGACGCCGCCGCCGGGAGGAACUCGAGCUUACUCACGGACUCCGUCGACUUCAGGAAUAUCGUCCACUGGUCCAAGAUCGUGCGGUCACUCAGCUUAAAGGGGUUCGUCUCAUUCGCCGUCGGAUUGAACUCUGUACUCGACGGGAUUCGCAAAGACUACAAGGACUUGAAAUCAGUGACCGUAUUCAGUCCACCGGAUUUCUCCGUCAGUUCUUCUUCCGCUCCGAUGAUGGACAGAGUCGUCAGAAUUCACAUCGUGCCACGGAGGAUUUCCUACGAAGAGCUCAUGACCUUGACUAACACGACGUCGUCUCUAAAGACUCUGUUGCCUGGUCAUAAUCUGGAGGUGAAACUUGAGGCACUGAAGAAUAAUGCUACAGCAGGACGAUUGACCGUCAAUGGAGUCGAGAUUCUCAGGCCUGAGAUUUUCAAGUCCGAUAAGUACAUCGUCCAUGCAAUCUCGAAACCUCUCCGGAUCGGUAAGGUUUCGAAGAAGAAAUCUAGUAGUUAGUACCUACGAAGGAAUAACAUCUGUUGUAGAAACUAAAGUAGUCCCAUUUUCUGAACUAAUCUCAGUGUUAUAGCUGCUAAUCUUCUUCUAUUAUGAACAUGACUGUAAGUUUUGCUUACUAGUAUGAUCAGAUUCUUUGCAAAUUCUGAACGAGAUCCUUCUUCCCUUCUGAUGUUGUUUCAGUUUGUUAGCUACCAAUUCCAAAUUUCCGAUCGGGGACAGUCUUUACAAGUCGAACUAAUUCGACGAAAACACGAAAGACCUUCAAACAGCAAGUACUCACAACAGCAUCAGUCAUGGCUGCACAUAGCCAUCUCAGCUGACAUUUCUUAAAUUCAAUCAGGAUAAACACUCUGAAUCCAACUUUUUCUGAUCAGUAUAUCUACAAUGCAGCAGUAUCACAUGAUCAAUUCUUUCUUCAUUCUGCAUACAUAAGGAACAUACACUUCGCCAAACACCAUCCUGUACGUUUUUAAAACUAACAAUGCUGAGUAUGCUUCAAUAACUAGUUACACUAAAGGAUAUGCAUCUGCUGCAUCAUAUGGAUACAGAGCUGUAGUUCUUUUGCUAGCAGGUUCAGUCAUCAGCUAAGAGUAGUUAAACUUAAUCAUGAACAUUCAGUAAGCUCGAUCAGAAGAAACCAAUUUCACAAUUAUCCUAGCUGUUCAUAAAAACUCAUGCUAUACAAACAAACAUACAUGGAAGAAGCUGAGCAAUAACCAGCAGAGGAAAAGGACUUUAGGAAGAAGAAGAAUUGUUGAUAACUCUCAAGCGAAUCCUGGUCAUCUUCUUUCCAAUCAGUGUAACAUUCUUCGCAUCGACGAACUUGGACCUCUGAAACAGUCGAACAACUUCAUCCACAGUCUCCUUCCCACACUCUUCCACGGCGACAACGCAGUACCCACGGGUAACCACAGUCCUCUCCAUCUCGGAAACGAAUCUCCUCGGAAACAACGCCUCCGCCAAACGAGCAGUGAAGGCAAUGUCGAAAACGUCGUCGAAGAACGGCAAGUUCAUUGGAUCGGCCUUUCUCACCAACGGCAGGGACUCGACGAGCUCGACUCCGAUCACGUCCUCAACUCUGAUUUGUUGCAGCGCCAUGACCUCGUGGCCGGCGCCGGCGGAGACGCAGAGGACGCGGGUGUGGUUGUGUAGGAGCCCCGAGGAUCGAAGAUCGGAGAAGAAGUUUGUGAAGGAAGUGAGCUGAGAGGUCCAGGCUUUGGAGGACCAUAGUCGGAGAUUCUUCUUCUCCCUGGAGAGGUACGGACGGUGGAGGGAGGAGUCGCAGGUGGAGGAAGGGAAUCUCUGGUGAGGCUUGGUGAUUGGGGUUUCCGGUGGAAUGCAGGUUUCGGGGAUUUGGAGGUAGGUGAUGAGGAGGGUCAGGGUUGCGAUUGCAAUGCUGGCGAUUGAGACCCUGUUGAGCAAAUUCUCUAUGCGUCUCUCCAUGGAAUGUUUGGAGGGGUUGGAUCGGAGAGGUUGUUUAUUCCGCCAUCGAUGACAUUUGAGGAGAACCAAUGAUAAGGUGGCAAUGAAUUGGGAUAAACGCAGCAACCCAUUGAUGACAUUUGAGGAGGACCAAUGAUAGGUGGCCAUGAAUUGGGAAAAAAACAGAAACUCAUCGAAGCACAGCGAAACGUUGCGGAUUUGAGGGACGAAACUCGAAACGUCACGGCGACGGGUGGGCUGAGUCAGAAAUCCUCGGAAAGAAAACAAAAUGGAAAACGCGAAAACGUUUCGUAUUCACCAAACUAAAUAGGAAACGCGAUAAAUUGACGAAAACGACAUAUUGGCGAUACGUAUCGCAUGACAGUAUUUCGCGGUAUUUAAGUGAUAUAUUGAGUUUUCUUACGAUACUUUGACCCGGGCUAUAUUUUCCUAUAAUACAUUAAUUUUUAAAUCGGGGAUUAUUAUUUAUCUGUGGGCUGUACGGGCCUGGCCCAAACCUUUGCGGCCGAAUCUAAGUUGGGUCCGCCGAAAUUUCGAAGAGCCUCAAAACGCGGCUCGGAGCUGAGUCCAACCCAAACAACCUUUUAAAAGAAAACGACUUUUAAAACGACACAGUUUAAAGAGACAGAGAGAGGGAGACAUACGGCGGUGGUGCCGGCGAGCUGGAGCUGAACGGAGGAGAUUAUCUGAGGAAGCUAGCUGGCGGCCUUGUGCUUGAACAUGUUGGGAUGCUGCAGAAGCUCCCUACCCUUGAAUUACCUUGGACGAUUAUAUCCGUCGCCGGCGGAAGCGGGCUGCAUGUCGGUCGGCAGCAAAGGCCCCAGAGAGACCCUUUGCUAAAUCGAGCUUGGCUGGGUUUUUGGUGGGCUGUCAGAUUGACGGAAGAGGAUUUACAGAGAGAAAUUGAUGGAAGUGCAUUGCAGCUCCCUUUAGACGCAAAGGAGAUAAUUGGGAGAUUUGGAAAUCCAGUCGAGAAAUACUCUGCAGAAGCAGAACAAGGAUUGGAAAUCGGAAUAAAAGGGACGAUGGCUCUGUUUCUCCUCCUCCGGCGCCGAGAGGGACGAAGAAGAGUAAGUAGAUCGAUCUGUUUGAAGAAGAAGAAGAAGAAGAAAGGAAAUUUCCGUCGAGGAAAUUGGUCGGUGAGUUUGAGAAGGUUGUCGAAUCUAAAUCUGAAUCGGUUCGAAGGAGGACGAGGAGCAACAAUCUGAUCAGUGAAUCUGAAUAACUUGUAAGAACAGAAAACAAUGAAUGAAAAGCCAUUUUAACAGUGUAAAUCUUUCAAGCAAGAACAGUACACUGAACCGAAUCGGAUUGUGAUUCUUCGUCGGAGUCGGUCCGAUCGAUAAAAACACGGUUAAGCAAGUGUGCAACUCUUAACAUGGUUAAUCCAAUCCCACCAUUAUCAUUGCAGGAAACCAUUAUACAGUGAGGAUCUGUAGUUUUUAUUUGCAGCAUUGUUACGACUAACUUUUGGUCUAAGCUACGAUAUAAUUCGAGAUAAAUUGCAUAGCUUCAAAGUAGUGUUCACUGUUUCAGAAGUCACAACUCUUUCAGAUUAUGGUUCUCUUCAAUGGCGCCUCACAAUUUCCCCAACUUGCCGGAUUUCUCGGUGAUCAGCUUGUACGUCGAGGCUCUUUCCCACGGUACGCUGCCGAAAUCGUCGUUGCUGUCUUCCAUGCGUCGACAAAGACCUGCCACAUCAAGGCACCGGCACCGGAGUGCUUUCUCUUUGCGGAUUUGUAUAUGAUGUCGUAGACCGCCUUGUAGAGCCAGUCGCGCUGGGACGGCUGGAAGUCCUUGUUCAUGUUGGAGAGCCCGAAUUCAGUGAAGAGAACCGGCUUGUUUAGCUUUUUGUGGCCGUCUUCGAUGUGCGACCGCAUCCACAUGGAGACGAAUGUCAGUUUGUCUUCGAAUGAUUGGUGAGCAACCCUUAUAAAAGCCAGAAAGUUCAAAUAAGCAUUACGUGUGUGACAAGUUAAUAAGUUAUGACAGCAUAUACAGCUAUUUUGGCUCAUCCUUCCCACUUGCAUUGCCACCUAACUGUAUCAGUUCCUGAGUAUCAUGCAUGGCAUGUAUUUGUGCCAGUUUCUCUUCAUCCAGGUGGCAAUGGCACAUUUCAUAACCGGAGCAUCAUCAGCUAGCAAAUACACAGUUUUCAUACAUACCAGGGAAUGCUAAACAGUAAACUCACUUUUAUACUCAUCUUCUAACAGUAAUGCCGUAUAAAUAGCCUUUUAUCAUCAUCAUCAGAAGAAAACAGAGCAAAACAGAAACAGAGAGACUAAUAAUGGCGAACAGCCACCAGCUGAAACUCCUCCACAGUUUCCAAGUUCCCCCAGCACCUGCAACUUCCGCCGUCGUCCUCCCGCUGACAUGUCUCGACUACCCAUGGCUAUUCUGCAAGCCGAUGCAGCGACUCUUCCUGUACGAUUUCCCUCACCCAACUCAUCACUUCACUCAAAACAUCCUCCCGGAGCUUCAACGAUCACUCUCCGUCGCGCUUCACCACUUCUUUCCUCUUUCCGGAAAGCUCGUCUCCCCUACGCCGCCUUGCCUCCCUUACCUUUCCUUCUCCGACGGAGACUCUGUUCCUCUCACCGUCGCAGAGUCGACGGCUGAUUUUGACCGGAUAGUCGGGAACCAUCCGAUAAAUGCAGGUGGAUUGAGUCAUCUGGUUCCUAAAUUACCCAAUUCGGUUUUGCAAACUGAUGGGAGUCGAUUGGUUCCGCUACUGGCGAUUCAGAUCACUCUGUUUCCGGGGCGAGGGAUCUCCGUCGGCGCUCAAUUCGCCCAUAUUGUUUCCGACGGCGUGUCGUUUCACCACUUUUUGAAAAUGUGGGCUUAUCUUUGCAAGAAAACAUCACUCGAGGAGGAUUUGGAUGAGGCUCUUCCGUUGCCGUCUCACGAAAGGGAAAGGGAAAUCAUCCGGCGAGCUUAUCCAGGUCUUGAAGCGGCGCUGGCCAGCCAGUGGUUCGGACUCGGGUCGGGCUGGGACUUCGAUUCCGGGCGAGCCGAUUUAACCGGAAGCGAUAAGGUUCGGUUGACUCUCGUGAUAACCCGGCCGAUGAUAGAACGGAUUAAACUGUGGAUCCGGGGAACCAAUCCGACGCCAUUUCAUUUAUCUGCUUUCGUGGUGACGUCAGCUUUGCUCUGGACUCCAAUGAUCAAAUCCUUUGCGAUCGGAGAGGAAUCCGACGAUUCGGAAACGCUCUACCACCUCAAUUUCGUCGCCGAUUGCCGGCACCGGUUAGGACUCGACGGAUUAUCAGCAUCCUACUUCGGGAACUGCCUAGCACACUAUUACGUGUCGAUGAAAAGAGGGGAGGCGGCGGAUGUGGCGGCAACGGCGGAAGCGAUUGGGAAGAAGGUGGAAGAGCUGACCGAUGGCAGAGGGGGUUUGUUGUUGAAGGGGGCGGAGAGGUGGGUGCCGGAGUGGAAUGAGCUGGCGGAAGGAGGGAGGAUGGUUACGAUAGCUGGGUCGCCGAAGUUGAGAGCUUACGAUACAGAUUUUGGGUGGGGGAAGCCGAGGAAGAGCGAGGUGGUUCAUUUGGCCGACGGCAAGGGGAUUAUAGCGCUGUGCGAUAGCGGAGAUGGAAGCGGCGGCGUUGAGGUCGGGUUGGCUAUGGAGAGGAGUAAGAUGGAGGUUUUCAGCGGGUUAUUUCAAGAGUUUCUCGGCCAAGUUUGAACGAUUCGCCGUCGUUUAAUUGUUUGUCUGGUCAAAAAAGCGUUGACUAAUAAGUAAUAAGUACUAGUUAGAAAUUUGAAAAAUAUCAUGAGCGGUUGGAUCGGGACUCGUGAAUUAAAGUUAAGUAUAUUAUCAAGAAGGUAAUCUGAUCGCCGAUUACUUAGCUGAUUUUAGUUCGAGGUGUUUAUCUUAUAUUGUUUUUGCAUUUGUUAUAUGACUUUUUUAGAAUUUCCUAAACUCGUUUGAUUAUAAAUGAAAUUUUAUGCGUCUGGAUUUACGAAAAAUACACAAACUCAUUCAAUCAUUCUCGAUUCCCAAUUGAGCCGAACUUCAUUAUAUUUAAAUUUUGUUGAUUAUUUUUAAAAUCAAACGAAACCAAAAUCAAAUCGGUAUAAAUCACCUACAAACCUUUCUCACACCAAACGAUGAGCUGAUCACGAACGGCUUGACUCGGCCUUAAUAGCCAUUAUCCAAACAUCAAAUGGUAAAACAAUUUAUUAGUGAUGAAUUAGUUACUUAAUCAAGUCGCAAUAUAAGGACUAAACCGAGAUAAUACAAAAUACUGUUGAUGAUUACUUGGGGUUACGGAAUCUUUGGGUAGUAAACUAAUGCAAAAGAAACUUCGAUGCUCAAUAUGUAAAUAUUGAAGACUUUUUUUGAAAUUUUUUUUAAUUGAAAGCUCUAAACCCUACAGCCUCGCUGUCCAGAGUUGGAGAAGAGACGAAACGAUUCAGAGAUGGGCAAUGGAAGAAGAUUCAGCGGAGGCGGCGGUAGUGGCCGACGGAGGAACCAAUCACAGCUCAGGCAAGACGUGGAAGCGUGCCGGAAGAAAGACUCCACCGCCGACGAUAUCGUCCAACUUCUCCGCCCGCAGUCCCCCAUCUACGGCCGGAUGAAACACCAAGUCCUAGCUAGAAACGUCCGCCAAAUCAUCGAACCUCCACCGUCACAGUUCUGUAAGAAACUCCGGAGACCUUGGGAAGAAGAAGAGGAGGAAGAAUACGAUUAUGACGAAGUAUGAUCUUCCGUCCGUCUUAAAAAGAAGAAGAGGACCCGUGAGAGCGAGGAAGAGUUGCAGCUGCAGGACAAGGAGAAUAAGUGUUUGAGAAAAUAUAGCGCCAAUCGAUCUUCGGAGUCGGACUCGUCAGAAUCUGAUUCGAAUUCGGAGUCGGAUUCUCAAUCGACGCCGUCUUCCACGUCGGAGGAUGGAGAGCCUGUGUUCGACGUGACUAAGUCGUUGCUGCGACAAAGUUACACGCCGGAGAAGAACGUUGAGGUGGAGCUAGCCAGUAGUUCCAAGGACAAGGUUGCGAUGAUGAAUGGAAGCAAUGGAGGUAAAGGUAAAGGAGGGGAAAGGGUUAGGAAAUCGGAAGGUAAAGCCUUGAGCAGCGAUAGCAUUGAGGUUAAGGGUGGUAAAGAAGGGCCGAGGUUCAAGGAUUUUGGAGGGUUGAAGACAGUGCUGCACGAAUUGGAGACUGAAGUGUUCUGUCUGGUAUGGAUUCCCAGCUUGUCCUUUUUGGUUCCUUUGUAUUUGAUGGUAUUGAAUUUCUGAUAGAACUACAGGUGAAGCAAUGUACUGUGUGAUUAGCCGAUCAAGGGAGUAAUUAGAAAAUAUCAUAUGCUUUUGGUGACGCUAGUUGAAUUGUGAAUUGUCAGGUGCGUCGGAGGAGUAUAUUCCAGAGCUUUUCUCUAAAGCAUAUAGGACAGCACCGUCGAUCAUUUUCAUUGAUGAGAUCGAUGCCAUUGGUUCCAAGAGAGAAAAUCUACAGAGAGAGAUGGAGCGAAGAAUCGUGACGCAGUUGAUCACUUGCAUGGACGAAUACCAUAAACUUGUGGAACCAGCUGGUGAUAAUUCUAAGCAAGACAGCUCCGAACAAAGAAGUGGCUAUGUUCUAGUCAUUGCAGCUACUAACAGGGCUGAUGCCAUUGAUUCUGCACUAAGAAGGCCCGGAAGAUUUGACAGGGAGAUUAUGUUGGGUGUCCCGGACAAGGAGGCUAGGGUUCACAUUCUUUCAGUGCUUACAAGCAAAUGCACGCUCGAGGGUUCAUUGGAUCUUUCGGUAAUAGCUAGGCUUACCCCUGGAUUUGUCGGUGCUGAUUUAGGCGCCCUAUGUAGGAAAGCAGGCAACCUCGCUGUGAGGAGGAUUGCUGCUUCGAGGAGAUCCACGUUAUUAUCUGAAGAACUUUCAUUACCUGCAGAACUUAGGGAGGACCAAAGUAUGGACUGGUGGAAAACACAUUGGUUAGCUGAGGAGAUUGAAAAACUUCCCAUCACAAUGGAUGAUUUUGAGGUAUGGAUAUUGUGGAGCUAGAUGUUAUUUAUUCUUUCCUUGUGAACUUUUAGUGUAUCCUCUUGGCUUUCUGCUGCCUAUCUUUACCGGCUUUCUCUCCUCUACAGCAAGCAGCGAAGUUGGUUCAACCGUCAUUAACAAGAGAAGGAUUCUCUUCUGUUCCCAAUAUAACAUGGGAAGAUGUUGGAGGACUUCAAAGCAUUCGGAAUGAGUUGGAGAGUUAUGUAGUCCAAGUGCAUAAAAAAUCCAAAAGUCUACCAGGUAUAUUUGACAGUGGCACAGUUAUAACUUCUUAUAACUGCUAGUUAAUAUUAGGUUUUGAUGUCAAACCUUUGUAAUGUUUACUUUCACUUCAAAGAAUCGCUAUCUCAAAUGGCUCACUGACAUCAUGGUAUGAUGAUCAUAGCAUUUUGGAGUGUCCUCGAAGACCGGGAUUUUGCUUUCCAGGCCCUCCUGGCUGUGGCAAGACACUGAUUGCCAAGGCUGCUGCUAAUGAAGCAGGUGCUAACUUUAUUCACGUCAAGGUUAGUAAUAGCUCCGUAGCUGUUUCAGCUCACUUGGUAGCAUAGUUUUUGUUCAAUUAGAAUAGUUGAAACUUACUGCUUACUAUUUCGAUGUAUAGGGUCCUGAGCUACUUAAUAAGUAUGUUGGAGAAAGUGAACUGUUUAUUAUCUUUGUUAAGUUUCGAAAGAAUCUUGGUCUUGUUUUCUCUGCAUCGUUCCAAUUUUAUCGGAUGUCUCAGAGGACAAGAAUAUCGGUCUUGUGGAAAGUUGUGAUUGCUAUUAAUCGUAAAUACAUCCCAAGUUCAAAAAAUAUGGGUCGAGAUUGGUUAGAAUACCGAUCGUAAAUGUGUUGAUAUGGCCUAUUUCGUAAUGAAUUGGAUCAUAUCCAACCUAGCACUGUCAAUUUUCAAAAUCGUAAGUUCAAAGUGUUCUUUUAAGAACAUCUGAUAAAAUUGAAGCGAUACAAAGAACAUGGUAUGUGCACAAGGAUAACAUAUAUAGAUCAUGAGUUGAGCAUUUAAUUCGAACAUCCGAAUUGGACUACAAACCGAUUACCAUAACCAAUUUCGAAUUUGAUUCGGACGGGCAGACCGACUACCAACGAACUUCCCGCCACAUAUUUCUCCUAAACACUAUAUUUUAGUUUUUAAAAUUUUCAUAUCUUAUUAGUCUCCUCCUCCGAUAAAGAUUCAUAGUCGCAAUUUUUUCCAAUUUAGUAUUCGUUUUCCCGAUCCGUCUCCAUGCAAAAUACGGUAAUGAAGCAGAAAACUCGACAACAAACUCGAGAGAAAUCCUCGUUGAAUCUUUCAAACAACCCAACAAAACAAAAGAAAUCACAAUCAAUGGAUCGAAUUCCCACAAAAGAAUCCAUCUUUCUUCCCCUCCGAUGGAAACCCGAUCAGCAAAACGGAAAAGGCAGCGACUUUGCUUCGCCGCCGACGAAACCCUGCGCAUCGACAUGAUCACCGACCUCCCUGACGCCAUCCUCCACCAUAUCUUGUCUUACCUCCCGAUCAAGUCCAUCGCCCAAACCUCCACUCUCUCCAAACGCUGGAGGACAAUCUGGUACUCCUUCCCGGAUCUCGAUUUCACCACCGCCUCCGCCGCCGGGACGGUGGCGGCGGCGUCAAUCGCCACCGUCCUCUCUCACCGUCGGAACAAGAACACCACCGAAAACAACCUCCGAUCACUCCGCUUCUCUGCCUCCCGGCUUGCAUUCUCAGCCCUCAACUCCAUCAUCCGUCUCGCAGUCCGCCACCGCGUCCAGAACCUCGACGUCGAGGUAUCGACAAACGACUUCUUCAACUUCCCGAGAUCCCUGAUCUCAAGCGAGACGUUAAGAAAAUUCAAAUUGAAAUCGACCUCCCCUGGAUUCCGCCUCCUCCCUUCUUCAAUCAUGUCCCGCGGAUUCCAAUCCCUAAUUUCGCUUUCCCUAUCGCUUAUCAAAUUCACCGAACAUCCUUAUUUAACAGAUCUAUUCACUGGGAAUUCCUUUCCGUGUCUGAAAACGCUGGAUCUGGACAAGUGUCACGAAUUGAAGCGAUUGAAAGUCUCCUGCCAGGGGAUUGAACGAUUCUCGUUGAGUGAGUGUUACCAUCUGCGUGAGCUGGAGAUUUGCUGCAGGGGAUUGGAGACGCUGAGAGUUGUGAGCUGCUUCGACGCUUACUCCGGCGGAGAUAAGGAGUCGACGUCGGUGAGGAUUCGUAAUGGGGGACGGAUUAAGGCGGUGGAGUGGGAGGUGAACGCCGUUACGGGGAGAUGUGAGGUGGAUGAGCUGACGGCGGUGAAGGAAGCGGCGAUUGGGUUCUUUAUGGAGUAUUACGAGGAGAUUAGUGCGGUGAAAAUUGAGAGCGUUUGCAGCUUCUUGUGUGGAUUCUCGCGCGCCGAUGCUUUGACUCUCGGAAGUCAAUGUAUUGAGGUAUAAUUUACAAUUAACCUUUAUUUGGGAUGAAUUAUACAUGAAUUCGAACAUUCAUGGGGUAACUAAAUCUAAUUCAUAUGUUUUUUACAUGUUGGGCUGUCUAGAGUUUUAUUCCAUAGCUUCUUCAUAGCUUGUUUUUCAUUUCUAUAUGUACCAAUUCGGUGAUGAAAUUUUCAAGAUAUUUUCAAAUUUUUUGAUUAGGGUUCCCAUAGUUCGAAACUAUAAAACCUAGUUAGAAUUUGAGAUAUGAUUUAGAUUUUUGUCUAUCCUAAGUCCCAAUUUAUAUUAUUACGACACAUAAUGUGUAUUCCUUUCGUAGGGAACCGAGUUAGUAAAUCUGUGUCAAUAAAUUCCCAACUUGACAAUGACACCUAAAUUUAGUCUUCUUAUAAAGAAAAACCCAGUUAAUUAAUUACUGCAUUUCAUGGCAUUUUUUUACUUCAUUUACCCUCUGGCUUACGUAAAUUGAACGUGAUUUUACUGUUUUUUGCAUGCAUGCAGAUACUAUCGAACAGGAAGGAUUCAGCGCAUUACAGCAAGAACCCAUUAUUCAGCAACGUUCAACUACUGGAGCUGCACACAGGCUUCAACAAGAAGAACGUUUCAGGGCUUGCAUUCCUCUUCAAAAGCUCGCCCAAUUUGCAGACCCUCGUACUCAAGAUCCACAACGACAACAAGAUCGAAAGACGGGUUAGUAACCAAUCGUGUUUUCCCCUUCGAUAUAAGCUUUGUUAAUCAGGGCAUGUUUUAGGAUGAAAAAAUCGGGUUUAGGUGGAGGGUGUGACAGAUAACUGUCUUGUUUGAUAUGUAUAUUUGAUAGACGAAAAAUAUGUGAAAGACAAACUAUACCUAAUAGGCGGAACCAAGAUGGUUAGGUUAGAGAAAUUUGAAGCAUAAAUUUUGCAUAUAUAUAGGUUUUUUGUCCAAUUGGACUCAAGAAAACUCGACAGACGUAGGCCCCACCCCAAUUCCGCCAUUGGUUAAUUAGACUUUCAUUGUUUUCUUCUUGGAAUUAAGUCAGAAUUUUUAGUGAAAUUAGCUAGUCGGAAUUUAAGGGGUCGUUCGGUACAGGGGAAACUCUAUUGAGCUUGUCGAAAACUAUGUAUUUUGAGAUAUCUUGAUUUGUUCGAAACAAGAUAAUCUGACAUUAUCCAACUUCGAAACGCUUUUCAACCGUCCUUUUAUUAUGAUCACGUAUCCCCAACAUCAUUCGUUAGCAAACAGACAUUGAUAUCUCAUAAUACAAAAUUCUCCGCAAUCUCACUCUGUUUUCCUGUACGAUCAGCAAUGGAACAGGGACUUGUGGGACGCGUCGUCGAGCUCGGAGCAAGAGCAGUACUGGGAGUCUCAGGUCGAAAACCUGAAGCCAUUCCUGAACAGUCUGAAAGCAGUGAAGAUCAAUGGCUUCUUGGAGUACGAGAACGAAGUUAGCUUAGCCAAGUUCUUGCUCAAGCAUUGCAAGCACUUGCAAGAGAUGACACUCUCGACUCCUCGCCAUUGCAACUAUAGGGAUAGCUUGAGGAGACAGAAAGUUAGGUCUCAGAUGAUGGGCUUCUCCUGGGCUUCCUCUAACGCCAAGUUCUCCUUCCUAUGAAGUAGCGGAUUUAGCGGGAGUCUCUCCUCAAGUUAUAAGUUCAUGAGUCUAGAACUUCGAGAUUACAUUAUCUUUCUCUAUAUUUAGAGACGAAUUAGUAUAUUUUUUUUACAUGUAUAUGUUGCGUAAUGCAUAUUAGAUUUUGUAGGGUCUGAUCUAGUUUAUUGAAUUAUUAUAAAUCUGCCAUUGUUGAUGAUUUUUGUUUUGACACGAGUUUAAAUUUGAGCUAAAAAUUGAAACUUAUGUAGGGCUCGAGCAUGUUAGCUACCUUUAAUGUGACAAGCUCAGACUGAUCAAUUAUUCGAGUUCUACUCGUUGAAAACAUCUUUCUAGUAUGAUAUUAAAGCAACUUCAAAUUUGUACACUAAAAAAUUAGUUUAUAGUCAUUAUGAUGAGCUUUUAUAAGAGAUGGACACAUCAACCUAGAAUUAUUCGUGAAUCCACCGUAUAUUAUUAUAAUUUAAGGCGGAAGCUUCGGUAUAUACGUACCUACAUCACAUAUUAAUAUUUUUUUGGUGGUAGAAAUUUGAUUUUAAAAAAUGUUGAGAUAACACUCUAACUUCACAAAAAAUACAAUAUGGUCAUCUAACAAAUAUAACAAUGGAUAUUCACAUAGUUUCUAUUAUAUGCUCUGACCAAUUUCUAUAUGUUUCCACAGAAACGUUCAAUUCACAAAACCAACACCAAUUACUGUUUUAGGUUCUUAAUUAAUUAGCAGUUAACCUAAACCAAAAUUUCCCAUGUUCUGUGUACAUGUUCCCAGCCGAGACGUGCGGUCCGCGUCAAGCGAGCACAGGAACCUCGUUAUAUCAAUAACUCGAUUCUCGAAAACCACCGGAGACGGAGAUCGAACUUGUUGGUGAUGGAAAAUUAUACCUAAUUGAGUCUUGAACUCGAGUAAAAACAAUCUGCAUGAUUAGCCGACGAAGGGAUUUUUUUUUUAAAAUUUCCAGAAGCAAUAUGAGGUUACAUUUAAUUGACUCGUGGAUGUGGUCAGACGGGAAUUCUGUUGGUCGCCGGAGAUGGGAAGGUGAAGAAGAUGAUCAGUCCGGUCGUCGCCGGAGAUGAGAGGGUGAGGAAGACAACAAAUCAAUAAAAUGGAGAUUUGUAUGACUGUGAAUAAAAUAUGAUGUAGCGGUGGGCGGCAUUUAAAGGAAUUGUUACGUACUUUUCGGUGACCCUAUUGUAUAACAUUUAAAGUUAAAAUGUGUACACGGCAUUUUGUGUAAUAAAUAUUCAACAACCAUUUACAUAUCGACAUGUGGCGGGGUAUCCGAUAUCCAUAUAUAUCGAAAUCUUUUCCUAUAAUUUAAAUAUAUGAUUUAGAUAGAAGUUUAGAAUUUACUUUUGAACAUGGUAUAAAGGCUACUGUUCACCACACAUAUGGAAUUUAAUUUUUGGGAUUUUUUAUUUAAUUAUAUGGAUUUAAGCAAUUAUUUUGGUAAUAUGAAGUAAAAUUGAAAUUUAACUUCAUUUUGAAUUAUUUGUAAGGUUAUUAUGGUGAAAUUUGAUAUUUUAGCUAUUUUCAACAUUCAUGUCAAAUGGUAACCCUUCAAAUAAUAGACAAAUGAAAUUAAAAAUAUUUUUUAUUAUUGUUAGGAGUAUGUAUGUGAUUUCCAUCACAAAACAUUUUAAAUAUAAAUUGAUAGAGCCCUCAAACAAAAUAUUAUAAAUUCAAAUUCUAAAUCUUACUCGUAACUCUAAUUUUUGGACCCUCUACAUUUAAUUUUAACUACGGAGGCGAUCAUCUAAUAUGUUAUACUACUAUAUAUUUAAUUCUAACUUUAAAACAAUGUAUCAUAAAUUCGAACUCUAAAUUAUACUCCGAACUUUUAAUUUUUGACAAUAUUGAGGUUCGGUCUGAUAAUAUCUUGCUCCGAUAGAUAAGAUACAAAAAAUUUCUUCCAAUCCAAACGAAAAACAUUUAUCAACUUUUCAUUCGCUUUUAUCUUUCAAGCUGAUAUGAACCAAGCGACACGCGAUAUUGUACCAAAGUUGCACAUACAGUAACGACGUCAUCGGGUAGAGAGGAAAUUCAUCGGACUUCAAACUCGCUAAAAGUCUCGUAUUUCAGAUCGUAACGAUAAAAGUCUGGCUUGCUUUACAUUCCUCCAACCCAUGUAGGGAUGAGAACCCACAUCUUGGGUGUCAGGGCCAUAGAUUUCCAGGAUGAGCUGGUCUUUCCCAAGUAAACAUUCUUCGGGAAGUGAGCCCCAACUGUAGUUAGUACUGUAAGUUUCUUCCUAUAAUUAUAAAAACACACCCUUAAUUAGUAGACGAUGACAAACACUCAUCGUUAAGGAUACCCAAGGUCAAAUCUCGAAGAUGGCAGAGAUUUUGUAAUACGAUUUUGAGUUUGAGUUUAUGAUGUCGUUUUUUAGGGUUAGGAUUUAGUGUUUAGAGUGUUAGCAUUAUUCAUUAGUGUUUAUGGUUUAUUAUAAGAACUUUAGGAUUUAUUUUUGAAUUUUAAAUAUUAAGAAGUAUGAAAUUUUUAGUCUAGAGGGUACCGAUACCUCCAGGAUAUCGAUAUUUGCAUUUUUUACUCUACUUAUGAGCCCGUAUGUUUGAGUUAGUAUUCGAGUUUGAGGUCGAACCAACUUGCAAUCCUAUCGACCCGAGCAUACUCUGACUCAUUUAAAAAUCAAACCGAACUACGAACGAAUUUUUUUUGAACCGAACGCCUAGCGAGCUGCUAGCCUUGUCCGAGACUUCCGUUGGUGUGAUUGGUUCCUUGCCUCUGUCUGGAAUAUCUGGAAGUGGAGGAAUUCAAGACUAGGAUGGCAUGGCGGCACAAUCGUUUGUUUGUGGGUAAUUAUUAUCAUUAGGCAGUACUAGGAUGUCAGCUUUAGUGUUCUCUCUUGUUGGUUAGAUACUCUAGAGUCUGGAGUGUAAAUAUGACCGAGGUCGUCGGAUGUGUAAAUAUGACCGAGAUCGUCGGAUGACAGUGAUAAGUGACAGUGGUGUGUAUGGUAUCGAUGCUAUCAGCGAGAUUUGGAUGGCAGCUGAAAUGGCAUGGUAGCAUUAAUCGCAAUUAUCACCAUUAAACAAUAAUAAUGAUAUGGUGACAUUAAUCGUAAUUAGUAGCACGUAAUUAUUGACAUGUGACUUGAAACCAAUAAUAAUUUGUUUAUGUUUAAAUUUUUUUUUUUGAGGCCGGUGUUAGUGAGCGCGGCUAGGACUGGGGGAUGACAUGGUGGCACUAUGUGGAGAACACUCGCGAGAAAACAAAACAUAUGGGCUUACACUAUCUGGGCCCAACUCAAUAUUAUCUCAUAAUUGGGCUAGCUCGUUCUUUAAUCAGUGGACCAUUGUUUGAGACCAGGGGCCCAUUUGGGUAACUUGGGACUGAAGGAACUUGACACAACCCUAGAAUUCAGCAGCUCAACCAAUGGUCCAUGCUGCUUCACACACCUUGGAGUCUUGUACUGAUUAAUGGAAGCACCUAAUUGGCUGAUUGCAUAGUCCAUGACUUUGUCAAACGUUCCAUUCUCGACCACCCUUAUCUCUAGCGGACCGAUCGAGUUGUCUGAAACUCGUCCCUGCCUGUAAACACUGUUGAGCGAUUCCUCAACUGUGAGGCAACAUUCCUCGAUAACUGAAUCCCGAGGAGCUUCAUGUGUCGUUAACUCGUUGUUGUUGUUGAUCUCCCAGUACAGGACGUAAUGUCCCGGAAUCGACGAUGUCUCGGCGUAGCUUGUGUAUUCCACGAGCGAUGCGUUUAGCGGCGAGAGGUGUUUCGUCGCAGCUUUUGUCACCGCUUCUUGCAGCUCGACUUCGUCUGUCUUGUCGGACUCGAUGCUUAGAACGACGUUCUUUCUGCAUACGAAUGUGAAUUGUGGCGCCUUGUUUUUGAACCCCGAGACUCUGAGAAUGUCUCCCACUCUGUAUCGAUACAGACCUUUUUCAAAAAAAUAAAAAAGUACAUAUGUCACAGCAGUAUAUCAACCAGUUUCAUUUCAAUAACUCGAGUAUUCACAAAAAAAUGUGCAAUUAACUCCUCUAUUACCUGCAUAAGUCGUGACAACGAGUUCAUACUCUUUACCUAGCUGAACAUCGACUAGAUCAACCAACCGGUCUUGUGUCUCGUCGUUGCCAUCAUCGCCAUUCAUGAUUAACGAACCGGUACUAAAUCCGACGGUUCGGUCAACGGGCAAGAACUCGAAAUAAGCCAUGGUCGGAACAAGUGUGUAGGAGACUUCACUAGGCUUACACAAAGGAUUCAAGUUAAGCCCAAAGUAACACUCAGAUGAAGCAUACAUGGAGCAAACAAGUGGCAAACCAUUCCCAUAAUGAUCAAGUGUAGGAAUGUAUUGUGACAUUGCUCCAGUCACAAUCACAUCAAUGUACUUAGCAUUAGGCCAAACCCUAGCAAUAAUCCCUCUCCAAGACACAUCCCUCCUGCAUUCCCCUUCCACGAAAUCGGCCAGUCCAGGGUUCGGCCCCACUAGAACCCUUGACACCGACGAUCUAACUCGAGAAUCAGUAAUAACCCUGGAGUCAACCGUCCCGCUCCUAAUGUCAUUGCACAAAACCUGCCAAUUCUUUUCGAAAAACUUGAUUGCCCGGAUAAACCCGGAUGCAAAAACCGACCCGACUCGAACAACUUCCGUGUUUCGAGCCAGACCACAGAGUAAUUGGGAGUACAUGCUCUGGUGAGAGUCCGGGCAGAGGAUUGAUUCCGUCGGACUGGUGUAGUUGGUGUAGGAAUCCUCCGAAGAGUGAAUCGAGUUGGCAAAAUGCUGGCUCUUGUAGUAGCUGGUUAGAACCGGGCGAGCCAGUAAACCGGCUGGAGUUAUGGAUUCUGAUUUGACGAAGAGGAAGUACAUUCCUUUACCGGCGGUGGAUAAACCAGGGAGAAAAUGGUUCAUGACCGGCAUUAGUAAGCUGUAGAGCUGUGACUUCCUCUCCAUCUCUUCGUUGAUCGUCGGCAUCAGCUUCCUCUCCCCCGCCGACGUCCCUGAACUGCAAGAUUUAAUAAAUGAUUGACCAUUUAAUAUUUGAUAGAAUUUUUUUUCAUUCAAGUUCGUCUCGAUGCAUGUUUAAAUCUUUGUUACGCCUAUGUAUAUACCUGGUCAAGAAUUCGGAGAUGGGUUGGGAGCAGAGGAUGGGGGAAGUGUCGCCAUUGGCGAUUCGGUUGAUAUCCGGCUUGAUAUCCUCGUACGUGACCAGAGGGAUUACCUUCUUGAAACUGGCCUUAUCGAUGAUGCUUCCAUGCCUUUGAAGGUACUCGACGCCAGAGUUUCUGGCGAGGAUUUCGGCGAGGACUCGAGUCUGGACUUCGUCGGCAUUGUUCGUGACUUGCUGGAUGAACUCUAGAGCUCUUUUGUUCUUGUCAUCUUGGUUUGUUUUAUUACUUGAUGAACCUUCAGCCAUGGCUGCUGGUUCGAGAAAGUAGAAAGUGGCGGAAAUGAUUUAUGUUUGGGAUGCAGAGGACAGAAAGCAGAGGACCCUGAAUGUUGGUAUAUAUAGAGACAAUUUUGUUAUCAUAUAUAUAUUUAAUUAAUUGGUUCGGUUAUAUCAAAAUUCAAACUGAAAAUUCACCAUGAACAACCCGAAUUGAUUUGUAAAAUCGAACAUGAAUUCUCUUCCAACAACUUAAGUUAUUGAGAUGUAUACAACGAGCAUUUAUUUUGACAAAAUGUUACAAUCUCAAAUUUUGGUAGUCGCAAUCUGUUGCACAAUAUUUACUACAUGUCAACCUCAGAUUUUUUUAAAUUUUUUUUAUAGGUACCUGUUAAUAAAUAAUAUAAAAUCUAAACUCUCACAAUAAUUAAAUUUUUUUUUUGAUAAUUCAAUUGAAUUAUCAUAACACAAUGAUUUAUGAUAAUUGACAGAUUGACGUAUACAUAAUUUGAUUUAUCGAGUCGAACCAUUUUGAAUUCUAAUCUACUCGACCCACUACAAAAUUAUUUAUUAUUUUUNNNNAAGCUCUAGAAAAUUACAAAUAUAUAAUCGGGGGACCUUUUUGCAAUUUUUAAAUAGUUAUAGUUCAAACUCUCAUAAAUCAUGAUUCAAAAAAAUAGUGUUACUAAAUUUCUGUGACUAGUUUCAACAUUCAUGUUAGGGAAAUCACGUCAAUAUGGUCUUUUCGUAAUUAUGUAUAUGUGUUUUUGACAACAUCUCCUAAAAAAAUUAUAUGUUAUAAGUAUUUCGGGGUUUGAGUUCGCGGUCCUAGAGUUUCAGGGUUUCCUUCAAAAAAUUGUAUACGGUUUAGAUUUCCGGACAACUAAUUAAACGGAGGCGCAAACAUGUCUCACAACUCAUUUGUCUUAGAUGAUUAAACUCAUGUAAAUGCGGGAUUGUGUUUAAUAAAGUUGUUUCUUAAUUAAAUGGUGUGAUUUGGAUAAUAAUUAUUGAAAAAAAGUAGGGAAACUUUGCAGUGUUCCCACUCCAAUCAUCGCCUAGCCGUUGACUGAAUGUCGCACUAAACUCAUAAAGAUAUGACUUUCAUUUAUUUGUUACCCUCCGGACACCGGAUUCGGUACUAAUGACCUUCUUUCAGCUCUCAAGAAGGAGGAGUUGAAUCGACUGAUUGUUUAUUUAUGCAAUAUCGAGGCAUGAUUUUGUCCAAAUCGAUCCUAAUUCGUGAUAGACUUCCAUUCCUUAAUUUCAUGACUCGUAUCUUCUUGAUCAGACCGAAUCGGACUAAAAAAUUUAGUAUAGAGACUAAGAGACACAUAUAUAAAUUGAAAAGAGCUACUAGCUAGACCACUUUCCUUGUAACAAGUUGCAUGGAAAAAGGGGAUCACGUUUCUUGAACGGGAGAAAUGCAAAUUAGAGUUCUUGUGCUUGAAGAAGCAAUUUUUAAUUAAAUGGUCCCAAGCAACUUCAAUUUGAAAAAAAAAAAGAAAUACCCACUUGAACCUUGAGAAUUACAAUAAAAAGGGCUACUUUUACUUUUCAAAAAAAAAAAAUUUAAUCAAAAAGACGAUUAGGGUUCUGCUUUCUUUUUUCGUUGAAAAAUCAGUGAUGAUGAUAGUUUCGUCAGGACGAGAGGAUAUUGUGGUAGAAAGGAGAGUGGAUGGACUAAUAUCGUGCUGNNNNNNNNNNNNNNNNNNNNNNGAGAAAGAACAACCGGCGACUUUCGAGGGUAUCCAAGAACAUCCAAAAAAUCUGGCCUGGACAAUAGGUCCUGCUACGAGCAGUGAUUCCUCGGCAAAACUCACUCGAAAUAUCGACCUCUUCGAGUGUUUCAUAUUUUGGGUGUCCCCAAUUUGGGCUCCACCGGUCGUUUACUACUUUUUUAGUUUCAGAUGUUUCUUUCUGUUUGAAAAAUUAUUUUUUUCUUAUUUCUCUAGUCGGGUAGUUCUUAAUGCAUGAGUUGUAAACUUCCGUUUUUUAUUUGGGAUGACUGGUACCAUGAAUGAGUUCACUUGUACUAACUCUUUGUACCGUCAUGCUUUGCCUAUUAUGAGUGAUAGUCCUUCUAAAAGUUCGUUUGACAAGAUGAACAUUCUUGGCUAAGUACUAAUAAUAUUAGUAGCCUCUUUUUGAAAAAAAUUAUAAUAAAAAAAUUANNNNNNNNNNNNNNNNNNNNNNNNNNNNNNNNNNNNNNNNNNNNNNNNNNNNNNNNNNNNNNNNNNNNNNNNNNNNNNNNNNNNNNNNNNNNNNNNNNNNNNNNNNNNNNNNNNNNNNNNNNNNNNNNNNNNNNNNNNNNNNNNNNNNNNNNNNNNNNNNNNNNNNNNNNNNNNNNNNNNNNNNNNNNNNNNNNNNNNNNNNNNNNNNNNNNNNNNNNNNNNNNNNNNNNNNNNNNNNNNNNNNNNNNNNNNNNNNNNNNNNNNNNNNNNNNNNNNNNNNNNNNNNNNNNNNNNNNNNNNNNNNNNNNNNNNNNNNNNNNNNNNNNNNNNNNNNNNNNNNNNNNNNNNNNNNNNNNNNNNNNNNNNNNNNNNNNNNNNNNNNNNNNNNNNNNNNNNNNNNNNNNNNNNNNNNNNNNNNNNNNNNNNNNNNNNNNNNNNNNNNNNNNNNNNNNNNNNNNNNNNNNNNNNNNNNNNNNNNNNNNNNNNNNNNNNNNNNNNNNNNNNNNNNNNNNNNNNNNNNNNNNNNNNNNNNNNNNNNNNNNNNNNNNNNNNNNNNNNNNNNNNNNNNNNNNNNNNNNNNNNNNNNNNNNNNNNNNNNNNNNNNNNNNNNNNNNNNNNNNNNNNNNNNNNNNNNNNNNNNNNNNNNNNNNNNNNNNNNNNNNNNNNNNNNNNNNNNNNNNNNNNNNNNNNNNNNNNNNNNNNNNNNNNNNNNNNNNNNNNNNNNNNNNNNNNNNNNNNNNNNNNNNNNNNNNNNNNNNNNNNNNNNNNNNNNNNNNNNNNNNNNNNNNNNNNNNNNNNNNNNNNNNNNNNNNNNNNNNNNNNNNNNNNNNNNNNNNNNNNNNNNNNNNNNNNNNNNNNNNNNNNNNNNNNNNNNNNNNNNNNNNNNNNNNNNNNNNNNNNNNNNNNNNNNNNNNNNNNNNNNNNNNNNNNNNNNNNNNNNNNNNNNNNNNNNNNNNNNNNNNNNNNNNNNNNNNNNNNNNNNNNNNNNNNNNNNNNNNNNNNNNNNNNNNNNNNNNNNNNNNNNNNNNNNNNNNNNNNNNNNNNNNNNNNNNNNNNNNNNNNNNNNNNNNNNNNNNNNNNNNNNNNNNNNNNNNNNNNNNNNNNNNNNNNNNNNNNNNNNNNNNNNNNNNNNNNNNNNNNNNNNNNNNNNNNNNNNNNNNNNNNNNNNNNNNNNNNNNNNNNNNNNNNNNNNNNNNNNNNNNNNNNNNNNNNNNNNNNNNNNNNNNNNNNNNNNNNNNNNNNNNNNNNNNNNNNNNNNNNNNNNNNNNNNNNNNNNNNNNNNNNNNNNNNNNNNNNNNNNNNNNNNNNNNNNNNNNNNNNNNNNNNNNNNNNNNNNNNNNNNNNNNNNNNNNNNNNNNNNNNNNNNNNNNNNNNNNNNNNNNNNNNNNNNNNNNNNNNNNNNNNNNNNNNNNNNNNNNNNNNNNNNNNNNNNNNNNNNNNNNNNNNNNNNNNNNNNNNNNNNNNNNNNNNNNNNNNNNNNNNNNNNNNNNNNNNNNNNNNNNNNNNNNNNNNNNNNNNNNNNNNNNNNNNNNNNNNNNNNNNNNNNNNNNNNNNNNNNNNNNNNNNNNNNNNNNNNNNNNNNNNNNNNNNNNNNNNNNNNNNNNNNNNNNNNNNNNNNNNNNNNNNNNNNNNNNNNNNNNNNNNNNNNNNNNNNNNNNNNNNNNNNNNNNNNNNNNNNNNNNNNNNNNNNNNNNNNNNNNNNNNNNNNNNNNNNNNNNNNNNNNNNNNNNNNNNNNNNNNNNNNNNNNNNNNNNNNNNNNNNNNNNNNNNNNNNAGCAACUGAAAUUUAAAAAAAAAAAAGAAAUCCCCACUUGAACCUUGAGAAUUACAAUAAAAAGGGCUACUUUUACUUUUCAAAAAAAAAAAAUUUAAUCAAAAAGACGAUUAGGGUUCUGCUUUCUUUUUUCGUUGAAAAAUCAGUGAUGAUGAUAGUUUCGUCAGGACGAGAGGAUAUUGUGGUAGAACGAAGAGUGGAUGCACUACUACCGGUCGAGGAAGAACAACCNNNNNNNNNNNNNNNNNNNNNNNNNNNNNNNNNNNNNNNNNNNNNNNNNNNNNNNNNNNNNNNNNNNNNNNNNNNNNNNNNNNNNNNNNNNNNNNNNNNNNNNNNNNNNNNNNNNNNNNNNNNNNNNNNNNNNNNNNNNNNNNNNNNNNNNNNNNNNNNNNNNNNNNNNNNNNNNNNNNNNNNNNNNNNNNNNNNNNNNNNNNNNNNNNNNNNNNNNNNNNNNNNNNNNNNNNNNNNNNNNNNNNUGACUAUUUUUUGGAAGUUACUCAUCUCUAUAUUCGCAUUGCACACAAAAUGUUAACAAGAAUGUGAUGUUAUUGAUUAGCUCUUUUGUACUUUGUUGAUAUAAGAAUUGCUGUUGAGAUUAGUAUAGAGAAUAAAAAACAGUUAACUGAUCAAGAGAAGAGAGUGUGUAAAGACGUUGCAUGUAUAGUUAAAUCGGGGAUAUCGAAUACUAUGUUGUGAUAAUACAUUAUGAGAAAAGCUAUGAAUAUACUGAAAAAUGAGGAAACAUGCAUACAUCUUAUCAUAAUGUGAAAAUUGUUCUCGAUUACCUUUUCUGUACUUCGCUAGCAUAAAUUUACAGCCGGUCUCGGUGUAGAAAAUAAAACAUAAUCACGAAUAGAACACAUAACAAAGAAAUUAAUUUGUUAGCUAACAAGUUUUCCUUCAUGAGAAAAGUACUUCUGGAAGCGUUACACGAUGAUACAUAUUACAAUCCGGAAAAAGCUAUGAAUAUGCUAACAGAUUUAAUAACCCUAAUUAUCGAAACAUGUAAAGCUGAUAAGGCCGAUUCAUACACCAAACCAAUCAACAUAUUCGAAAACGUCGAGGGACCCUCUCGAUACAUACAAUGUGUGAAUGAGAUGAGAUACAAAGCAACAAACUGUAGAGAAGAGAGAAAAGAAAAACAGAGCAAUACAUUAUACAUCUCAUCUUGUUGUUUACACUCGUGGGGAGCAAAGACAAGACAUUUGAAACCUCACUUUGUCCAAUUUGCAGCUUCUUCUCUAAUCUCUAUCUGUGUAUGUAUACAUGUCCGCCAAUAUUUAUGGCGGAUCAUGCUCGGAAGAUAUUUAAGAAAAUGUUUUUCGUUCUUAGACCGAAUUUAGAUUCGAAUUCGUAACCUUGAUCAUCUUUGAAGGUGGAAGGAAUGCAUAAACUUACAAACGAAAAAUACAUCAUAGUGUCAUCUGCAAACAGAACAUGAUCGGCCAACUAGGGGUUCUGGUAGCAGCCGACUGUUCGCCAAUCACAAUGAUAAAUGAAGGUUAGGCAUGUUCUUGGAAAAGGGUCGGACCGAAUUUUAAUUAACCCUGGACGUGGAAGAUAGCUAGAAGAGCGCGCCUCGUGAACGUUGCUACCGGUGAAUGGCCACUCUGCAGAUAUACGUGAUUAUAAUGUUAAUGUAUAUUUGGUUAGACCCGUUAUGAUUUAAUCGAAACCCUUAUGUAUAUAUAGAGUGUUAGUUUCGUUUUUGGUAAUAGUCCUCUUCCUCUCUGUGGACUAGUCGAUUGUCGAUAUAACUCCGUUGUUAUUCCUCCUUUAUUCAACUUUUAUCACAUAAAAUAACUAGUAAGUAAUAACAUGUGAAAUAAGAAGCGAUAUAAAUGCAAGUAACACAAUG